rnacentral:lncRNA from 1 species
CCAAAACGACGUUGUUUUGGUCUCUGAACCCUAAAUCCAAAACGGCGCCGUUUUAUGGGGUUAUUUAAACCCAAAUUUUUUGAUAUCCUUCAUUUUAGCCACCCUCUUUUAAAAAAAAAUUCAGAAAUCCCUCCUUUCCUCUCCAAAAAUGGCCGGCCUUUGGAUUGCCAUAGCGCCGCCGCGCCACCGCUGCGCCCGCCGCACUACCACCGCCUCCGACGGCCGACGAAGCGCCAGAUCGGCGUUUGAAACUCCGUCACAGUGAGUUUUUCUCUUUUUUCUUUAUAUUUUCGUUAAAUAAAAAUAAAAAAUAAAAACAGUGAUAAAAAUAAAAAUGGAAGAUUGAAAUCAGAAAACAAAACUUGGAAAUCACCUUGGAGAAAUCUUUUUAUUGUAUUGUUGAUAGUAAUUCUUUUUUGGUUACAAUCGUCGAAAAAAAGAAAGAAAGAAAAAAAAAACCCCUUAGAUCUGUUUUUUUCGUGGCUUUAUAGUCGAUCUACAAUGUAUUUUUUUCUAUUUUUUUCUACUGUUUUGCACUAUUUCUUGCGUGUUUGCAGGAGUGGUUGAGCGGUGGAGCAGGUGGAGGUUGUGGCGCCGGUCAGAGGGCAGGUGGACGAGGGGACAGUGGCGUCUGAUUUGAAAAUUUUGUUUUUCUGAUUUGUGUUUUCUAGGCUAGGGUUAGAUUUGGGCUAGGGACUUUGGGCUUGUUAUUUGGGUUCUUGUAUUGGGCUUAGGGUAAAUUUGGGCUGGUACAGCUAUUGUCAUCCAUGGGUUACUAUAGAUGACUAAAUUACAUGUAUUAUUAAAUGACCCAAUUGAAAAAUAUAUAUAAAUUAUUAUAUUUUCCCUUCAAUGAUUGCUAUGUAUGUACAUAUAUAAAUACAAGAGUUUUGAGACUUCUUCACAUUCAAGUGAAAUUUCUCUUUGUGGAAAACAUGAAUUGAGAAGAACGAUAUAGUAAAGAUAUCAUCCAAAAUCAUGAAUUUUUGUUUUCCAAGCUUCAACUGCUUCUCCUCUUCAGAAAACGUUUCACAUCAACAAGGUAUGAAUAUUUAAACUAAAUCUAUAAGACUAAACCAAUCGCUCAUUUUAUAAACAAGUCUACACCCUUCCUGUUAAUCCUUCUCCUACUCUUUUUCUUUUUCUUAAAUUCUUUUCAUACAUACAUAUAUAAAUUGGGGUUUUCUCCUAUUUAAUUUUUUUUUGUACUUUUACAUGUUUUUCUUCUUAUUUAGUUAUGGUAUUAACUAUAAACAUUGCAAAAAGAUUUUUUUAUAAAAUGUCUACUUUUAUUUAUAUUCUUCUCAAUUCUUAAAUUAGAGAAAAAAAUAUGUUUAAACGUCUUCAAAUUCAUAUAUUUAUAUUAAUGUAAUAACAAAAAUGUCAACUGAACUAAAACUUAAGCAAAUGAGUAUAAAUGUUUUUUUUUCAUUGUUUAUCGAUUCCCAAGAAUGUAAAUAUUGUUUUCAUCUAAAAAAUAUAUAUAUAUAUAUAUAUAAGAAAAGAUUGCAUGAAACUGUGAUUCCACGUCAUCGUUAUUCCUUUUCAAUAGGAGAAUCACAUAUCAAAUUUUUCAUCCUGAUUUUUAGCAUUUUUAGUUUGAUUUGAAUUUUUUAAAAAACCAAAUUUGAUAUGUCAUUCUCCUAUUAGAAAUGAUAAGGAUGACAUGAAAUUACAAUUUUAUAUAAUCCUUUUUCUAUGUAUAUAUAUAUAUAUAUUCAUAUCCAUAAUGCAAUGUAUGUUGAUUUAUUUCAUCAAGUUUGUUCAAAAGUUCAAAUCAUUAAGAUUAAGAAAAAAGCGUGAUAAAGCUUAAAUUUUUUUGGUAAUGAAUUUAAAGAAAAUUAUCUUAAAGAAAAAUAUAAAUGGAAUUUAAUUUUUUAAAAAAUAUGUUUUCCUUUUUAUUUAUAUAAUAUUUGAAUUUUAAAGUAUCGUUAUCUUUAAGUUGACUCUCCUAAAAAUUAUUCAUGCAUAUCAUGGGUCACCAUCAUCAUUUAUAUAAAUUUUCUUUUUUUAUAUUUUUUAAAAAAUGUUUAUUUAUUUUUGGUUAGUUGGGAGUUUAAAUUUUUUUAAAACAAAUUAGGUUAAUUAUUAUUUUAUAAUGAUGGAAUUUCAUGUCCCCACAGAUUCACAAGCUCUUUGGAACCUUCAAGCUUUCUCAUAUGAUGAAUUGAAAAUUGCAACUGGUGGAUUUCGAUCUUCCAAUAAAAUUGGCGAAGGUGGAUUUGGUUUUGUUUAUAAGGUAGUUUUCUUUUCUUUUUUUUUUUUUAAAAAUCCUCAUAAUUUUCCCUUUUAAAAUUCAUCUUUAAUAAAUUAAAAUAUAUAUAUUUUAAAUCACAAGGCCUAUCGUGAUGGUAGAUCGGCUCUUAAUUGUGUGGCGGAGUUUGACCAUCACUCAUGAAAAUAAAAUAAAACAUAUUUAGUGAUCAGUCAUUUAUCUCUUUGAAAAAUUCUUAGAACGUGAGGUUUAAUCACUAUUACUGGCCUUUGGAUAUUUUAGAAUGGGAAAAUAUUUAAUACACGCUAUAAAUGGAGUUUUAAAAUUAAAAGUUGACAAAUGUAUAUUUUUUAAAAAUGGAUAUUUAAAAAUAUAUAUAUAUAUAUCAAUUUUUUAAAAUUGCUUGUAGAAUAAAAAGAAUAAUUUCUAAAAUAUCAAAUACUCGGUCUUUUAAAAAACCCUUAUCUUAUUAAUUAUUUUUUAUGAAAAUUAAAAAAAAAAACUUAGGUUCAUGCAUUGACUUCUUUAUUAUGAUUAGGUGUUAGCUAUAAAUUAUAAUAAAAAAAUAUUAAUAGAUGCUUUAAAGAGCAUUCAUUAUAAAAGAAAAUCUAAGGUAAACUAUUAAAAUAGUCAUUUUUAUUAUCUUAGGUUAUAUUUUAAUUAUUUAUUCAUAUUAUCACAUUAUAACAUUUUAGUUACUGAGUUGUUAAGUGUUAUUAUUGGUGUAACGGGGUAAGCUGAUGUGACAGGUUAAAUCAUCAUUUUAAAUAAAAUUUUUAGGUUAAUUUAUACAACUGGUUCCACAUUUUUUUUAACUAUUUAAUUUUUUUCUUUUAUGUUCUUUUAACUUUUUUUUUCUUCUUUUUUUUUUAUUUUCGUCUGCUUCUCCUUUUGAUUUCCUCCCUUCUCCAUUUCUUUUAACAUAGUUUUUCUAUGUCUUUUAUUUGUUAAAAAUAGUCCCUAUACUUUUAUUUUUUAAAACAAUUUAAUUUUUUCGAGUGAGGCGAACAUGUGGACUAGUUUUAACCAACGAUAAAUAUAGAAAAAUUAUGCUUAAAAAAAUGAAGAAAGGAGGAAAACAGAGGAAACAACAAAAGAUAAUGAAAAAAAAGUGGUCAGGUUACUGUUUUAUAGAAUUUAACUUAAAAUUUUCUUCCGAAAUGAUGAUUUAACGUGCCACAUCAUCUUACUAUUACACCGUUAACGAUAAUUAACGGCUCCAUGACUAAAAUAUAACCUAAGAUAAACAAAACGACUAUUUAAGAGAAUUGAAGUUGCUUAGGUAGGGGGUAUUUCCUUAUGAAUAUUUUAAUGAAUAAAUCCAAUUAAAAAUAAUAGAAUUUCAUACUAGAUGACAUUUUAAUCUUUUGUCUUAUAAAAUUAUUUUAAUCUAAUUUAGAAUUUUAUUUCAUUUGUUCAAUUUAGCUGAUAUCGUUUCAUCUACUAACAUUAAAUUUGGUCACCCAACCACUUUCUUAAUUAUUAUACAUUGAAAUGUUUUCCUUCAAUAUAUUAAAAAUGACAAAAGAUUCUUAAUUAUUAUAAUUAUAAAUUUUCCUAACUAAUGCUUCCAUCUGUUUAAAUUAAGUUAAAUAAUAUAAAUAUUUAAUACAUUUCAAUGCAUUCAAAUUUAAAAAUAAAGAAGAUAAUGCGCUUCAAUGCAUUCCAAUUCACGUCUUCCUGCAUUGACAACAAUACUCAUACCAAUCGAGCUAAGACUCAAUCGACAAUAAUUAAUUACCAAUUCAACAAAGUGAUGGAUGGCAUCAAAUACAACCAUUAUCACUCUCUAAUGUAUCAAAAUUAUAAAUAAUAAAGUCUGCUUGAAUGAUGCUGGUCGAGUACUAUUUAGUUAUUAAUUUGUUAAAAUAUUUAAAUUUAAUAUGUUUUUGUCCUAUGAAUGUUAUCAUAAUCCUUGCCACAAACCUCUGGUUAACAUUCUCCUAAAUUAUACAAUAUAAAUUCAUUUUAAAUAAUAUAUUUAAAGCAUUUAAGUGUCAUUUUCAUGUUAAGUACGGUGAUUAUCAUGAUAGCGAAAGACAGAGUUGCACUCAACCAUUUGAGCCGCCACGGUGGGCCGGAACCCAUUUUAAACUCAAACUUAUCCAUGGACUGGGUUUUUGUUCAAAAACCGGAAGAGUUAGAACAAAAAUAUAAGUUUAAAAAAUGAAUUUAAACAAAAUAAUAAGGCCUAUUUUUUUAAAUGAGUUGAGCCUUGGGUAAACUUUUUUGGCUUUGCUUAAAUUCAUAAAAAAAAUUCACUAUCAUUUAACUAUUAUAUUGCUAUUAUUUUAUUAUUAUUAUUUGAUUAUCGUAUAACUAUAAUUUUGUUAUUAAUUUCGUUAUUAUUUUAGAGAUAUUUACUAGCUAAGUUGCACUUAUCUUAAAAUUAUUUAAGUAUAUAUAUAUUUUUUAACUUUUUCUCAUUCGUUAGGAAACAUUUAUUUUUAUAUGUUAUAUUUUUAAAAUUUAUUUUUAUAAAAAAAUAAUAUAAAAAAUUUUAAUAUGCCCAAGUUGGACUGGACCUGGUUCGGUUUUAGCAUUUUAUUCGGAUCGGAUGUAGACAAAAUUUUAGAUUUAUUUUUUAGACCAAACCGAGCCCAAAUCUAAAAAUAGACCUAAAUUUUUUACUUGACUCGGCCAGUCAAAACAAAGAAUUUUCAUUUUUUAUUAAAAAAAGAAUUUUUUAUUUUUUGAGGGCUAACAUUGUUUUGGAUUGGGAACUUAAAGGGAAUACUGGAAGAUGGAAGAAGAGUAGCAGUGAAAGUGUUAUCAGCUGGAUCAAAGCAAGGGGACAGGGAAUUCAUGUCUGAAAUAGCUUCCAUCUCAAAUAUUAGACAUGAAAAUCUUGUAAAGCUCCAUGGUGGGUGUAUUGAUGGAUCCUCUAAGCUUCUGGUUUAUGAGUACAUGGAAAACAACAGUCUAGCUCAUAUCUUACUUGGUAUAUUUCUUUCUAUUUUUAGAAUUUCGUGUUCAUUUAUAAUUACUUUUACUAGUACCUUAAAUGUAUGUGUAUAUGAGACUUCAGUAUAAUCAUAAAUUUGGCAUGUAUUGACGUGUGGUAGGAGGGGAGGAAAAUAGAGCAACGCUAAGUUGGAAAGCAAGGAGAGAAAUAGCAGUAGGGAUAGGUCGAGCACUUGCCUACAUUCAUGAAGAGGUGAAGCCACAUAUUGUGCAUAGAGAUAUAAAGCUUAGCAAUAUUCUUUUGGACCAAAAUUUCGCCCCCAAAGUUUCUGAUUUUGGUCUCUCUCGUCUCUUUUUCGAUAAUGUCACUCACCUUACUACUGGAGUUGCUGGUACAUUGUAAGUAUAUAUAUACAUAUAUAUCUUAUCUUCCUCCCAUGUCCUCUCUCUUUUUUCUAAUUUGUUUUUUUAUUAAAGAGGUUAUCUUGCUCCGGAAUACGCUGUGAGUGGACGCUUGACACGAAAAUCAGAUGUUUAUAGCUUUGGAGUACUACUUUUAGAAAUUGUGAGUGGUCGAACUGCAAUUGACUUUGAUCUCCAUGUUGGCGAGUUCUUUCUUGUACAGAAGGUAUAUAUUUCUUUUUCUUCUUUUUUUCCUUCUUUUAUGAAACAUUAAAAUUUUAAACCUUCAUUUCGUUAAUAUUUGAUGUAUUGACGAUGAUUUAUGAUUUUAUAAUCAUGAAUCAAUUAAAUUAUGUCACAUUAUUACAAAUAAAAUUAAAUUAUUUAUCAUGCAUUUAGUGAUCAAGGGCAUAGUUAGGAGGCUGGCAGGGGUCUCGACGCCCCUAAAUAGAAAAAAUUGACAUUAAAGAUUUAUUGAGUUUAAUCAUUUUUUUUGACACAAUAUUUAGAAUUACUCAUAGAUUCUCCUCAACUCAAAAAUAGGAGGAAAAUGCGCUUUAGCGCACUCGAGCUCACGUUCUUUUGUAUCAACAACAAUGCCCAUACUAAUCAAGUUAAGACUCAACUGACUGCUUUUAGAGUUUUUUAAUUUUACUGUAUGUAUAUGAAAAUCCAAGAAAUUAAGGGGAAAAAAUUGUUUUUGUAAUUUAAGUGAGAGAAUUGGUAUCACUUAGCUGAAGUAAUUUAAAAUACAAAAAUAAUGAAGAAUAAAGUAAAAAGAGUAAUGCAAGGUCCGACACCCAAUUUCCAUUAACAUCAAUCAAUUCAUAAUAAUUUUAUGGUUUGAAUAUUUGUGAUGAAAGGCAUGGGAGAUGUACAGAUCAAACAAGUUGGUGCAUAUGGUGGAUCCAGUGUUGAACGAGAUGAGGUUCUGGGAACAAGACGUGGAUCGUUUCCUCAAGGUAGGGUUAAUGUGUGUGCAACAAAAAGCUCGGCUUCGACCCUACAUGUCCACCGUUGUUAAGAUGUUGUGCAACGAAAUCGAUAUUCGGAACAUGCAGAUAUCCGACCCGGGGCUCAUCACCAAUAUCAUGGAUGUUAAAAUUGGAAAUCCACGUUCAUUUUCUUCAAGCUUUUCCAAAAUGUUAAGCCCUCAGUUUCAAACUUCAUAAAAAGGAAUAUUAUAUAUUUUUAUUUGGAGAUAUUAAGUUGACUUUUCUUACUUUUUUUUUAAUGAUAAUUGUAAAUAGCUUCUUUUUGCCAUGUAUUUAAAAAAAUAAAAAAAUAGUGAAAUUUAAACUCUACUUAUAAAGUUAAAAAAAUUUCACAGAUUUACUAAAUAAUUACCCCAUAAUUUCUUAUAAAAAUAUAAAAGAUCAAAUUUAAUAGUAAAAAAUUUGAUAAACAAAAUUCCAGAGUAAAUUGAUUGUUCUAAGCAUUACGUUUUAACUGCGAACCUGAAUAAUGUGAGCUUCAACCAAAAAAUAUUAACUCAAUUAGGAAUAGCACUAACCAAAUUAUUUUUAUGAUUUAUUGAUCAGGUGUUUAACUUUUUUUAAAAAUAGUCUGAAAUCAAAUUUUUAUUAUAAAAAAAUUGAUAUAAUAAAAAAUUGAAGGCUUGUGUGGUCCAAUGCAUGUUACAUAUUUAAUUGGCCAAAAAAAAUUAUUUCAUUUUUUAAUUAGCCUCUUACUAUUAUUAAGUUACGGAUUUAGUUCCUAUUUUCAUAUUUAAUCUUUAUAUUUAAAAAGAAAAUUAAUUUUGACUUGAAUGAUAAUUGUUAAAUUCAUUAUUUAAAAUGAUAUAACUAACGCAACAUUACAGCUACGAUAAUAUAUUUGUCACAUAAUAUUUUAAAAAUAACAUUCUUAUAACUUAAUAAAUGAAUUUAAGAACUAUGGUUUUUAAGUUAAUAUUAAAAAUUCAAAAGGUAAAAAAAAAACUAAAUCCUUAACUUACGUAGAUAGGUAGAAAUUGACCGAAUUAGAAAAAUAUCGAAAUAUAAUACUUUUAUAAGUAUUUAUUAUUUUUGUUAUUAUAAUUUAAUUUAAAUUUCAAAUAAAUACAAAUUCUACAAUUAUUUGGGAGAUAAUACAAAUUAUUGAUGUUUUAGAAUUUAUAUAAUAAAAAAAUAAGAAAACAUUAAAAGAAAUAUGUGAACGAACUACUACCUUUGAAACAAGGUCCUUUUGUCAUGCCUGACCCAAUUGUCCCUUUUGACCUGCUUUGACUGUAAUUGCAGUAUUCCUGCUGCCCAAUCACAAAACAAGGACUAUGAGAAAGGAAUAAACGAAAACAAAAUUAUAAUACUAGCAAACCAAACAAAGGGUGGUCCAAUAUUUUUCCUUUCUGUUUUUUUUUUCUCAGAUUCCCCCCAUAAUCAUAGUCCUUUGCACUUUCUCCUAACAAAUACCCUUUCAGCUUUUUUUGAACCCUAGAAAAACAUUAAAUAAUUGUUAAUAUAAUGGAUGCAAUGGGCAAAUCAAAUACAUUGAAACUUGUUAUCUGUAUAUCCAUUUGUGCAUCCCUUAAAACACUUUUUCGAUAUUUGAUUGAUUUAAGUCAAUGAAAUGAAUGGGUAAGUAAAGAUGCAUGGUGUUUCAUGUGUUGUGCAGAGUCUUGCAUUCCUCCACCUGACAUAUCCAGAAUCGUAUACCUGGCUACCUGCACAACCUUAGGCAUUGGAAUAUCGUGUGAUUAAAUGAAUGGAACCCAUUUCUUGAUAUAUUGUUGUUGAAAGAGAAACAGUAACCUCAUAGUCAAAUCCAUCCAUCCAAUCAAUUCAAUAAAAAAACACUUUGUUUAACGCUUAACAUAGUGACUAAAUGUCGAGACCCUUUGCCCUCGUUCGCCGCUUGCAUUUUCCCUUUCUCUCUCUUUUCCUUUGCUCUUUAAGGUACAGCAAGCAUUAUCUCCUUUCAUCUUAGACAUGCCUCAUAUAUACUCUCUUGAGUAGGGGUUGGAGAGACAAGAUUUUGUGGCCGUCCCGAAAUGGAAUGGUGGCAACGUUUCAGGUCGAUUGCAUGUGGUGAUGUUGGCUUUAAUUCCAAAUACAAGGUGUUACAUUUUUUUUUGACGGAGUUUUGGGUUGAUCAAAUCUUAUAAUUGCUUUUUCUUUAUGGUUCUUUGAAACUGUUUCAAGAACUUCAUGCCUUGCUGAUUAAAGUGAAAAAUGAUUGGUUACUUGUUUUUGGGUAUCUUACAAGUACUAAUCUCUUAGUGUCAAGCUUGAGGCAUCUUACAGAUGAAUAUGAGUUAAUGAUUAUCAAGUUUAAGCAUAUAUAGAGAUAAAAUCUUAGCUCAUGUGAUAAUGUCUCUAAGGGGUGGUGACAACCUCUUAAUUUGAGUUCAGCUGUAUAAACUAUUAAGCAUUUAAAAGAUAUAUAAAAUUGGAUCAAAUUGUUAAAAGCCAUAAUAUGGAAGAUUGAUAUACUAUUAUCAAAUUCAUUUCUUAUUUCCAUUAUUCACAGUUUUUAAACAAAAAAAGUUACAGAUAGAGCAUCAUAUUACUGUAAAUUUCAUUCAAACUAAGUUGAACCCAUUUUUUAAAAACUCAUAAGAACUUCCAUUAUCCCUUUUGCUUUUGAUGCUUGUAUAUAAGAGCUUAAUUUAAAUGAAUGAUUUAUGAACUGAGAUUAUUUAUUUGAAAACAGUGAUAAGAUAAAGUUGGCAGAGAUCACAUGAAAAAUCCAUCAGACAAGACUUGAGUACUAAAUAACAAUAAUUUUUACAAGCAACAUAGGUACACAUAUGUACAACCUACAACAUUGUCAGUGAACAGUUAAAAGAGUUUCCCUGCAAUUUUUAAAGCUUUGGAUUUUCACUAUACAUCCUCUUGGAAAUUAUUAAAAACAGAAAAAGAAAUCAAAAUCAAAAUAUCUGCAGACUGCAAGAAGCUUAAGAAAUUAGUGCCUCUCUGCAAAAAGAAAAACCAGGUCAUAUCAAAGAAGAAGAAAAAAAACCCUAAUAACGGAUAUUAAGAUUAAAGAAGAAGAUGAGGAUGAGGAUGAGGAAAAUGAAGUACCUUGAAGCCCUUCAGUUUAAUUGGAAAGCAAGAAGAUUAAAACAGUAAAGCCUGCAAAAGAAGUAUACUGAUGGAGAUAUAUAUGUAGAAAUAUAUGCUUGACUCCUCAUACGCCAUUCACAGAUGCCAUCGUUGUUCGAUAGGUUCUGCGGAUGGCAUACAGGGAGCCAGGCACAUACAUGAUAUAUACAUGGAUGCCAAAACAUUUGCAUGGUUGCAUGUCAUGCUUGAUGACAAUGCAUGGAACAGUGCAAUAUGCAAUGGGAUGAUGCUGAUGCUGAUGUUAAUGAUCUUCAACAAAAAGCUCAUAUUUCUCUAUACAUAUAUAUAUCUGGCAUGGGGGAAAGAUUGAAGUAUUGAGUGAAGGGCAUGGAGAGAAGGGGAGAAGGAAGAUAUUUAUGGAGAUCUGAAGCCAUAAAACAAAGCUUGAAGGUCAUAAUCAAAUAACAAGAGCCAAAGGGUUGUGGGUGUUUUUUAUUUUCCACAAAUGAACUUUUUGAGUUGGCAUAAAACAAGCAAAGCAGUAGUUUUUAUAGGCAAACUUAGGGCAAAAGGCUUUAUUUUUUUGUAAGAGGGAAAAAUGGAAGAUGCGGGGUUGAAAUUAAUCCCUUCUUCCUCCAUCUUUUGACCAUUAAAGGUUAGUGUUAGAAACAUAAAAUUAUACCCACAGAAUUAGGGUCGAAAAAAACAUGUUUAAAAAAACGUGUUUUAAAUUAUCCUUUUUAAGUGUUGAGUAUUGUUUGGUAAAUUGUCCAAAAUUUUGUUUAAAAUAAUAAAAUGAGUUAUAUGGAUAAUAAUAUAAUUUAGUGGGAAAUUAGUAAAGAAAAGGGAAAUACUGAAUUAGCAAUAUUGAGAAUGAGGUGAAACAGCUUUUUACUUUAAAAAACAGGGUUAAUAAUAAUGGUGAAAAUAUCCAAAAAUAGAAAAUAUGAAGAAAAUGGUAGGGUUAGUAACCACGCAAUUUCCCAAGCUAAAGCAUGUGGUGUUUGAAAACUCCUUUUCUGGGUCUUAAAAGCAAAGGUUGCUUUUCUAUUUCUGAUCCUCUUUUUUGUCUUCAUCUGCUUGGAAAUUACUUGGAUUCCUCUAUCCCUCUUUUCUACCUUCUCCUCUCUUUUAAUUUUAAUUAAUAUUACUUGGAAAAUGAAAAUUCAAAGUAGUUAUUUUUGUACAAAUAAUUAAUUAUAUGAAAAAAAAGGAUCAAAAGUUUGAUAAUAUUGUACAAUAUGAAAGUAGUGUACCCUUUUUGCUUUGAGUGGUACAUUGUUUUGAUUUUAAAGGUGUUUUUCUGAUCAUUAUCUAUACCUAAUUAGCUUAAUUUUAAGUGUCUUAAUAAAAUAUAUCGGUAAAAGUUAUACUAAUUUUACAUUCUCUACUAAAAAAAUAUGUAAAUCAAUCUCUAUACAUUAGAUCAAAGAAUAAAUUAGUCAUUAGGUUAAAAAUUGGUCCACAUACGUCAACAUGAGGUAUACAUGGCACACCACGUGUCACUAUUUGAUUAUUCUAUUAGCUAUGUCAGUUUUUAACAGCGGAAAUGAAUGGAAAUUUUAACAAAAAGGGUCAGUUUGCUCUUUGAUCUAGUGUACAAUGACUAUUUUGCCCAUUUUUUAGUAGACGUGGCAAAAUGCAAUCUAACACCUAGUACAAGGGCCUCUGUUGUAUUUUUACCAAUAUAUAUGCCAACAAGGUUUUGGUAGUGUUGACAAAAACAUUACAAGUUCUUUCUAGAUCUAUUCUGACUUAAACCUCACAAUGUAUGGGUCCUCUCUAAAGAUGUCUUGGUUUGGCUUCGGAUAUAUAGCGUUUAUUAGUUGGAUUGUGCUCUGUAAUGCUUGAUUUUGGUUAUAAUUGAUUCGAAUAUGUAUAGUUUGUAAUGCUUGAUUUUGAUUAUAGUUGAUUUAGAUAUAUAUUAAUUAUAAUUAUAAUUAUAUUUGUAACUUUAAAUAUAUAUUUUUUAGGAAUAUAUAUACUUCAAUUAUAUAAAUAUGAAUAUUUUUUAUAUGCAAAUAUUCAAAAUUUUAAACAUCAAAUAAAUAAUAUUGAACAUAUAUAUAUAAUAAAUUAAUAAUAAAUAUUUCAUAUUUUAUUUUUAAAUGUAAUUAUGAAAAAAAAUUAUCAAUAUUUUUCAAGUUAUAAUUGUUAAAAGCCAUUACACAUUAAUAGUUAUAUCUAUAUUAAUAUAAAAUUAUUUGAUUAAAAUUAAUGUCAUAAAUUAAACAGCACUAACUCAACCGAAAAAAGUUUAAAACAUAUAUUUUUUAAUAAAAUAACAAAUAUUAUUACAAAAAAUCACACAAAUACGAUACAAAUGUCUUAAAAUAUAUAUAAAAUGAAUGAUUAAGUGUAAGAGAAAUAUAAAAUGCUUGAAACACUAGCAUACACUAGUAAUAAAAUGAUUGAAUAAUAUAAACAUAAAAUGUCAAAUUUAAUCAUAACAUAUUAAAAAGAGUUGAAAUUGGGUAGACAAGCUCGACAUUAUGAUUCCAAAUUAUACGGUCCAUGUUGUACUACAUGGACCAUCCCAGUGUCGUAGUGAAUUUGUAAUCCUCUAUUAAUUUUUUUAUUAAAAAAAUAUUAUAUAAAUUGAUGUUUUUUUGUGUCGAAUUAUGGAGUAUUUUGGGCAGUUUAAUUCUUCUUCCUGGUCGAGGGUAUCAAAAGACGACGAUUCAAAGUGAUUGUUUGAAGGUGAUCAAGGUUCUCCAAGACACUCCAUUGACAGUGUCGAGUUCUGCUUUGAUUAAGUGUAUCCAGCAACUUUUGAUGCAUGAUUGGUAUUGGUGCACAUGCGUCUCAAGGGAGAAUAACCAAGCUGUUGACUAGCUAAAAUGGUCUUGAACGGGAAAGAGGGUCUACAUGUGUUCGAUGAUCCUAGAUGCUAAUAAUCUUUUAUUUUAAUAAAACAAGUGAUGUUUUUGCUUGGUUUAAUAUAAUGUAACAUAUUUAUAUUAAUAAAAAAACUAAUUAGGACAAUGUUAAUAUAAAAAUAAAUCGACAAAUAUAUCGUUUGAGUGAUUUAAAAAUUGACAAAAGAUUUUAAAAAUAAAAAAUAAAAACAUAGUGGAGUGGUUAAAAUCUUGCGUUUUAGUUGAUAUCGUUGGUCAAAAUUAGUUUUUGGUUUCACCAUUAUACAAUUCCUACCCAUUAAUGAGAAAUCAUCACUUAUAAAUUUAUAUUAAUUGAUUGGUAGGAGGUUUUGUUGAUUUAGCCUCCAUCCAUUUAAAACCAAAAGUGUUCGUAGAUUUUUUUUUAUUCUUUUAAAGAAAAAAAAAGUAGAAUUUUUUCAUCAUUUUGCUAAAUUAAUUUCUAUACGUUAGAUUAAAGUAGACCUGAUCAUAGGCCGGGAAUGUUUACCCGAAAUGUGCGAGGAUUUGGACAAAAAUAUAGGUCUAAAAAAUGGGUUUGAACAAAAAAAUAAGACCCGUUUAAAAAAUGAGCUGGGCCUCGGGUAAGGCAUUUUUGGCCCGAGCCCAAACAGGCCCGACCCGAAUCCACUAAUGACAAAAAAAAUCUACUUUUUUUAAUAUUAUUUUCUUGUUGUUUUCUCCCCCUUUUUUUGCUACCAUUUUACUAUUACGUUAUUACUAUUUUGUUGUUAUUAUUUGGAUAUCGUAUAAAACUUAUUUUAUUGUUAAUUUUGUUAUUAUUUUAGAGACAUUUGCUUGUUAAGUUGCAUCUAUCUUAGUGUUAUUUAAUAUAUAUAUUUUAAAAUUUAUUUUGAAUUUGUUGGGAAAUAUUUAUUUUGAUGUUUUUAGUAUUUUCGAUGUAUUAUAUAUUUUUAAAAUUAUAUAAAAAUAAUAUAAAAUUAAUGUGGGCGUGCUGAGUCGAGUUCGAGUUUUAGCAUUUUUAUCCGAGUCGGGCUUGGGCAAAAUUUUAGGCCUAUUUUUCGGGCCAGACUCUAGACUAACAAACGGGCUUGAAUUUUUAGUUGAACCCGGCUGAAACCCAGCCCAUGCUCACCUCUAGAUCAAAGAGAAAAUUAGUGUUUUUUGUUAAAAAUCGGUGUGAUUAACAAAUAACCAAAUAAUUACAGCUAUAUAUCAUGAGUAUCUCAUGUUGACAUAUAUGAAUCAAUUUUUAACAGUAGAAAUAGAUGAUAUUUAUAAUAAAAUGACCAAUUUAUUUUUGAUCUAUAUUUUGAGUAGAAAGGACAAAAUAUAAUUUAGUUAUUAAAGUAGGAAUUUCUACCAUACUUUUAAGAGAGGAAAAACAAUAGUUUAGAGGUAAGUAGGAAUCCGAAAUUAUUGAAUAAGGAUAAAAGAGGUUGGUUAAAUUAUAGAUAUGUUGGUUGGAUUUUGGUUGUUCCUUCACGGUAGCAUUUAACCCCAAAUAGUGAUAUAGCUUCUUAUUUUACCCAGCACUGUGAAUAUCCCCAUUUGUAUAUCCAUGACCUACUAACCAAAGGCUUUCAGUAAUAAUUCUAACCUUAAGGGCACGUUUGGUUCGCUGUAUUGGAUUAAAGGUGUAAUGAAAUAGAGGUGUAAUAGCAAAUCAACUGUUUGAUUGAAUGUAAUGGAAUAGAGGCGUAAUAGUAAUCUUGUGUUUGGUUGAAUGGAAUAGAGGUGUAAUAGCAUAAUGAAAAAAACUAAAAUGACUAGAAUACCCUUAGCAUAAAUUUAUUUUGGUAAAUGAUUAUUGUUAUUGUUAUUUAAAUUUUAAUAAGAUUAUUAAUAUCAAUAAUAAAUAAUUUAAUCAUAUUUAAACAUAAUUAUUAUUAAAUAUAUUAUAAUUAAAAUAUAUAAUUUAAUAAAAUUCUUAAUAAUCAAUAUUCUUAUAUGAAUUUACUCAAAUCAUAAUAUAUGAUACUAUAAAAUAUAAAUUAACAUAAUUAUUAUUAAAUAUAUUAUAAUUAAAAUAUAUAAUUUAAUAAAAUUCUUAAUAAUUAAUAUUCUUAUAUGAAUUUACUCAAAUCAUAAUAUAUGACUGUUAUUGCUUGUGAUAUUCUUAUAUAAGAAUAAUUAAUAUUCUUAUAUAUUAUUCAUGUCUGAAUAUAAUGCUCUCAUACAAAAUUUUCCAAUUCAUAAUUGUUCUACAAUUUGAAAAAUGAAUCUUUUUAGAUGCUUAAUUCAGGGCAAUGUUAGAAAAGCAAAUAUCAAUUCCCAUCAUCAUGUCAAACCUUUAGGUUGAACAAAAGAGUAAAAAGGGCACUGCAGCUUUAAGAUUUGAAUUAACAAUACAACUCUGAUUCACUUUAGCAGUCAUUCCUCCCUAAAAACACAGAUAUGAAUGAUCAGUCUUAAAAAGAACAACAACUCAAUUUUACUAGAUAGAGAUUUGCAUUCAUCAAAAUCCAUACAGGUCUGGCAACAAAAUACCCCUCCCCUACUACUGUCUCAUAAAAGGAAAGAGAAUAAAAACACCACCUUAGAGUUCCAGAGUAAUAAUAUAACACUGUAUAGCUGACAUAUUUCAUAACGUUUUCAUCUAAAUUACAUGUCCAAGGACCAUGACAUAAACAAAUGCCUGGACCAUGCUUUACACUGAAUAACACGAUCGCCCAAAUAAGUAGCAUUUGAUUUCAGUAACUAAUGAACACAUACAACAGGUACUUCGAGUGCAAAGUUCAUGAAGUUCUUCAUAAGUCCACAUCUGCCAUUAUCACACAUUGUCAAUAGUCAGUUGUCGGUAUUGCCAUUUCGAAUUGCACGACAAAACUCAGCUAAGAAAUCCAUCUGUGAGCCAGAUGAAGGCCCAGUAUUGUUUGCUGGGGACAUCAUCUGAGGAAAAGCAAGUCAAAUGCAUAAGGAAUGGGGACCGUGAGAAGAAGAAGAGGUGAAGGAUGAAAGAAUACCUGAUGGGGAAGUCUGAAAUUCCUCCAGGCUGAAUCACUAAUUCUAGAGUAUAGAACUGGUCUUUUUGAAACAAGGAAAACCACAGUAAAAGGAAACAACCAUUAUGGAAGAAAAUAUCCAUCAAUAAACAAGAAUGGAAACAAGGUCAGACAUAAGGAGAAAUAGGAGAAACAAAAAAUAGAAAUAAAAAACGACAUGACAAAGGAUGCCCAAUAUGACACUCCCAAGAUCCUCUAAACAACAGGCAGCAAACACAGAACUGCUUGCAACCACAAAUCUAAAAGAAAGAGCAACAUUCAGCACAUUAGUAGCUUUCUUUAACAUCAUAUUAGCAGCAACACAGAGUGGUUCAGAAGCUGGUGGAAUUAUUUUAAGAAGAUUCAUAACCUAUGCUUGGGAUGAGGAACCUUGGAAUAUAUUAACAACAGAGUUCUUAGAAAACCAAUGAUUUAUCCACUAGCAUAAUUCAGGCUGGUUUGUGCUAGUCAUGAAUUAACUUGGUCCAAACUAAUCCUAAAUAUCUCAUAUGGAUUGGAUAUCUUCGAUGAUGCUGACAACCUUGUAAUUCACUCCUUCCAAUCCCUUCAACUUAACUUAUGCAUACAACAGUUAUCAAAGUACGGCAUCAAUCUUCGUGGGAAUGGUUGUCUCAUCCCCCAACAAGGAAAUUAUCUCAUAGUUAGCAGUUAGAGGCCACUAUUUUACUUAGCCAGAUCAACCAACUUCGACCACCUAGUCAAAACGAAACUGAUAAUAGCUACUACAUCCUCCACUUUUUCCAGAUCCUAACACCAUCAUUAAAAAAAACACUAUUGUUUUUCCUUGAACCAAUAAACAACAAUAACAAAAAAAAUCAAAAUAAAAAUAGCUAUCAUUCACCAAGAUUAACAAGUUAUUCCACAAACUAAAAGAACAAAGAUAAGCAUAUUAUGCGAGCAAAAAGAAAAAAAAAAGAAGCAAAAUAUGCUAUAGCCUAUAGGUACAUUUCGACAUAAAACUUGCUGCCAUACUAAAAUCCAUAUCAAAUUAAAUAACCUACAAUUUAAACAAUGACUUUGCUCUAAUACUGGGAAAUCACAUCAAUGCAUAUCAAGAUACACACUAAAUAUACAAGAAGAAAGACAUCUGAUAUUGAAAUACCAUCAAUCUGCAAAGAUGAUCUCUUUACAAUAAAGUCUCUAUAGCUAUUCAUACAAGAAUAUGUAUAACAGCUUCGACUAACAGCUACUAUUAACUCCUUAGCAGACUAUAAUGGAUAGCAAAUAGUUACAAUUGAACCAAUUGUAUAACAGCUUCGACUAACAGCUACUCUUGACUAACAGCUACUGACUAUCCUUAACAAUGCAGCAAUGCUCGUGCGAUCAAUCUCAGGCAUCCAAUAAGAACCUUCAAAUUUUUUCAUACAAAGAAAUACUAAGAACAACCCUCUACUUGGAGAAGCUAAAUAACAAUUAAUCCAAAACAAAAAGAAAACUAAAACUAACAGAUGCUCCCUUUUCAAAGAAAAAAAGAAUAAACAAUAGAAAAUUGUAUUCCAUCUUAGUUAAGGUUAUUCAUUCAACCAUCUGGGCUAAACCCAAUCAGAAAAAUCAGAGAAACAACAUUUACAAACUUUCCAGUUCCUUUUCCUUGGUUUUCAAUGCAACCAAACAGAUAUUUAACACGAGAAAGAAAAAAUAAUAAGAAUUACCUGGGAAGAUAAGAAUUGAAACUGGUUGUCUUCUGGUUCAAUUUUAGGGUAUUUUAUCAGCCCCUCCAUUGAUUCUUUUCAUUUGGUUUCAACAAAAUAAAAAAAAUUUCAAGGAACUACAACGAGAAAUAAAGAUAAUGAUAACAUAUAUCCGAUAUUCAUAACUCAUCACAGAUUCGACUGAAAAAAUAACUAAACGAGCAGCAAAAUUCAACGAAAACGAUAAAGAAAUAAACUGCUGAUAGAAAGGUAUUUGACUUACAGUUUUUGUGCGAAACUGAGAUUAAUAUUUUGGAUUCGAUCAAACAACAAAAAUUUGGAGCUAUAAUGAUACAAAAAGAAAAGAAAAAGUUGAGAAGGAGCAAAUCGGUUGUAAAGAAAAAGAAAAUAAAAGGUGAAGCCUGGGAGGGUAAAACAGGGAGGGUAAACUGAAGGAUCGCCUAAACGGAGCAAAAGGGAGGUAUUAGAAAUCGGUGGAUUUCACCGAUUAGGUCAGUAAUAGUUUAGCCCCGUAAUAGCAAUACAACGGAUUAUAGCCAAUACACCCAACCAAAGAUGCUCUAAGUGAUCAUCCUCCUACGAAUUGUCAAUAUCUUUAUGAGAAUCUUUUGCUGUCACAGUAAGCCCACCAAUACCAAUUUUCGCCUCACAUAAAUUUAUACCCACAAUUAAUUUCUUUUUUCUACUUAUUAUAUUUGAACUGAGAUUGAUUUCGAUUUUGGUAUUAGUAAACUUUUUGUUUUCUUUUUUAAAAUCAAUUUUAGAGUUAAUACAUACUAAAAAUGUAAUUUCUUCAAUUUCAAGAGACUAUGUAAAAAAGUGAAUGUUUUGAAUGGGAAUUUAUUUGUAUAAUUAAUUUUAAGAGGAAGCAUUUAACAUCUUCAAGUUCGAUUUUCCAAUUUUAACAUUGAUAAUCUCUUCUCUUUCUUUUUUUUUUCUUUCUAUUUUGUAAAUUAUAACCUCGAUCGUGAUAAGAAUAAGGUAAUCUCUUGAGUUUUGUUGAUAAAUGUCAAAUGUAUAUAUAUUUAUAUAGUAGUAGUUAUGUAGGAAUGCUAAGAAAUAUAUCCCAUAAUAAUAUCUUAUAAUAUCCCAAUAGGAAUCAAAUUACUAAAAGAUAAUAUACUAACACUCCCAUUUGGAGCAUGCAGAUCAUAAAUGUCAAACUUGCUGAAAAGAUAUUCAAAUUGCGAUUUACCAAGCGUCUUUGUAAAAAUGUCAACCAACUUAAUGAAGGUCGAAACAUAAGAAGGUGCAAUCAACCCAUCCUAGAUCCCUAACAAAGUGACAAUCCACUUCAAUAUGUUUAGUACGUUCGUGAAAUACGAGAUUCUGUGCAAUAUUGAAGUACCCAUCCUGUAGCAUGCGCUAAUUUAUGAUUUUCCUCUAUUGGUGAUCCUGUGGGCUCUACUCCCAAAAGACUCGCUUCCGAAAUAAUAUUAAGUGCAUAUUUCCUUUGACAAAGAAAUAACCCCAAAGAGUGAUGAGCUACCUUUAUCCCCUAAAAAUAUUUCAAAACACCAAGAUCCUUCAUAUAGAAGCAAGAACUCAAAUGCCCCAUAAAAGUUUUCAAAGCAACGAAAUCAUUCCCAAAAAUAAGUAAAUCAUCAACAUAAAUUAGCACAUUAAUGUGUACAAAUCCCUUAGUGUAUGUAAAGAGAGAAUAAUCAGAAUUUGAUUGAAGAAAUUCAUACCCUUUCAGUGCAGUAACAAGCGUCGCAAACCAACACCGAGGAGUUUGUUUCAACCUAUACAAAGACUUGCACAAACGACAAAUCAUUCUAAGCUUAUUAGGAGCAAAACCUGGAGGAAGCUUCAUGUAAACCUCUUUAUUAAGACCACAAUGCAGGAAGCCAUUAUGGACAUCCAUUGCUGUAACUCCCAAUUUUCGAAACUGUAAUAGUUAAGGCAGCCUGAACAGUCACUAUUUUCACCACAAGUUCAAAAGUUUCAUUAUAGUCAAUUUCUUCCACCUAGUGAUUACCAAAAACAACAAUAAGAGUUUUAAUUCUCUCCAUACUUCCAUCAGAGUUAUAUUUAAUCUUGUACACCUAUUUACUACCUAGUGCUAUCUUUCCAGGAGGAAGUAUUUCUAUAGACCAAGUGUCAUUAUAGUCAGUUCCUUCUACCUAGUGAUUAUUAAAAACAACAAGAUGAGUUUUAAGUCUCUUAAUACUUCCAUCGGAGUUAUAUUUAACCUUGUACACCCACUUACUACCUAGUGUUUUCUUUUUAUGAGGAAGUGUUUCCAUAGACCAAGUGUCAUUAUCCUCCAGAGCAUAGAUCUCCUUUUGCAUAGCAUCACACCAUCCUGCAUCUUUCACAACCUCUUUAAAAGACUAUGGCUCAACCCUUGAAGUAAUAGCUGCAAGAAAAUUUUGGUGUUUCAAAGUAAAUUUGUCACAAUUAACAUUAUGCGCUAUAGGAAGCAAAGUACCUGACGAAGGCUCUAAACCAAAUGAUGUGGGAGAUCAAGUUUUCUUUAUAUGACAGUAUGAGUGACAAAAUCUCGAAGCUUUCCAGAGAGAAUUUUCUCCCUAUGCCCUUGUCCCAAUUCAGGCACAUCAUUACCCAAAGCCCCACGUAUCACCAUGUCAUUAAAGGGAGAAGAAGAUACCAUAGAUGUCGGAUAACUCGUAGGUGGCGAACUUACAGGCUAUGGAGUAGCAAGUGAAGGAACUAUCACGAGUUACAACACCUCUGAGUCACCAAAAUAUGUAUUAAAAAUUGCGUCUGCACUCUUAUAUGGCAGAGAAACAUUUUAGGCUCAAUAGUUGCAGCACUCCCAUCCAAAUACGAAAAAAUAUGCUCAAAAAAUUUCACAUUGCAAGACACAAAGAACUUCUUAGAAUUUAGAUCAUAUAAAUACCAACUUUUUUUGCCAAAAGUGUAGCCUACAAAAACACACUUUCGACUUCGACUAGCAAAAAUUAUCACCUUUAGAACGUUGAUUAUGAGCAAAACAUAAGCAACCAAACACACAAAGAUUAUCAAAUAAAGGAUAUCUAUCAAGCAACAUUUCAUAGGGUGUUUUAUUGUGAAGAAGAGGUGAAGGAGUUCAAUUAAUGAGGUGAGAAGCAGCCAACACACACUCCAACAGAUUUCCCUGGAAACGCAAAGCACGAACUACAUUCAAAAUAUGUUGAUGUUUCCUCUCCAUUCUUCCAUUUAGUUGAGGAGUACCAAACACAAGAUGUUUGAAAAAUAAUGUUAUUUGCAAGAAAAUAAUCUUGGAGACAAUUAAAUUCCAUCCAUUAUCAUUUCUAACACACUUUAUUUGUUGAGAAAAUUAACAAUCAACCAUAACAAUGAAUGACAUGACAACUUUGAAAACCUUAUUUUUAUUAACCAAUAGAUAUACCCAAACAACAUGAGAGAAAUCAUCAACCAAUGUAAAAAAAAUAAUGAGAUCCACAAGAUGGAGUGUCAUAAAACGCACAUAAAUCACAAUGAACUAACUAAAAAAUACGACUGGCUUUCUAUUCACUAAUUGGAAUUUUAUUUCUAGUCUGCUUAGUACGAUGAUAAAUUUCACAUGCUUUAUUCAAAUGAUCUCUAGAGUUACCAACAUAAGGAAAUAAUUUACUACUUUCUUGGAAGAGUGACCCAAUCUUCUAUGCCAAAGUUCCAAAGAUGAUGAAGCUUCAUCCGAAAUUGCGUUGACUGUCGAAACUUGCCGAAAGUAGUAAAGUCCAUCCCAUCUCUCACCCGUUCUAAUCAACUCCCUCAAAUGAAGUUCAUGAAUAUCACGUAUGUUAGUAGAAAAUUGGGCAAAACAGUUCAUAUAAUCAUUUAAUUGGGAAACUGAAAUUAAAUUGCAGUUUAAUUUAGGAACAUAAAGAACAUGUUUUAAGUGAAUUUUGUUCGUCAAUUUAACCAUUCCUUCUUGGGUAGCCACCACAGUUUGGCCAUCAAGGAGACCUAUGAAACAUGCUACAACAUCUCUCACAUUCGUCAAACAUAUAAGAUCACCAGUAACAUGAUUUGAACACCUCAUAUAAAAAAUUCAAUUAUUCUUAAACUUACCAUUCAACCGAGUGGAAGUUAAUUGUUUAAUACCGAACACCGCUAGCAGAGACUAUCAUUGCUCAGCGGUAAAAUUAGGUAGUGUCGCUCCCUGGUGGUGGUGGAGGAGGAGAAGACUUGUCACCAACCAUUUAGAAUGAUGAAAAAAAAAUUGUGUCAAAAACCUUGCUCAAAUGUAUAUAUAUUUAUACAGUAGUAGUUACAUAGGAAUCAAAUUGCUAAAAGGUAAUAUCUCAUAAUAAUAUUCUAUAAUAUCUCAUUAGGAAUCAAACUGCUAAGAAAUAAUAUCCUAUAAUAUCCCAUUAGGAAUCAAAUUGCUAAAAGAUAAUAUCCCAUAAUAAUAUCCUAAUAGAUCAUAUUACACUUUUUCUCUUAAUUUUAUUUUUAUUUAAAGGCAUAUAUUGAUUAGCAAAUUAUUUUUGUUAAGAUUAUAGACUGGUUUAUGUACGUCAGCAUGAGGUGCAUAUGGUACAUAACUUGUAAUUAUCUGGUUAUUUCAUCAACGACGUAAAUUUUUAACAGUAAAAAUAAAUAAAAUUUUUAACAGAAAUAAUCAAUUUACUUUUUGAUCUAACAUAAAUAAAGAUAGAACAGUUAUAUUUAUACAUGAAUUUUGUAUAAAUUUAUAACUCUGUUAAUAUUUAGUGUCAUAAUAACUUGUUAAUAAGAUGUUAUUUUGUGGUUGAGUUGUGAAUAAAAUGAAUGGUAUGAUCGGUUAAGAGAUUGUAGGAUCUGGAUUGAGAAUCUCGACGUGUCUGCAAGGUCUUUUGGACCGUAUCGUUAAUGUCUUUGCCUCAAGGUGAGUGAGUUUCUGACAACAAGACACCGACCUUUGCCUCUAACCUUGCCACCAUAUUUUGUUUCGUCAAGGUGGAUUUGCCUUUUCAACAUGACACUGCUUGUAGUGCUCCUCCUCUGCCCUUUCUCUCUGUGAUCCGUAUGUUAACGGAUGGUGUUGCCCGCUUCGGUUCUGUUUUCGGGUCUUUUAUCUUUUCUACUUUCAGGCCUUUUCUGUAAGGGUGAGCUUAUAAAUUCAGUGUUUCGAGGUAUGGAUCUUGUACUAAUCUGUUGUAAUUUUCUACUUGGAAUGAAUUAUUUUUUCUCAUGAUGAAAUAAUUUGGUUAACUAACAAAUAUAGGAAAAGAAAGUAAUCAUUCAAUUCAGUACAUUCAUUGUUAUGUUCAGUGAUUAUGAAACUAUAUCUAGAAAACUGUUUUCUUCCAUCGCAAUUCCAAGGAGAAAGAUGGGAGCAAUGGGUGGUCCUAUCAUAUUAAUUGAUAAUAUAAUUUUAAGAUAAAAAUAUAAACUAAAAAAUAAUUAAAAAUAUAACUUGAAAUAUAAUAUGAUAUAAAAAAACAUCAACAUAAUAUGAUUAUCAACAUAAAAUAAGCCUAAGCUCAAAAGUCCAUUCGUACCAAUUUGAACUUAUUACAAUCUGAACCCGUAAUAAAAUUGAGCUCGAGAAAGCUCAAACCCGUAACAGAUUCAAACUCAAGAUCAAUCUGGCCUAACUUCAAGAUAAAUUCAAUCCAAAGCCCAAAAAAUCUCGAAUUUAUAAUUGAACAAUCAUAAUAAGUAUUAAUAAUUAUUAUAAUUUUAUGACAUUAUAUAAAAUAAAAAUAAAAUGUAAAUAAAUGACUAUAUUUUUUCAAAAUGUUUCAUAAGCAUAUUGCAUAUUGCAUAUUUAUAUUAAAAUUAUUAAUAGGAAAAAUAAUUAAUAAUAAUUUUUUAUGUUAAAUUAUAAAGUGAAAUAAAAUUUUUAAAAAUAUUAAUUUAAUACAAAUAAUUUGAAUACUAUAAUUAUAUAUGUAUAAAAAAUAUAUAAUAAUUAAAAUAUAUAAAAUUAAGCUUUAAUGCUAAUAUUGUAAUAUAUUAUAUAACUAUUACCAAAAAUUGAAACUGAUUACCUAACCCGACUUUAAACCAAUUGAUAUAUUACUAAUACAUAAUACAAUAAUAUAUUAUAAUGUAUUAGUAUUACUAACACAAAAUAAUAUAACAUAUAAUUAUUUCUAAAAAUAUUAAUACAUAUAUAUAACUAUUAUUAUACUAUAGAUUAUAAUAAAAUAUAUAGUAUAAAUGAUAUUAUAAUGUUUAAUUAUCAGUGCAUAUAUAUAAAUUAUUAAUUUAUUAUAUGAUAUGAUAUAACACUAUAUAAUAUAUUAGGAGGGAUAAUUUUUAAAUAUACAAAAAGUAUAGGGACUUAUAUCAUAUUUUGACCAAUAUAAUAGUAAACAAUAAUGUUUAAUAAUUAAUAUAUAAUGUACUACUGUUAUAUAUAACUAUAAUUAUAUUAUAAAUUAAAAUAAAAAAUAUAGUAUUGCGUGAUAUUAUAAUGUUUAAUCAUUUAUGCAUAUAUAUAUAUAUAAACUAUUAAUAUAUAUUAUAUACUAUACCGUAUGAUGUAGAAGUAAUAUAAUAUAGUAAAAGGGUUAACUUUCAAAUGUAUGAAAAGUAUAGGGACUUAAAGCAUAUUUCAACCAAUAUAAUAAUAAGCAAUAAUAUAUGAUAAUAAUUAAUAUAUUAUGUACUAUUUUUAUAAUUAAAAAGCAAAUUCAGUAAUCAACACAAAUUACAAAAUCUAUAAUCUCACACUUAAUUUAUAUAAUAUCAUAAAAUAAUAAAUUUUACAUACAAUAAGCACUUUAAUUAUUUUAUAUAAAAGAACUUUAUUAAAUAUACAUAAUUUAUACUUUUUAUAAGGCAAAAUUGAGUUAUGUUGUUAUCCUAUAAAAAUAAAAUAAAUUAUUACAUUCGAAAUUAAAAUAUUUAUAAUUAUAAAAUUCAAAUUAUUUAAAUCAAUUAGAGUUCACCCGACUUGAUUUGAAUUUGAAUCCGAAAAAAUCUAAAUUCAAAAGGGUCUGAGCUUAAAAAAAUUUAAGUGAUCUAUAACAUAUUUGAGACCGAGAAAAUCAAACCCAAAUUAAUUUAAACCUUAAAAAAUUUAAGUCUGAAAUAAGCCUGAUCCGAGCUUACUCAUUUCUGAGCUGUAGUAAGGAGAAAAGGAGAUUGGAAAGGAGAAACCGUAAUGUUUCUAUAAAGAAAAAAUAGGAAUAUUUUAUUAUCUCAUUAUUAUUCUGUGUUUAAUAUAUUAAUUUUUCCUUUUAGUUUAUCACUUUUGAUAUCCUAUUAUUUGAUAGUUAUAUUGGAAUUUGAUUAUUUUAGAGUUUAUUCCAAUCGAAGUUUAAAUGAGAAUAUAUUUUUUAAGUUUUUUUUUUAAUUAUAAAACUCGAACUUAAACUCACUUAAAUAGUAUGCUAACUCUUUACCUCUUCUUCCAACAAAUAAUUCUAUAUUUUGUUGAAGCUAAAGUAUUGAUUAUUCAAUUAAAAUAAAAAUAUUUUAUAUUUUUAUAAUUAAAAUUUUCAUUAUUAAAAAGCAAAUUCAGUAAUCAACACAAAUUACAAAAUCUAUAAUCUCACACUUAAACAAGCUUGUCUGAAAGGUGGUUGGAAAGUCUCCACAAAUAUUCUCCAUAUAUAUAUAUGCGAGUACAUAAGGUAGCUCUUGUCACGUAGUAACGUAAAAAAGACAGAUGAAAGUAUGCAAUGGCAAUAAUAUGUCUACAUGCUUCUUCUGUAAUAAAACAAUAACAAAAGUUAAACAACUCCAUGGACAAAGCAUUGGAAGCAAUAAACAAAAAUAAUAUAAUAUGAAAAAACCCAAGGAAGCAAAGCCUUGAUCAAUAGAAAUGGAAAGAGCCUUGGGGAAGAGAGAGAGAGAGAGAGUAUAAGAAGAAAAGGCUGCAAAGGAAAAAGGAAUUUGGUUUCCUUGUUUGUAGAAAAUGGCAACUGAUGAAAUAAAGGAAGGAAACCCUAAUGUUAAUUAUGGAAUAAAAAAGAGGGAUACUGUUUAUCGUGUAGAGUGUUGGAACCAAUCAAGUGUGAGAAUCUUGGUGUCAGUAUAAUGGGGUUUUCUCUGCUUCUCCCUUUUUUCCACAGAUUUUCUUUUAUAAUAAAUAUUUUUGUUUUUUCUUUCGAAAAUACAAGGAAUUUUCUACCAUUAUUAUAUAAAAACUUUGUGAAUCAAUUUUGUUUUUCUUUUUACAAUAUUGUUGCCUCGAACAGCACAAACUCGAAAACACUGUUUUGGUGAAUUAUGAGAAUGACGAUGAUGAGGUAUCUGUCUCUCUCUAUUUCUCUUUGCAGAGAGUCAUGUGCUCUGCAUUUUUUCACUUUGGUUUGCCUUUUGGAGUUAUGUAAUUCGUUGGUUUUUUUUUUUACUAUUAUAUACUAACAAGUAGAUAUUUAUUAAGGUUUUCAGUAUUAGUUCGAUGGUUAAAUCGAAUCGAUCAUUGAUUCAUAUAGUUUGAUUACGAAAGAACAAAAUUAAUAUUUACAAAUAAAUUUGAGUAGUGUUAACAAUCAAUGCCAACUAGCUUUUAGAUAAUUUAUGAGAGGCUUGGUUGAUAUCUAUCAUGUAGAAGUUAAAAGCAGAUGCUUAAACGGUUGAAACUAGCUUGAGAGCGGAGAUUUCGAUAGGUAAAAGUGGAAAUUGACAAUACUCUCUUAUUAGAAAUUUUGCGUUCUGGUUUUGUUUGUGUAAACAAUAUAGUGGAAGUCAGAUUGCUCCACACUUGGAUUGCUAAGGAUUGGUAAGUGAAGCUUAGACUUUUAUCGAGAGAUGGCAACAGAGUCACUGACUGCUUGGCUAAGGAAAUCUCGAGAAGCUUGAACCAAGUAAUCAUCCUUGAUGAAUAUCCGAUCUAUGUGCAACGUCUAUUGAAAAUUGACACUUAUCAUGCAAUGUCUGAUGUAAUCAACGAAAAUUAGACUAGUUUUAUUUUAAUAUAAUUUUUUCUUCUACCAAAAAAAUAAAAAAUCAAUGCCAACUACUCCAGGCAUGAAGUAUGAACAAGGUAGAAAAACAAAAACACACACGAUAUGUUAUACAAUUCAAUUUUCUUAUUUUAUGGGGUCCUGUCCAAAGACAUAAUUCGUCCAAAGACAUAAUUCAUUAUCUUAGUAACUCGUACAACAAAGUGAUUAUAAUUUUUAACACUCACUUUUGUAUCUAAAAUCUAAAUAUUUCCUCCUCUAAGCUUCCUCACUCAAAGCUUAGAACAUUAACCAAGUGACUUAUUUGAUUUUAUACUUAAUGCAUGCAUAAGAAAUGUUCCUCAAUGAACAUAAAUAAGUGCUCUCAUAUCAGUACAUUAACUAUACAAGUCGCCUAAAUUUAUAAGGAAUCGAGAAUUAUCAAUAUACCAUAUAAAUUACAAUUAAUUUUCUUAUAAAACUAGUAAGAUAAUAAGUAUAAAAAAUAUAUCUAAUGAGCUUAGAAUAAUUAUUAAAAUAAUUAAUAUAUAUAAUAUUAAAAAAUAAAAUACUUUCAAAUCAUUUUAUAAUAUUAAAAAGUAUAAUAUGUACAAACAGUAGAUUUACACUUUUUUAUUCUUCAAUCUUAAUUUAAUUUAAUCUCUGCUAAUCGAUGUAACUCAUAUUUUGUGUAUACCUCCUCUUUUUUAUGUUUUUUUUUCAAUAAAAUAAUUUUAUUAUAAAUUAAAAACAAAAACUCACAAAUAAAAGCACAAAUCAACGAGCAAGAAAUGUGGGUUUUUUCUUAAAAAUAAUACUAAAAAAUAAUUAAAUAUAAAAAUAGCGUGGGAAAUAGAUUAAAUAGAAAAAUGGAGUGCUUUUUUUAGUGCUUUUCUAUGCAAUCUAACUGGUUGACAGCAUUAUUUUUUUUAAAUAAUUUUUUAUUGGUGUUGCCUGACACAAUAAUAAUAUUGAAAUAAAGUACAAUGAAUCAAAACAUUCACGGACUUGAUAUGAAACAUUCCCUUUUAAAUUGGUUGGUGUAAAAAAAAAAAGUUAAAGGUAGUGCAUGAUAACGUGACAACAUCGACACGAGUGAUAAUUGCUUCAUGAACCCUUCUAUUUAAAUUUUUUUAAAAAAAUAAAAAAUCUGAAAAAUAAUUAAAAAAAACUAAAAAUUAGGGAAAACUUUAAACUAUAGAAAACAUCACAUCUGUUUUUCAUACCAUUUUUGUAUUUAAUUAUUUUUUAAUAUUAUUAAAAAAAACCCAAGAAAUGUAAAUAGAGUAGAUGACGCCACAAGGCCACAAAUGUUGAAGCAAACAGUACAAAGAGAGGCAGUGAUCUAGAAAAAAGCUAAAAACGAAGAUUAAAGCCAAGCAAAGAACUGAUCACGAGAAAGCCCUAUUUUAGCAAUUCCAUCUACAAAGCAGUUCAAAACAUGGUUGGUAUGGAUGAAAUCUACUUCUCCAAUUUCUCCAGUAAGAGUCAAUAUCUUGGAAGGAAAAAUCCAGAGUUCUACAGCCUACGAUCAGGUUAGUGAAAACUUUUGGGGCUCCAAACGUAGAGCGAGAGAGAAAAGUGAGAGUGAGUUGAUUUGGUUAACUUGAGGAAAUGACGAAUUUCACAUACAAGCAAAAGGAUCAAUGGCAAUUUUUUAAAUUUUUUUAAUUUUUAAAGUACAAUAUGAAAGUCAAACAUAUGCAAAAUUAAGAAGACUUCGGCAAAAAAGAAUCAUGCAUUUUAACAAAAUUUUGAAUGUGAUAUUUAUACUUUUAAUUUGUUCAUUUUAGUAUGUACAUUUAUUUUGUUUAUGAUCAUUAUGGUAUUUUGUUCUAAUGAUGUUAAUUUUUUACAUAAAUUAACACGUGAAAUGGUUAAAGAGUCUCACGUGAUAUUUUUGAAUCGAAGAAAAAAAACUAAAUGAUCAUAAUAAAGGGACUCACGUAAUUCUUUUUUUUUUCCUUUUUAGACAAAAUAUUUAAAAGCCAAACCACAUCAUCUCGAUUUUCUUUGUUUAGUCUCGAGUAUAUCUUGUGUUUGAAAUCAAUUAAGAUUAAGGUUCGUUUGUUUCACUGAAAAUGACUUCUAAAAAAUGAUUUCUGGAAAAUUAUUUAUUUUUCUGGAAAAGCUAAUAAUUUCUGUUGUUUGGUAGAUUUCUUUAAAAUAUUUCAUAAAAGUUGUUUUCAAUUAAACAAACAUACAUUUGAGAUUUUCUUACUUUUUCAUUGUUUAAUUAAAUUUAUUUUUAUCUAUAAUUAUUUUUGCAUAUAUUAAAAAUAUUAUGUUAAAUUCAGAUUCAUUACAAAGUCAUUUUUUAAUAACAUGACUACUAAGUGAGUAUUUUUUAUUUAAAAAUGUGACAUCAACAAAAUUGAUAAAAAAAAAUUAACUAUGUCAACAAUUGGACUUGAUUUUAAAUUUGAAAAGUAAAGGGACUAAAUUCUUAAAAGUAAAAGUACAAAUACUAAGUUACAAAUCUGUGAAGUGUACAUAGAUUUAUGACAUAUUUUAACCUUUAUACUACAAAAUAUUUAUUAUUAAUAUAUUUAUAAUUGUAAUAAAUAUUUAUUAUUAAAAUAUUAAUAUUGAAUAUUUUCAAUAAUAUGUGAAGAAUAUUAUUUAAAUUUAUUAUUUUUAAAAUGUAUUGUUAAAAUAAAAUUGAAUAUUAAACAAUUUAUUAAAAAAAUAAAUUAUAUCUAUUAUAUUAAUAAUUUAUUAUAUUACUAAAUAUAAAUAAUUAAAUAUGUAUGUUUAAUAAUAUUAAAAAAUAAUAUUUUAAAAAUUUUUAAAAAUAAAAAAAAUUAUUAUCAAUAUAAUAAUAUUAAGCUUGAUUUAAGUUAAUCUUUAUAUAAAAAUAAAAUUAUCUAUAUAUUAGCUUUUUUCCGGAAAAUGACUUACGCUUUUCAAAAGGAUAAGUCAUUUUACGAGAAAAAGGGCCUAUUUUACUUUGACUUGUAAGUCAUUUUCCGUUAACCAAAUUAUUUUCUGUGAAACAAACAUAGGAAAAAUACAGAAAAUAUUUUCCGUAAAACCUUUUAAAUGUAAACAAAUGGACCCUAAGUGUUGUCAAGUUUAGUGAUGAUUCGAGUGAGAAUGAUGUUAGUGCAAGUUAAGUGAUGGGUGUUACCAAUUUUGAUAUGGAAAUGAAUAAUUAGGUCAUAUUGAUAUUAUCGUUAUUUUCCACAUAAAUAAUGAAAUGAUGAAGAUGGUGACAAUGCUCAAAAUUUUCAUCAAUUUUUAUUUAAUUUAUUCUAGAUUUUAGUUAAUUUUGAAAAAAAAAUUCUAAGCCUAAAAAAAUUAGUUUUUUUAUUUAUUUUUAUUUAAUCUUUUUAAUUUUAUUUUGAAAUAAAACAAAGAAUUUUGGAUUAAUUAUAAAGAAGCCUCUGAACUCUAAUUAAAAGUCAACAAAAGAAGUAUUACAUGGCAGCCCAUAAUCGAGCCACAUGUCAAAAAUGUCGGCAUUUAACACUGUUAGAGGGAAUUAGUGAAUUGAUAGACAAAAAUUAAAGAUCGGUUACCACAUUUGACGUUUCGAAAGUAGAAGUACCAUAUUGAAAAGUCUAUUAAAGUAUAGGGGAUUUUUUUUACCAUUAACCCUUAUCAAAUUAACUAUUAAUUUUUAAAUUUAAUGUUAAAAAUUAAAUUAAUUUUUGUAAUUUUAAUAUUAAAAACUAUUUUUAGUAUAAUGUUGAUUUAAUAAUAUAAUAAAUAAUAAAAUGUAUUCUCGUGAAUUUAAAUUCAUGCUUAUAUAUAUGGAUUAAAAUAUUGUUUUCCUAAUUAAUUUUAAAAUAAAAAAUAAUAAUUAAAAAUGAAUUUGAGGAGUUAAGAUGAAUUCAAAAAAGAUUGUAUUCAAAAAUUAAUAUUAUUUUUAGUUUGUCUUGUGCACACAACUUGGCUCGUCGAUCACAUGCCUGUGUACCACUACACGACUUACCACACGGGCGAUCACACGCCCGUGUGGAAUCGACAAAAUACUUUUUUGAUUUUUCGCUGCUUCUCGUUUUCGGUGUUUCAGGUACACACUUGAUAUUGAUUCGAAGCUAACACGACCACGAGCACUGCAGAACCUAUUAUUGGCCAAUAACACACCAAUUAAGUUACUUAUCACUAGCUUCAACAAAAAGACACAAGAUGGCAAAACGCCAAAUUUACAAAAAUGUUACCUUCAGUCGAUCAAUCGGGGUUUCGCACACUUAAAACGUCAAUCAGAGACCUCUAACCCUUUGAUCAAUUCCUAAUCAACCAACAGAAAAAACCCCUUAAACCCCUUAACCAAAAAACAUUAACAUAGAGUAGGAACAUAACUUACCACACCACGAAAUCGCACACUUACACCCGGAACGAAUGAACAAAAGAAACCAAUUAGGGAAAAUAGGUGAGGGGAAAAGAAUUUUCGGCAGCAAAUUGCCAGCAAUGAGGAUGGAAAACAAUGGCAAAAAGGGUGGAGAGAUUUUGGAGAAAAAGAUAAACCGAAUAUUCAAUAACCACCCUUAAUCCCCUAUUUUUCUCCUAAAAACCGUUUGUCACACUCCCACUAUCCCUCAAAUACUCAGCAUUUUACUAGCAUAAAUAAUAAAAAUAUUGCUCUUAUCCAAAUUCAAACACAAGACCUCCUUCAUACUAACACUCUACUUAACCACCAGGCCAGCAAACCCAUUCUGUUAUAAACUUACCAACAUUUAAUUAAAAGCCUACUGUCUAAAGAUAGGGCUUUAUUCAUAAGAAUACCAAAAUUUACACAAGUUGUGACUUAAACUUAGAAUCUCUCACACACACUCAUAAUACUUAACCACUGAAAUAGAUACUCAAUUAUGUCAAUGAAUUACAAAAACAUAUUUAAAAACUUGGGGCGUUACAUGCGACUUUUUAUAUUAAUUAUGAGAGAAACGCUAAAGGUCCAACUGGUUUAGCUUGUGAAGAUCUACUUUGAUUAUUACCCCAAUCAAAGUUGGGGUGAUUUCUCCAUCCCGUAUUAUAGGUGUUGGCAAAUGGGUUAUUCUACUACCUCCCCAAAUUCCUAACAUAUCCAACCAGUUCUAGUUCAGCUAUGCACUACUUACAAUGAUGAUUAUCCCUACACUGAUCACAAAUAUCAUAAAUUGUUUGCUUCCUGCUAACCCCGAUUUUCUCAUUCAUAUAUCAUCUCAAAGUAGUCAUUUCAGCGACAAGAGAAGGCAUCGCAUCAACUUCUACUACUCCAAUCGGUUUCUUUUAGUUUGCACCAGCUCUACUCAAAGUCCAUUGUGGAUCAUUUUCUGUUUUGUCUUCAAUUAUUUUGGCAGCUUCUUCAAAUGACUUAAUAAUGCCCCAUGUAGAUACCUAAUUUUGUUUGGGCUUACAAUUAUGGGUUUAUUGAACCUUGGAAUUGUUGAAUGAGAGCUACAAAAUGGAAUUGGAUGUGAAAAAAAGUUAAAUUUGGAUUUUGAGACUAGGACCAAAUGGAAUUGAACUUACAAGUUUUGGGGCUUGAAUUGAAUUUUGUAAAUAUUUUAGAUUAAGUUAAGAUUAAAUUUAAAUUAAAAGUUGUUUCUAAAAUUAAUUCUAAUUUUAUUCAAGAUAUUUGGAUAUCAAAGAUAUGGGUUUUUGGUGAAGAUAUGAAAAUUCGUUUUAAAAUAAAAUCACGAUUAUUUUUAUAAAUUAUGGUUUUAUUUUUAAACAUUUCAUUUUGCACAUAAAAUUAGGUUAUGUUUUAAAAUCAAUUAAGUGGUAAGCCUACUAUUUGGUUAAAAGCGCAUUUUCUAUUUUCAUUAAGGGUCCAAAUCAAAAUUGAGUCCUAGUUCAUUUCUAAGCCCAAUUCCAAGCAAUGGUCAACUUAAUUUGGGUAAAAGCUCAAAAGAUUAUUAGUCCACAUCAGGUCCAAUUGAUUCUGGGGCCCAAAAGUCCAACUUUAUGAGAUUUUCUGGUUAAGGUUUUGAUACCAAAGUUGUCGCCCAUGGGAACAAAAAAGGCCAACGGAGUUAAAAGUGGUAUUAACACUAUUCAUUAUAUUUAUUAUAUAUUACUACAAAUCUUAUCACCCUUGUACAUCAACGACAUUUCCUAACCCUUUUCGAUCACAUCAAUUUACUACAAAAGAUAUACUUCUUUUUUUGGUAUCUACUGAAAUUAAUUCUGUAACAAAUCAUUCGCAUUUUGUAAGUCUACUAAAGAAUAGAUGUUGGCUAUGAAUUUUUAAAGUUAUUACAUAUUCAAUGCAAUGAUCAAACCCUUGAAAGCUAAUUUAAGAUAAGAGAGAUUUUUGCCAUCUUACUUAGAGGUGUUCAAACGGUUAAUCGAACCGAACUAAUAUUAACUAAACUUUUUAAUCUUUUAACUGUUAAUCGAACCAAUUUUUUUUAAAAAAAAUUAACCGAACCAAAAUAUUUUGGUUAAUUCAGUCGGUUAAUCGGAUUAACCGAAAUUUAUAUGUUAUUUUUUGUUAAAACAAGUAUAAAACAUAUCAAAAAAAUAAUUUUAUAAUGCUCAUUUGACCAAAUUAACCGAACUAGUAAUAACCUAAUACACAUAAUAUAUAAUACUAUUUAUUAAAUUCAGUUAAUUACCCAAUUUCGAACCGAAUUAACCGGUAACCGAAAUUCUAAAAAACCUUUAACCUACCUCCAACUGAAUUAUAUCGAUUAAUCAACUGAUUAAUCGAAUUAGAUCAGUUUAAUCGAUUAUCUCGAUUUUAACUGAAAUUUAAACACCCCUAAUUUUACCUAACUCUCCUGUUUACUACAAAACAUGUAUUUAAACAUUUCAUAUUUAUCACAUUUGGACAUUUUAUAUAUAAGCAUUUAAUUAAUGACUUUGCUUCAUGUUGAAGUUGAGACUCUUAUUAUCUUAUCCUUUACUCACUAUGCAUAGGAGGACGAUACCAUUCUAUAAGGGAUUACAUUCAAACAAUUAUAGGCCAAGUUUAUCCAUUAUCUAAAUCAUUGAUUCUUUGUUCGCAUAAUAAGAUGUUAACACUAUAUCUUAUAUGCUAAAUUAAGAAUUCAUUCAAUUCAUUCCUUUCGAUAUCCUAUUACUGAUAUGCGAUUUUUUAUUAUCAAGAUAUACAAAAACAAUUGCCAACUCAUUUCGAUAAUAAGUUUUCUUUCUACUUUUGUGUUGACAAUGGAUUGCUUUGUUUAUUUGAUGAUAAAAAAUCUUGUAUUAUCUCCUAUGUAAUCCAGCCACAGAAGAGCCCUGAAUACAAGGAGAAUAUUCCAUGGUCACAUACUUUUAUGCAAUGUCUUGAAUUUGGAUUGGAUCCUUUGUCCAAUGAUUAUAAGGUCAUCUAUAUUUGAGAGGUUUCAAAUGAGAAAAAUUAUUCGCAUGGACCAUAUCAUUAUGCUAUUUAUAAGAUGAACACUACUUCUUGGAAGGUUUUGAAUCAUGAAGAAUUACAGCUUCCUAAAUACCUAAGUCCAUUCCCCGAUGAAAUCAAUGCAUGUGUAAAUGAUGUUUGAUACUGACAUGCCAACUCUAAGAUCCUUACAUUUUAUUUGAGCAAUGACGUUUUUAAUUGAUAGAAUGUCCUUGUGAAGUAUAUGAAAAGUUAUUUCUUUUACAUGAUUAUAUCACAACUCUAAUAUCCUCGCAUUUUAUUUUAGCCUUUAGCAUAACACAUAUAUAAUGUUGAGUAUGUCUAAUACCUUCAAUAACACAUACAAUAAUACGCGCGCACAAGCAAAGUAGUAUAAUAAGUUCCAUGAGAACUUACUUUCUAAACAACAAAAUGAGGGAGUCGCGCACUUCCAAUGUCUUCACUCCAAGAGAUUCUCUUUUCCUUUGCUAGAGCCUUCGCUAGCCAUCUUAUUGUUUUAAAUAAACAUAUAAAUAUUAUAAAUAUAUGUAUUCAACAUCACGACAAUAAUAUUUUAAUGGCUCAAUAACUUAUUCAAUGUAUGUAAAUAUGAAAUGAGAUGAUAUAAUGCCCAGAUAAAAAAAAAAACCUUACCAAAAUCGCAACUCUCGUAUUAGAACACAAACCCUAAAUCAUUGGGAACAUAUGGUUUAAAUAUAGUUUUUAGGAUGAGUUUUGCAAAAAGAAAUGAAAAAAUUUGGCGAAGAUUUGUAGAAAGAUGAGUAGAAAAGAAGAAAUGAGAAAGUGGAAGUUUCUUCCCUGUUUUAGAUAUAUGAAAGAUGAUGGCUUCCUAUUUUUUGUUUUAUCAAUUUUAAUAAAAUAUCUAAUGGUUAACAAGUCAAAAGUUAACAAGUUUGGCCAAAAUUGAUUUUUUUGAGUACAAAUGUUUUAUGUAGUGUUUCACCAUAAUGUCUUAUAAAUAUUAAUAUUUAUCAUAAAUAUAUGUCAAUUAUUUAAAAUAUCCCCAAUAAAAUUAUUAUUUUGCUCCUCAACUCAUAUUUUUAUUUGAUUAAACUCGAAAUUUUAAAAUAUUUUAAUGUAAUUUCUAAUAAUUUUUCAACAAUCUAAAAUUAAUUAGUUCCAUAAAAAUUAAAAUUUUUUAUCCAUUGAAUCCAUUUAUAGAUUCUAAUAAGAUUCACGUGUUUCAAAUAAUUAUUAAAAAAUUAAAAGAUUGAAAAUAUAAUAUAAAGAUAUAAUAAAAUAUUAAAAAAUUUUAUAAACUAAUUUUUUAAAAAAACAAAAAAACGAGAAUACCAAUUACCCAACCAUAAAUUAAUAUUUUCAUAACGGUCCAACUGCCAAAAUUUUCACUGCGGUGAAACCCACCGACCUUUGUAGUCUCAUCUGAAAUCUGCAAAAUAAUCGCUAUGUGUCUAUUUGCAAUUGGUGUGCAAUAUUAUCUGACAAAUUUGUUUGACAAAUCAUCUUCUUUCAAGGAGUUAAGUUUUGCUGAAUUGACCGCAGCAGAUCCCUCACUCUUUCACUGCCUUCUUCCCUCUCCAUUUCUUCUUUCUAGAGCCACAAACUCACUUCGUUUUCCAAUAAAUAAACAACAACAAAAAAAUCCUCCUCCCCCCCCCCCAAAAAAAAUAAAAAAAAUCAGAGGAUGGCUUUAGCAACAUCGCUGACAGCGUCGAUGUCGGUGACGUCGCUGCGGGAGAGCAGAGUAUUGAAGACGACGACGUAUAGGAGAAAGCAGCGAGUAAAGCAGCAGCAGCAGCAACCACAACGACGCGUGCAGGCUUUUUUUGGUAACUUUAGUCAUUUCGGUGAUGUUGUACGUAGAGACAUGAAUUUCUUGAAGAAAGGUGUUCAAAGGGGAGUGGAGUGGGCGAACGAAACGUUUCGGAUUCCUCAGGUUAAGAAAGCCGUUGACGACGUCGUUUGGCUUCGGAAUCUCGAGGAUCCUAACUUCUCUCCGCCUGCGCAACCACCGGUGUGGCCUCAACCUUAUUAUCCAGGUUUUCUUUUCGUUUUUGGCCAAAUUAGUAAUCAAUUAAUUAUUGAAACUGUUAGAUAAGGAGAAGGGAAAAUGAAGUGGGAAGUGAAGGAAGAUAGGAGAAAAUUUUAUUUUAUUUUAGUUUUUGGCGAGCUAAGAAAUUAAUUGAACAGUUGAAAAUGUUAUUUAAGUUUCCAUGCUGCUAUUCCUUAGAUUGAGAUAAAUGCAGAGAGAGAAGGAAAAUGAAGAGAAACUUUUGUUAUGCUUUCUCUUGUUUGGUUUUGAAAAUGGAGAGAGAAAUGAGCGAAGAGAAGAUAAAAUUUUAUUUUGAUUUUGAUUUUUUAUAUUUGGUAUAAUUAGAAACCAUAUGGAGAUCAAAUUCAGUUAAAGUUUUUAGUUUUCAUUUAUCCUAAUUUUAGUUAUUGAUAGUGGAAUACGAUUAUUUUGAUAGCACUGUCUGGUAUGGAUUUGAUGAUGGCUGAUCUUAAAGCAUUGGAAGCUUAUGUCAGUUAUUUCUACUACCAGUCAAAAAAAUGGUCAAAGCCACUUCCAGAAGCUUAUGAUGCGGAAGAAGUAGCUGAUUAUUUCAGUCACCGGCCCCAUGUAGUGGCUCUUCGACUUCUCGAGGUAGUUAAAAUGAUUGAUCAAUCGUUUUAUGAACUUCUAUUAGGUUUCUACUUCUUCUAUUUGUCCUUUACAGAAGUUGUUAAAAAAUAAAUGGUAAAGGAAAAAAGUUAGUUUUGGUUAAUCAUAAACAAAUGAUUAAAAUGUCUCGUUGAUGUUUCAGAUGAUAAAAAUAAAAGAUUACAAAACGAGACCUUUAUUCUUAUAUAUAUCAUUCGUUACAAUAUUUAAAAUCACGCAUUUUAUUUGCCACAGAAAUCACAAUUUUAUUUAUAAUUCUUUGAAAAUAUAUUUAUCUGUCUGCAUCCUAAGAUGUGCUUUACAUUUUUGCUCCUGGAAGUAAAAACAAGUAGAGCAUUUGGAAUCAUAAUAUAUUUUAUUCUUUUAUCUAGAAUAAUAAUGUGUAAAUGUGUGUUACAUUGUAACAAUUUUCUUUUUUUAAUUAUGUUUGUAAUUCUUUUUUGGAUAUUGCUUUUACCCCUUAUCUAAAAAACAAGACAACAAUAACCAAAUGAAUUUAUAACCAGAGGUGCUUAUUAGUUGAAAUGCACAUGGAGCAGACAAGGCAUGAUCAGCAAACUUGUUGAUAAGAUAACAUGUAUAACUUUAUAAUUCCUAAAUUCUGUUUUGAAGUCGAAUCUACUUUCCAAGAUUUUCCUUUCUGAGACAAGCUACGUUUAUUAUAUUUUCUGUUCACUUUUAUGAGCAUCUCUUUGAACAUUUAGUUACACCAAGUCUUUUGGGGCUCACGAUUUUGUGUUCUGCAAGGUUUUCUCAUCCUUUGCCUCUGCUGCAAUUAGAAUUCGAAUGGCUGGGCUCAAAAAGUCCUUAAGACCUGGUUCAUCUAAAGAUAUUGAUGAGAACUUAUCACAGUACAACUUUGGGAUGGUGUUAAAGGAAACAAUGCUAAGCCUUGGUCCCACUUUUAUCAAAGGUCAGAAUGUGGUCUAGUUGAAGCUUGAGCACUUAAUUUGCUAUUUGCAUCCUCUCAUAGUUGUUUUUCUUUGAGUUAUAUGCGGGGCAUUUUAUUUUUCUCCUGCAGUCACAAGCUUACCAAUAUGCUAGUUACAUGCAUUUGCUUGCUGAUGCAGUUGGGCAGUCCCUUUCCACAAGACCAGAUAUUAUUGGUCCUGAAAUUUCCAAGGUCAGAUUACAGAGAAUUUUUUUUAUCAUAUAUUUCUUGUACCUUAUGUGGGAACCUUUAAAUGACUCAUUUUGUUUAUGUGGUUGCUUCUAACUGUUAAUAAUUCACUUUAGCAGGUAUCAAUCUAUUCAUACGUAUAUGCCAUUAAUUUCAACAUUUUCUUGCUACAUUGUCUACUAAAUUUAAUAAAAAAAUUGAUUAACUUUACAUUGUUUUUGUUUUUUAAAUUGUUCAUAAUGAGAUUCAAAUGCUUUGCAUUCUUUUCUUCAUUUAUUAGAUCAUUAAUGAUUAUGUUUCAGCCUUCAGAGUUGUGGCUCUUAAUUUAUGCUUGAAUGUGUAUUAAUCUAUUACUGGGAGACAUGAUCUAAAUAUGAGGUUUCUCAUAUUCUCCUUGAUUUUCUGCAUUUUUAGUGAGCAUGCCUUGAUAAUUUGGAUUGAAUUUACGAUGGCAGGCUUUGUCUGAGCUACACGAUCAAAUACCUCCCUUUCCAAGACCUCUGGCUAUGAAAAUUAUUGAGGAGGAAUUAGAUUCUCCUAUUGGGUCAUUCUUCAGCUACAUCUCUGAGGAACCAGUAGCUGCAGCAUCAUUUGGUCAGGUGGGCUGUAAAUAUCACAUAUCUCAUGAUAUCACUAUCUUUUUUAUUUCUUUUUCCUUGUAUAACUCACUUCAGUGUUUUUAUUGUGGUCUUUUUUUAAUUACCCUUUUAGGUCUACCGUGGGUGUACACUGAAUGGUUCUGAUGUUGCUGUGAAAGUUCAACGUCCUAAUUUGCGCCAUGUGGUAGUGCGAGAUGUUUAUAUUUUACGUCUUGGGGUAUGUAUUGACAUCUCUAUCAGCAUCUCCCUAUGUGGUUGAGAAUUCAAUUUCUAUUUGAACUUGGUAAUUGAUAUUCUUUUUUCAGCUCGGGCUUUUGCAAAAGAUUGCAAAGAGAAAAAGUGAUCCUCGUCUAUAUGCUGAUGAGCUUGGCAAAGGUUUAGUUGGGGAACUUGAUUACACUUUGGAGGCUGCUAAUGCCUCUCAGUUUCUGGUAAUGAUAAUAUUGGAACUUCCACAAAAAGUUGCAUAUUGUCACCAUAAUGAGCUUAGUUAUUAUAGUUGGCCAAAAUUGUCUUCUGUCUGAUAUCAUCAGCCUACUGAGACCUUGUAUUGAAAAUUGAGUUUAGAGUGAGGAUGAAUUCUCAGCCAUAGGUUAACUUUGGUUGUGGCAGUCAUGGAUUUUGAUUUCUAUUAUUUUUCCUUAAUUCAAAUAUUUUAUGUUUCUAAGUACUUGUCUUGGAAAGAUGCCCUUUCUUCAAUUAACUUGAUGUGCCUUUCACAGGAUGCCCAUUCUCACUUUUCGUUUAUGCAAGUUCCAAAAGUAUUUCAACAUUUAACCAGGAAGAGAGCUUUGACAAUGGAGUGGAUGGCUGGUGAGAGUUCAACUGAUUUACUCUCUAUUACUAAGAGCAGCUCCAUCAAGCACGGGUCCAAAUAUUUAGAGAGGCAGAAAGUUGAUGCAAAAAGGCGUCUUCUUGACCUAGUGAGUAGUGAUUUACCAUUAAACCCUGCAUUUAGCAUCUGAUAGCUUGUAUGAAAUAGAGUUCUGCUCCUGACCAAUCACUUUGAAUUUGACCGUGGCCUGUGGCACAUGUAUAGUCACAAUAAGUUUACAUUUAGGUGGGUGAUUUACUAGAGAUCAACUGGGAGUGAUAUCAAUUGUCAUGUCUCUUGUAUACAAUUAGACUAUAUAUAUAAAGAUUUUAGAGUGAUCAACAAGGGGUUGGAAUAUUCAUAAAUUUGCAAAUAAUCUUGCUAUAUAUAUGGUGCAAACUGUAAUAUAUAUUUGGUUUGUUUACCAAGAAGUUCACACGAUAAGAAUAUUAAACAGCAAGCACUUAACAAGUCCAAAAAUUUGGAUUGGCAGUUGAGAAUGUGAGUAAGUAGUGGAGGUCAAAGGUUUGGUUUAUGUUUUAAAAUUUGAAUUUCUUUAAUCUGCUGAUUGCAAAAGUUAUCUGCUGUUUUGAAUAUAUCAGCCACAUUUUGGUGUUAAGUCAGUCCUCCUAAAUACCUAUUAGGCUAAUUAGAUUGGGAUUGCAUAUUUUACCCUCAAAGUUGGUAACUCUUAAACUGAUUUUCUCUUUUCGCAAAAAAAGAAAAAAGGAAGCUUAUUGUCUAUAAUACUUGUAUAUAGAAUGCUAUGCCAAUAUGACCUAGCCUAAUUUUAUUUGCAGUUGGUUGAAAGCUUUUUUGCUAUAACUAUUUUAGGUUAACAAAGGAGUGGAGGCAUCACUUACUCAACUCCUUGAAACAGGCAUAUUGCAUGCUGAUCCACAUCCUGGAAACUUGCGUUACACGGCAUCAGGACGGAUAGGGUAAACUUGUGUUGCCUUCUUUGUGUUAGAACUUCUGGUUUUGCUCUGCUAACUUAUUGUUUUUAAUGAUGAUUUCUGCAUCAGGUUUUUGGACUUUGGUUUGCUUUGUCGAAUGGAAAAGAAACAUCAAUUUGCAAUGCUAGCAUCCAUAGUGCACAUAGUAAAUGGUGAUUGGUCAUCCCUUCUUCAAGCUCUGACUGAAAUGGAUGUUGUAAGGCCAGGAACUAAUAUCCGACGUGUUACAAUGGUAUGACAUACUUCUUUAAUGGCUCUAUACACAGACUAAAAAUUUGUACUUGAGCUUAGAGUUUUCUAAGAGACCUACAGUAUUUUCUGCUUAUUGUUAAUGCAGCAAAGCCUAGUUUUUCUUGUUGCUUUUAUCAUGUGGUAACUGUUGAAUUCUGCCAAUAAUACUGACCCUGAAUCUUGAAAAUGGUUCAGGAUCUGGAGGAUGCCCUUGGGGAGGUAGAACUAAAAGAUGGGAUUCCUGAUAUCAAGUUCAGUAGGGUGAGAAUCAAUAUUUCAUAAUUUCAUAAUUAUGAAAUACGACAAAUACCUAUCAUAAUUUCAUAGCAUUAAUUCCUUUGCAAAUGCUUAUUAUCAGGCUUUCCUUUUUGACUGUCCAUGCUAGUACUUUUACAUGAUUCCUCUCAGUGGCCCAGCUAAAUUAAAACAAUAUUUCUUCUUACUGUUUUAUAUUUUUAAGUGGUUGAUUGUCAUAUUGGCAUUGUUGAAGGUUUUGGGCAAAAUAUGGUCUGUAGCUCUCAAAUAUCAUUUCCGCAUGCCUCCAUACUACACGCUAGUCCUACGUUCUCUUGCGUCCUUGGAAGGUAAGUCAUUGUGUUUCAGAUGUCUUCGUUUUGAGUUGAUUCUUUUGAUUGAUUUAUUUAUUUAGUGGUAAAUUCAUUGUUGGUUAUUCUUUUUUAUUCACCUGGGUUGUAAAUUGUAAUCUCAUGUCACAACAUCAUGUUUUGCAUGAAGACCACCAAAAGUGGUUAAAGAAUGGAUAGUUAAAAGUUUGGAAAGAAGCAAUGUUUUAUAAAGGAUUCAGAAGUGCAGUGCAUAAUUUUGAUAAUUCUUCAACUUCUAUGUGACAAAAAGAAUACUGUUAUCGUAGUACUUAAUCGUUACUAAUUGAACCUCUGGCAGAGGAACCAAGCCUAAGUGUUUGCAAUGAUUUAAAUAACUGAUACGGCUUGACUCAAAUUUAGUUGGCCGAAGUUUUUGUUGUUCUCUUGUUUAAGAUAUUUGUGAGAAAAGAGUUCAUAGAAUAUGCUCGGGAGAAGAACUAAAAUACCAAUCAUGGGAGUGAUGCCAACAGAUUUUCAGUUGUCAAGUGGAGUAGGUGUAUAUGUAUGUAGGUUUUCUGUCACACAUAUGAUACGACUCUGCAUUUUCUUUCAUGUAUCAUUUCUGACAGUAUAUCCUAUGCAUUUUUCUUUCAUUGCAUAUGUUUCUUUAAUUGUUUUUCAUAUCUGAUAAUCUGUAGUUCAUUAUUUCUGGUUCUUCUAUACCAAGUUUACACAUAAUCAUCUCAACUGGCUUUAAUUCACCAAGCAUUUUCCUGAUAUUCCUUCAGGUUUGGCAGUAGCUGCAGAUCCAAGUUUUAAGACAUUUGAGGCAGCUUAUCCUUUUGUUGUCCGCAAACUUCUAACUGAAAAUUCAGCUGAAACAAGGAAAAUUUUACAUUCGGUGGUGGUUUAACCCUCUAGUUUAUCUAUGAAUAUUGAGCAUCAUUAUGAAAGUCUCAAUCAGUGGACCUUUUUUCUUUGUAGCUCUGUCAAUAGGCCUGAACUGUUAAUAAUAGUUUUGGUCCCAAGUAUUUUCCUGCUACAAAUAUAAAUAUAUUUUAGAUUUUGCAAUGUUCGUUUUCUAAAUUAGGUAAUGAUUUUGAGGAAAAGUAGCUUAAGCUUUCUUGAGUUUAUUGCUGUUAUGUGUUUGAACUGUAGUUGGAUGUGCUUCUGCUUGCACUGUUAUCAUCCAAAAUUUAUAUUUCCAGAAGGUGAAACUAUAGUUAGUUCCUAAUUUCCAGCACUGUAAAAUGCUUCAUUUGGUUCUUAGGACCUCUCUGUAGUGGUCACUGCUAUAUGGGGUACUGAACUAUGUUCUGUUAGUAACACUGGGUAUCAUUGGGAGAUUCCUGAGUUGAUUUUGGGUUCCUUGUCUAAUCUAUUUGAUGUUUUCCCUAUACAGGUGGUUUUGAACAGAAAGAAGGAAUUUCGGUGGGAGAGGCUGGCACUUUUCAUGAGAGUUGGUGCAACUAGGUACGUUCAACUCUCAUGGUUUACCCCUUUCUCUUCACAUUGUCAAUGAUCAUGUGCCCAUAUUUUGGAGGAUUCUUUCCAUAACUGGAUCCUUCCAAUUUCUGUUACUGCAUCAAUCAAAUUUAAUUACACAGAAGGGGAAGGAAAAACCGUUCAUCAAGAAUUUAAAUGCUUUUACGUCAAAGUCCUGCAUGUUCACAGAUACUUUCCAUGGCAUUUCUGUUCGUACUUAUACCAAUAGGGGAAAAAAGAGAGGAAGAGUUGUAGAUUCCAGAAUCUUCUAUCCGAAUAGACAGCCAGGGUGAAAUGAACUCAAUCCAUUUAAUGAACUUAAAAUGUGUACUGUAGAGUUUCAAGAAAUGUAAGUAGUUCUCAAGGAAUUUUGUGUCUAGCAGUAAAAUGUAGAAGAGGCUCAUCCUUCUAUGAUUUAAGGAAAUGUAUGCUUUUGGAGCAAGCAUUGCUAUAGAGAUAUAUAUAAGAUGGUCAUUUGCUCUUUAUCAUGUGCUCUCAGGACAGGCACCCUAAUGGUUUCCUUUUUUUGGGUGUGUGUGUGUGAUAGCAUUUAUCUGUUUCAAAUUUAGGCUCUAAAUAUGAAAAUUUUCUGCAGAAAGAGUUUGCAGUUGGUGGAAGCUUCAAGUGGUGAAACUUCCCUGGAUAAUUUACCUAGUAGGACUGAUGGUGUGUUUGACGUUGCAUAUUUGUUGCUAAGGCUUUUACCAUCUAAAGACGGUGUGGUACUAAGAAGACUUAUAAUGACUGCGGUGAGUGCCGUUCAGCUUGAUUCCUUUUCUAUUUCCACCUUUCCUCCUGAACAUAAAAAUGGUGUGAUAUUAGACGACAUAUAAUGACUUACAGGAUGGUUGAUGGCAACCAAGAAUACCAAGGGGCUUUAUUAUUGUUAAUAUGUUGUCUUACCAUGUAAUUUUGACGUGGAAGCUAGAAAUUUUUUUUGUUCAUUUUGUAUUUUAAACUUGUAUGUUGGAUAAGCAGGAUGGAGCUUCAUUAGUACGAGCUGCAGUUUCCAAAGAAGCAAAGGCCUUCCGAUUCGAACUGUGCAAAAUCAUUGCUGAUAUCCUAUACCAACGGAUGGUAAAAGCUCUUGGGCAACUCGUGCCAGCUAGCCAGUAUAGUUACAAGUUAAGGCUGGCCGGUGGGCAUCAGAAUACAGAGCUACAUCCAUCUGCUAGAUUAUCUACAAGUUCAACCGUCUAUGACUACCAGUCCCUUUUACGCGACCGGCGACUGAAGCUGAUCUUAUCCAAGAUCCUCAAUUCCGCAAGAAAGGAACCAGCAUUGAUGUUACGGUUUUACUGGGUUUCAUUUGUCACAUUCAUCGCUGCUUCAGCCCUGGCUUUUCAUCGGCUUUUAAUCUCUUUGUCAGCAGCGUACAUUGGCCCAGCAUCAUUCAUUCCCAAAAGAUUUGCAAUCAGCGCAUGAAACUUUAGUAGAACCCUGCAGUGAGCCUAUUCUUUUUCCAUAAAAAAAUUUCUUCAAGCAGCCAUAGGUAUAUGUUUGGGAGACGGUAGCUAUAUGGUAUUUCUGGGAUGAGUUAUAUGUAUAUAAAAUAUCACUGUUUAAAAGCUUUGAAAGACAUCAAAUGGGGAGAAUUUAACGCCUUGAGGCUAGUGCUCCUGCAGCGAUGUAAGCCAUAUCAUGCAAUAUGAAGGCAGCUGGCAGUCUACGUGACUUUGGAUACCUCAAAGCUGACAGGGAACAUUUUUGUCUAUAGAACUUGUACGUCUAAUACCUAAAUGUAAGUAGUCGAUAAUUUUAAGUUUCACCAUUCAAUUGAAUUCAUAUAUAUUAUUUUACUGUAAUUGAUAAUCUUACCAUAGCUCCAUUGUACUCGUGAAAUUAUAUAUUUUUAAAAACACCGAUGUUCGCCAUCUCAAUAUAUAGUUUAUAUCCUGUUCAGUUAUCUAGUAUAUUAACACAAGAAAAAGUUUAUUUAUUAUUUAUGUAAUAAAUACCAUAAAAAGUAAUUGGCAAUUUAUAACUUAUAUUAGAAAGAUGAGUAAAAUUUUAGUAAAAAGUAGGACUUUUUCAAAAAAGUAAAAAAAAAAAAAACUUGAGUAGCAAAAAGUUACUUAAUUUAUUGUAACUUAUAUGCUAAAACUUGUUAAAAAAAAUUUGUUCCUACCGAUCAUAACAUUAGUUGCAAGUUUUACUGAACAUGCUUUAUUAUAAUUAUCCAAAUUCUUAACACAAAUUAAAAGAUUUAAAAAAAAAUUAAGCAUGGUGACAUACUCCCUUAAUUGCAUGCAGUUCUUUAAUGGCAUCUUCGAUUAUCAUUAUCCCGUAUGAAGCUUCAAUUUAGGUUUUUAGAUAGGAUACGUACCAAGAGAGAAGAAGUUGGUAUAUUCUUGCUAAAGAGAGAAAGUUCAAAUAAAAAUAUUAGAAAAUGUUAACGGAGGUUUUGCCCUUUUCCUUAACCUGAUUUCUUAAUUGAUUAACUAUUUACAAUAUUUUAUCUUUUUUGUAGGUUAAGAUAGAACCUCUAAUUCAAAGAAAAAAAAUUGUGCAAACAAAUAAAAAUCCUCUAAUAAGUAAGUUUCUGAAGAAAUAAGUUGUCACAAAUACAUGUUGAAUUCAACCCUAUGUCUACGUAAAAGCAAAAGAAUUUUCUCACUAAUUUGCUUAAGCAUUGCUCAAAUAGUAAUGUUGUAGAAUCAGUCGCCAUAAAAUUUUGGAGUGACUCCCAAGUUAGUGAAUUCUAUCACUCAUCUUUUGUAAUACACUAAUUAUAAGUUACUCCCACCACCAAUGUUAAUGGUGUGGAUUCUUUUCUUUCACUACUUAAUGAUCUUCAUGUCCAUUAAAAGAAAUAUAAAUCAUUUUGUUAUCUAACAUAAAUUUCUUAUUUAUUUUUUCUUAAUUAUAUAAUUUUGUAAAACUUUAUUAUUAUCUUUUGCCCCUAAUACAAGUAUUUUAGUUUAUAACAAUAAUUCAUUUAUUUGAGGGUAAACUCUCAAAAUAAUAACUUUUAUUUACUUCAUAUUAUAUUUUAGUUAUUUACAUUAUCGUAUUAUAACAUUUUAGUCAUUGAGCCAUUAAUUGCCGUUAACUGUGUAACUAUAAGUUUACGUGAAACGUUAAAUUAUCAUUUCAAAUAAAGAUUUUAGGUCAAAUUAUACAAUUGGUUCUCAUAUUUUUUUUUCAUUUUGAUCGAUUUAAUUUUUUUCUUUCAUGUUCUUUUAAUUUUCUUUUUUUUCUUUAUUUUCCAUUCUCUUCUCUUUCUCCAUUUGUUUUCUUCAUUUCUCCAUCUCUUUUAACAUAUUUUUUUUAUGUUUUUCAUUUGUUAAAAUUAGUCCCUAUACUUUAUUUUUUUGAACCAUUUAAUUUUUUCCUUUUUGUUUCUUUAUUUUUUUUUCUUCUUCCCCUUUAGUUUUAACAAAUGAAAAACAUAAAAAAAAACUACAUUAAAAGAGAUGAAGAAGGGAUGAAAGUAGAGGAAGAAGCAAAAGAGAAUGGAAAAUAAAGAAAAAAAGAAAGUUAAAAAACACAAAAAAAAAAAUUAAAUCGCUCAAAACAAAAAAAUAUGAGGACCAAUUGUAUAAUUUAACCUAAAAUUUUUGUUUGAAAUAAUGAUUUAACAUGUCAUGUCAGCUUACUGUUAUGCCGUUAAUGGCAAUCAAUCGUUCAGUAACUAAAAUGUUACAACACGUUAAUGUAAGUGACUAAAAUAUAAUAUUUUAAACAUAAAUAACUAAAAUAUAACCUUAAAUAAAUAAAAAUAAUUAUUUUAAUAGUUUAAUUAGUAUCAAUAUUAUUAUUAAUAAAUAAAAAUAUCUAUUUAAUACGCUAAAGCGUAUUAUCCUCCUCUAUUUAAAGGUCGAAUGAGAUUGAAAAAAGCUCUAGCAAUAUAUAAAAAAAUGUGUUUGAUAUAAAUUUAUAUUAAAAUUUAAGCUGUUUUCCGUAAACAUAACGGCGUUAUCUCACUCCGAUCAACAACAUUAAGAAAGCCCAAAAAUCAAAUCAAAGGAAAAUAAAAUAAACAUCUCCUUUUAUAGAUCACUCCGUUCUUCACUGGAAAAACAUAAUCAAACUGCUACAAAAUAAUUCUCCACCAUGAGCUCUCCGGUAAUUUGAUCUUUGUUUCUCCAAAUUUCUAUGAAGAUUAACGAAAUGAAACCUAUCCAAAAUGAAUUAAUUUGCUUUUUUCUUUACAAUUUUUUUUAAUUUGAAUUUAUAGGGAAGUGGAAUGUUUAGUGGAUUUACAAAGUUAUGUAAGGGAUUGGCUGUGAUAUUAAUCGGUGGCCACGUUGUGGUUCAGCUUCUUCCUACUUCUGUUACUUACCUUGCUCUUAUUCCCGCCAGGUUCUCUUUUAUAUAUAUAUAUUUUCUCAUCAGUUUUAUGUCAAUUUCAUUCUAUUUGGCGUUAGAAUUUUUGGGUCAUGAUUUAAUAUUUGUAUCGGUUGCUCUUUACGGCUCGGUUCUAGUUUUAAUCAAAAAGUUGAUAUUUUGACGAGCUCGUUGGACUGCUUCAAGAUUUUGUUAUUUGGAUGUUUAGAUCUGCGUUUGUGAAUAGUGUUAUCUUUUUCUUGAAAUUGGCAUGUUGUCUUUUGAUGGGUUUUUUUCCUUCGUAGUUAAGUGAAAGGCAUAUGCUUUGUACAAAUGUUCAAAGGAGGUGACUUGCUACUUUGUUCAUUUGAAUGCUUAGAUCUGGAUUUAGGAACUUGAAAUAAACUAGUAGUAAUCCUUAUGUAAUGAUUGUAGCUUUCUUUUUGAACUUGCUUACUCUUUUCCGGUGAGCAGUUGCUAGUUAAGCAGAAUAUUUAUUGCCUUUUUGCAUAUUUGAAAAGAAUUACAUGAGAUUUUGAUGCCCUGAAGCAUAGAUCUGGAUUUUGGUGCUUUACACAACCUUUAGACACCAUUUAUUUUAGCAUCUCCAUCUGCAUAGCUGCUUAUUGUGUAAUCGGCUUAUUUAUUUAUUUAAUGUUUUAUUUACCCUUGGCUGAAGGGAUCUGUUAUCAGGAUUUGUUUUUAGAAAACCAGCACCCUACCCGUUAUUUGUUCUGGGAUUAAAGCUAGCAAUGGUUUUGGCUGAAUUGGAAAGAUUAAUAUCAGAUCCUGUCAAAAGAAUGAGUUUUGCACUUUGAGGUGGGAGAUCUGGUUGUAGUGCAUCCCAUUUGAUGUUAGUAAAUAUUGAAACAAGAGCAACAUAUUAUAAAUGGCCUGCUCAGACUUUACAAUGAAUUGCAUGCUAGUUGCCAUUAUGAUAUGAUUUCUUAGCCACUAGAUAAGCAUGUUCCAUGCCAACAAUCUCUUGGCCUAUUGGCAAGAUUAUUAUGUUGUUUGGUAUGAGAGAUUGGAUUCAAUCCUUAGCAACCCCACCACCUACCCCCAAUUAUAAAAAAAGAAAAAGAAAGAAGAUAAAGCAUGCUCCUGUAUAUUGUUGAUUAAUAUAUGUUGGAAUAUUCGUUUUCCUUGAGAUGCAAUAGAGUAAUGCUUUGGAUUGCAAGUUUUAUUCCAAGGACUUAAAACAUUUUUUGUCCCGCCUGAAACCUUUUUUGCAGGACUAUUCCUUUUGGUUGGAACCUCAUAACUGCUGGUUACAUUGAACAAUCAGUGCAUGGGGUAUUAACAUUUAUUUACUCUUUGUUUUACCUAAUAUUCUUUUUUUUCUUAUUAGUCGUUGUAAUGGUUACUGAUUUCUGCAGGUGGUUGUUAGCACCCUUGGUCUUCUUUUCAUGGGGAAGUUGCUUGAGCCUAUAUGGGGUUCUAAGGAGUUCUUGAAGUUCUUCUUCAUAGUUAACUUUCUGACGUCUGUUUGUGUUUUCAUUACUGCUAUUGCUUUAUACUACCUAACAAUGCAGGAAAAGUACCUGUGAGUACUUUGAUCUUCCUAUGUCUUUAACAGAAUUUAAUUCUGUUUAUUUCUUCUUCUUCUGCGCCUCCCUCUUCUGCUUGUUCUUUUUUUCCACUAGACUUUUCAGUCAAAUGUUUGAGAAACAAAAGAGAGUGAAUUUAUAAAAUUGAAGUACACUUUCUCAUGUUCUUCUCUGACUGAAUUGUAGAAAUGUUGACUUAUUAUGCAAAAUUUGAUCUAAUAUAUUUGCCAUUCAUGUUGAUAAUUCUUAGUUACAUGCCUCUUUCCGGCUUCCAUGGGGUGCUGGCAGGCUUCUUGGUUGGCAUCAAGCAAAUAGUACCUGACCAAGAGCUAUAUCUCCUAAAAAUCAAAGUAAAGGUAAAGAUUUAUGUUGCGAGGUCAUUUAAGUCUAUUUGGCAUAAAACUCUUUCUAGCUGGGAAUUCCCCCUUCACACCUUUUAUGAUGCUUCCUAUGCCAUGCAGUGGUUGCCAUCACUUAUGCUAUUGCUUUCAAUUGCCAUAAGUUUCUUCACUCCAGAGUCCGCAACAUAUCUUCCAAGUUUGAUAUUUGGGACAUAUAUUGGCUGGAUUUACCUUAGGUACCUGCAGAGAAAACCAGAAUCAAAGCUUAGGGGAGAUCCAAGUGAAGAUUUUGCAUUCUCCACAUUCUUCCCUGAAUUUCUCAGGUAUUGUUCAGUUUCCUUUUAGCCUAUGAAAUGACCAGUUCAUUUCUCCCCCCCCCCUUUUUUUCUCUCUCAAGUAUUUGUCAUUGAUUUACAGGCCAAUCAUUGAUCCCAUUGCAUCAAUAUUUCACCGGAUGCUUUGUGGGAAAUCUGAAGCUUCAUCAAAUCCUCAGGGUUAUACAUUGGGAGGUGCACCAUUACUUGGUUCUGACCCCAUUGAGGCAUCUAGGAGACGGUACCUUUUUCACUCUUUUAAUAUGUAGAGAAAAUGGUUUUCAUAAAUGUAUUCAUCAUAGCAUGGGGAAGGCUAUCAAUGCGAAAUUUGUAGAAUAAACUUGGCCAGUUGGCCUUGUCCUUGAAGUUGGAUAAUUUAGGAAUCAGAAUUAUAGGGAAGAAAAUUGCUGGUUACAUGCUAAACUUGCCUUAGCUUUGCAACAAAUCUAAAGACCGAAUACUUGAACCUCACCCAGGUUGCAUAAUUUGAUGUAUUCUCUAUCACUAUUGGGAAAAAAGGAAGUUUUUUGUAUUUUCUAGAGAGCUUACCCGGCUCACAUUGCAUAAGAUGUCUAUAGUUGCUAAUAAUUUGCAUUUAUUGUGAACUAAACAAUAUGUCACCUUGCAGAGAAAGAGGGGCUAGAGCGCUGGAGGAGAGAUUGGCAGCUGAGAAAUUGGCUGCUGGACGUGAUUCAGAAGAGCCACACAUAGAUGGAAAUGAUCGUGUUUGAUUGCUAAGAAAGUCCAUCGUCAUCGACACCCAUCAAGGCUUAUGCACAAUCAUCCAUAUGUGCUGUUGCAGCAUAUAUAUAGAUUAGAAAUGAAAAGAUCCCAGAGCAUGUUGUUACCCUUACAGUAUAACAUAGGCGAAAUUCAUUCUUUUUUUUUUUUUUUUUCACCUUCUUUUGUUCCUAUUUGUUGAUUGCUUGUACAACUGCACUUUGUCCUCAUUGUGAACCUUCGUUUUGAAUGUAAAAUUUCUCUUUUUUUCUUCUUAUUAUGGUCGGAAUAAUACAUACCCGAAAUAAAACAUGUGACAGUCAUUUAUGAAGUAUCUUAAAUAUUCCAUCAAAGAAUUUUUUUUAUAAAAAAAAGGUUAAAGUAUUAUGCAAACAGAUUCGAAAGUGUAAAAGAAAAGCAAAUACAAAAUGCUAUAAAGAAUAAAAUGAACUUAGUAUAUUGAACUAAUAAUUUUUGAAAAAAGUUCUUCGUCUACAUACAUGAACAAAGGAAGAGUUCAAUCUCUCCAAGUUUUUAAGUUUCCCUGUAUACUGGCUUCAGUUCAAAUCCAUGUAACAUGUACAAAAAAAAAUGGCAGAAGUUAGGAGCAUUGUCCCUUUCAUCCGAGCUGAUCUUCAUUGGAUCGAUUAAUUUUUUGCGAACGAGAAAUCGGAUGGAAUGAUGUCAAUCUCGUGUUGUGUUCGAAUUGUUUGAGGUGUCUCAGCAUCCAUUUGUGAAGAGCCAGACUCUUGAACUGUCCUAUCUACAUCCCUCAUUUCUAUCUGUGUUCUAUCAUGAUCAUGAAUAGGGUCAUUGAUUUCGUGACUGUGUAGUGGAGAAUGGAACAACCCUAGAUCCCAGUGAUCAACCGAAUGUCCUGAAGAUAUACCAUAGGUUUCGGAUCUUUGAGGAUGUUUAUGCAGAAUAUGAACCGGUGACAUCCCAUGAGUCGGAGUUGCCGGCCUGCUCGAAAAUGGUGUCGUAUUCUCGGAAUGUAGCAGCCUGCUUUGUUUAGUGUGUUUCUUUGCUGUAUGAUGCCAGUUUUUUAGUGCAGCUGCAACUCUAUCAUUAAAGAUAGUUGGUCUCAUAUUAGUUCCCAUCUGUAAACAAAACAAACAAAACAGACAAAUUUAGUAUCAUUGUUCACUGUUAUAAACUCGACUUCGAGCUAGAUUUUGAUUCUUUUUGGAUCAAAUAUUGGUUUUGCAUCAUGGUCUUAACUUGUUCCAGGCUUAUCAUAGAUCAGAAUAUGAGAACUGCAGAAGAUUUUAAAAGUUUCUAUUAUUUAUAUCUUACCUGAGUCACUAAAGCAUAGAGUGGAAGAGUCACAUAACUGCAAAGGAACUGUAUGAUAACCCUGAAAAAGUUGCAAAUUUUGCAUUUUAUGAGAAAAGUUUUCACUUUGUUAAAUCAAAAUGUUGGCCUAAGAAGUUGCAUGAACUCACCCCAUUGAGACUCUAAUGAUGACAUCUUCAAUAUGUUCAUGGUAGCAAGAUCUUAUCGUAAAUUCAUACUGAAAUUUGAUGAAAAAAGGACUUAUUAGAUAAGGUGAUCAAACAGUUGCAUAUGAAACACGCAACAGAAGGGAAAGAACUCCAAGGAAUAGGAUUGUUUACCGUGCUCCACACGAAAAAGGCCAGUUGAAAUGCAUUCUGGAUAUAAAAUCAAGGAUCAAUGUACAAGCAUUAGCACAAGUGAUGACAAUGAUGAUUGGUUUAAUGUUGGUAGAUUAAAGGAAAAUUACCGUAAAAAGAACGACGUGAAUGAGAAAAAGAAGGAAGCGUGGGCGUCCAAACCAGAAAAGGUCAUCGCCUGGUUGAACCACGGGUGCACCCUUGACUACAUCUCCUCUAUCUUGAAUUCUCAACCCCAUUUUGGUUAUGAUCACUUGUAGCUUGGCUCCAACCAUUAGGAUUAUCUGCAAAGACCCAGUUGAGGAUUUAAGAUUAAUUUGCUCAUAAUCCCAAACCAGAAAUACAUGUACAAAUGAAUCAAACAUGCUAUUGUACUUACAAUUAAGGGGAUAAAAGGUAGCCAUAAAUAUGAAUACCAUCCUGUUGAUGAAGAGCAAAUUGAUUAUUAAUCAUUAGUAAGCUCAAAAAAAUCCAUCACUAUGUUCAUAUGAUGACACUAUUGAACUCAAUUCUUUAUGAAUAUGAUGAGAUACUUACCAUGUGUAUAGGCAAGCAAGAACAAGACAGCAAUGGACCAGAUGAUUGGACUGCAAACACAAUCAUUAACUUAGCAUCGUAAAAUUUUAACUAAUAAAAUUGAAGAACUCUUGGUUAGCUUGAGACUACCAACCUGAUCCCUACAACAACUUUAAAAUCAUCCUCUAAUGAUCUCUUGAUGUAUUUCUGGAAAUCGAAUUUUGUUUCGUUUCCAGGUGCCAAAUGUGCCUAAAAGCAUUGCAGAUUGAAGUUUCAAUUAGAAACAAGAAAAUAAGAAAAAUAAAAUAGCAUAAAACUCCAUAGAAAUCCAUGGCUUAGCUUACCAUGAUAAAUCCAUGCCUCAAUGUCAGGUAAUCAACCUUUGUGACUGACCCAAAGAAUUGUCUUAAGAAACAGACCUAUAAAUAAAAGAAUCAAAUCAGAAUUCAUAACCAUAAAAUGUCGCCUAAAGAAAAAGAAUCCCUUGCUAUAAAUUCAAUGGUUGCUGGACUUCUUUUACAGAAGGGACUCGGAUUUUUCAUUUUUCUUGAAAUACUCAAGUUUUUUCGUAGAAGUCGGGCCCUCCAAAUAUAUGAAAAAAAAUUCAAAUGUUCAAUUGAUUGUACUUACAAUCCAAAGAGUUAAGGUAGAACGGCUCCAAAAGCUCAGAUGCCUGCGCCCAAAUGAAGUGUCCCUUGCAAAUCUGAACCUCUCUGGGUCUGCAUUAAAUAAAGUAAAUGAAUAAACAUAUGGUCAACGCAUAUCUAGCUAAACAUAAGCACGAAGAUACGAUCUUCCACAUACAAACAUACAUACCAUUGUAGAAUUGGUAUUCAAUUGUCUUUGUCUCAUUUUCCCAGGCCUUCCAUUUCCUCAUCUGCAGUUCAAAGCCAUUAUUAAAGAAGGGGAAAACAGGCAGAAUGAAGAGAGAAAAAGAAUCAGUGAAAGUAAUUUUUUUUUCUUCAUUUAGUUACCUUAGUUCUUCCUAAAGCAUAGAUUAUGAUACAGUAAAGAAUGUGACAAACUGCCAACACAAAGAUGAAUAUAUGGAGCUGAUGGAUACCAUAAGCUGAAACAAGUGCAACUUUACCCUGAAAAAAUAUAUAUACUUCUCAAUCUAAAUGAACAGUUUAUAUGAAUAAACUAUGAAAUAUGCAUAGAUUAAAUCUAAACAAUCUUGCCUGUUCUGCACAUUUGUCAGAUUUGGAUGCAAGACUGCGUCUAGGAAUAUAAAAACUAUCAUCGUCAGAGAAUUCAACAAGCUUUCUACCAGAGGAUUUUUCAGAAUAUUUUUCAGCCUCAGUUUUCUUAUUGCAUGGAUGCCAAGUGUUUGCUACAUGUGCUGGAAUGCAAAUUUCAGAUAUGGGACCUUGAAAGACUGUUAGAAGCAAUGAUAUGAAUCCCAUGAGCAUAAGCUCUACACAAAAAGAAAAAGAAACACUGUUAGUUUUUUUAAUUAAGAUUAAAGAAACGGAAAUAGUGUUAAAUUACCUGCUUUAACCUUCUCAAGUGCUUCAUAAAGAGAUGUCUUGUGCCUUUUCUUGAACCACUGUGUGAAGAGUGAAACAAUGUAAUGUUAUAUAAUCAAACAUACAACUAUGUCAAGAGAGUAAUGUCUGAAAAUCAAAAUGUAUAUAAGAAAAAAAGAAAGAAAGAACAAACCUUGCCUACAAUGUGAAUGGAAUGUUCAAUGAAGAUUGAAAUAACAACCAAAACAAAGCACACCACAGCAACAGCCCAUGUCGGUGUCUCCUCUAAUGAACGUGCUUUAUAAUCAUUCGCCAUUGAUAUUAUAAAAGCUUGCAAUGCUUUUGCAACUAUAUAUAUACACGUACGUAUCAACAACAAAAGGAGAAAAAGAGAAAAGCUCUUCUUCUGGAAUUGCUUUUAUUGUUAUUUGUUUAAAGCUUUGAUCCAAAAAGAAAGUGAUGUAAGUAAUAAAGAAGGCAAAAGAAGGUGUAUUGAGAGAAAGUUGCAAGAAGAAGUGAUGUAAAGGUGCUAUUUAUAUAAUAGCUUUGAGUUUCAGAGAAUUAUUACAAAGAGAGAUGACUUUUUCAAAGAGAGGGCCUCGUUGACUCUUGAGAUUCCCACCGUUUAGCCAUGGCUUGUUGACCGAUAACUAACUGCAAUGGAGACGAAACCAGAUAAAUUAAUUGAAGAAUUGAAAUACAAUUUUAUUAUUAUACUAAUAUAUAAUUUUAUAAAAAUUUAAAAGAUUAAAUAAUAAAAUUUCCAUUUUUGAAGGAAGAAAAAUUGCAAAUUAGGUUUCAAUUCAUUAAAUAGGAGAAUAAAUGUGGUUCAGUACGAUCAAACUCACAUCCUCUCAUACUGACAACAAUGUCCAUGCCAACCGAGUUAAGACUCAACUGAGUAUAAUUUUUUAAAAUAAUGGAAAGAUUUGGCUAAGGUUAAUAUUUAUUUAUUUAUUUUGAUGAAACAUAAUUCAAACCAUAAUACAUUUUUUUUAAAACAAUAAUCUCAUUAUAAGUUUUGAUUAUAUCAGCUCUUUUUGAUAGAAUGCUUAGAACUAACUAUAGUCUCUGCUCAACCCAUAAAUAGGAGGAUAAUACACUUCAAUGCACUCGAACCCAUUUUUUUUAUAUUAGCAAUAAUACUAAUGCUAAUCGAACUAACGCUCAAUUGAUCAAACCAUGAUAUAGUUACUUCUAAUUUUUUUUUUUUAAAAUCGGCUUAAUAAUGUUUACAAAUAUUAGUUAAUUUUUUUAGUUAUAAUUUUAAAAAAGACAUAAUAUCAAAUUUAGCUCUCGAUAUUUAUAUCUUUUGUUAAUUUGGCUUUUGUUCUUUUUUUACCUAAAUUUGGCCCUCGACCUUUAAAAAAAAUCAAUUUGGUUAUCAACCUUUCAAAAAAAAGUUAAAUUAUUUUUUAAUAGAAAUACUGAUUAAAACGUUGAAUUUUUAAACAUGAUAGCUUGAAUGACAAUCCACAUUUACUUCAUGCUAAUUUUUAUAAAUUUUUAUGAACUUUUUAUAAUUUUUUGAAUUUUAAAUAAUUUUAUUUUUAUAUUUUUCAAAAUUAUUUAUUGAUAUAGUAUAUAAGAUAAAUAGUGUCAUGUCAGUAUUAAAGUACAUGUGAAUUGUCAUGCAAGUUGCCACACAAACAUCGUCAAAAAAUUAUUGUUUAAAUCAACAUUUUCAUUAAAAAAGUUAUUUGACUCUUUUUUUAAAAAUUAAGAAUCGAAUUUAAUUCAAAAAAAGUUAAGGAUAAAAUAAUAAAAGAUGUAAACAUUGUGGGUAAAAUUCAAAAUAAAAGUUUUUGGUAAUAAGGUUACACUUUAAGUCAAAGACAUUAGCGCGUGAGGUGUGGCAAAAACGACAAACCUCCCACUGUUUUUUUUUUUUAAUGAUAAAAUAAAUAAAAAUAAAAAUGCAUUAUCUACUAAGGUCUUCCAUUUUUGGCUUUGACCACAACCAAUGAAUUUUCUAGCAAUUUAUUGGUGAAGUGUAUAUAUGUAUAUUAUCAUUGUUGCUAUGUCAACAAAAAAAUUCAAAGAAAUUUUAAUAAGAUAUAUUAAUUUUAGUCAAUGAGUUUAUCUUUCAUUGUUUUGGAUAUUAAAAGUCAACUAUAUGUAUUUGAAAUUUUUUUAAAGAAAAAUAAAAAAAUAUUUUAGCACAAUAAACUUAAAUUAUUAAUUAACUUAUUUAAGUUCCUAAAAUUAUUAUUCUAGACUUUUUAAAAAAUUUAACUUUAUAUAUUUUUUAGAUUUUUUUGAAUUUUUUAUAAUUUUAAAAAAAUAUAAAAAAUCAUUUUGAAUUUUUAAAAAUUAUUUUGAAUUAUUUUUUAAUUUUUUGUUGAGAGAGAGAUCAAUUUAUUCAUUUUUAAAUUUGACAAUGACCAAAAAGGUAUUUACAUCAAUCUGUUAUUUAAAUUAUUUGAAUUAUAAAAUUUAACUCGAUUUGAACUCAAAACUUGAAUUACUUAUUCGAGUUGAUUCAAUUAACUUAAAAUUCAAAAUUUUUUAAUUUUUUGAAUCGAAUCGAAUUUUAUUUACCCCUAAUUCUAAAAAGUUUACUAUUGUAUAAAUAUAAAAAUAAUUGAUCCAAAAAUGAAGAUCCUAAAACUGUGGAUAGAUGUAGUCACUAGGUUAAGUAUUUAUGCUUUUAUAUAUUAGUGAUGAACAUGUAGCACCCGUCCGAUUGCCCCAAAGACUACUUCAAAGAGUAUAAAAAAAUAAUUAUUAUUAUUAUUAUUAAAAUUAUAUGGAAUUAGAAAGGGAAAUUCAAUUGGUUCACUUCGAUAAAUAUAUGGUCAAAGAUUUGGCAGGCAACAACCUUAAUGACUUCAUACUUCAUUAUUAUUAUUUUUUAAUGAUUCUGUUGAAAUUAAUCUCACAUUCUUGGAUCUGGUUAAUGUUGGGUUUUAACCUUGUAGUAUGAGCCUAAAAGAGUAAUCAUGGUGCACCAAGUGUUGUUAUUUUAAGAAUUUUAGUAAAUAUAGUUUUGUUUUUUAUUUAUUUUGGUUGGUUAAUUAUUGAAUUAAUUAUUCAAUUAUUGAGUUAAUUACUUAAUUUAGUGCUUGAUUUUUUUAGUUGUAAAAUUUUAGCUAUGGUCAAACCGUAACAAUUAAAUUUGUUGGAUAAAGUUUUACUAUUAGUCUUAUACUCUGUUUAAAUCAUGGAUUUAGUCAUUAUCAUUCAAGUUGUUCAUCUUUAGCCUUAUACUUUUUAAUUUUGAAAUUUCAAUAAUGGUUUAAGGCUAACUAAAUCUAUUAGCUAAAAUAAUAUUAAUUUUUUAUUAUAUCGUGGAAAUAAAAAAAUAGCAUGACAUUACAUAUGUGAUAAUAUAUUUACUAUAUAAAAUUUUGGAAGUAGCAAAUUUUAAUUUAAAGAAAUUAAUAGUUACUGUUUCACUCAUGAUUGAAAAUUUAAAAUUCAAAAAAAUAUAUAAUUUGGAAUGAUAAAAAGUAGAAUAUAAUACUAAAUCUACAAUUUGUGUAUAUUAUAAGCUAUAUAAGUAACUAUUCAAUAAAAUAAUUAAAUGAUAAUUAAAUAAUCCUUAACACAUAAUUACAAGCAUCAACUGUUAAAUGCAUUAAAGCCCAAUGUUAAAUGCAUUAAAACCCAACUUCAAAAAUAAAUAUUCGAUAUGGAAUAAGAUUAUUAUUUUAUAUCGAAAAUUUUUAAUUCUACAAGGGAGAGUUAGAAGUUGUCACAACUUAUGUGUCAUGUUAGAAUUGUGUGACUCGAAUCCGGGCCUUAAAAGUUUGAGGUGCAACUUACUUGUUAAAAAAAUAAAAUAGAGGCAAGAUUGAGGAUUUAUGGGUACGAACCUUGCCGCAGUUGAUUAUAAAAAGGUUGUUUAACCUUUAAAACGUGUGUAGCAGAAAACUUUUUGUAUUAUGUUUUUUAAAAUUAGUGAAUUUCUCCUCCUCAGCUCGUGGUUUUUCCAAAUAAGGAUUUUCCACGUAAAAUCUGCAUGUUCUUAUUUUUCUUUCUUAUUGCUUUGCGAUCAUUCCUACUGUCAUUAUCGAUGUAUAGUAUAACAAACUGGUAUCAGAGUAUUCGAGUUGCUUGUCUCGAUCAUGGUAAUGGCGACAUUGAAGUAUGAUAUUUUGUUGUUGGAUCACAAUACCAAAUUUUCAUUGUGGCAGGUAAAGAUGCAGGCAAUUCUCGUGCAGAUGAAUUUGGAUGAUGCCCUAUUAGGGUUAGAUAAGAUGCCUUUGACAUUGACGCUUAAAGAAAAGCAGCGUAAGGAUCGAAAAACCCUAGUACAAUUAUCGAAUGAAAUUUUACAAGACGUGUUGAAGGAGAAGAUCGUCAUUGUGUUAUGGUUGAAGCUGGAGCAACUAUGCAUGUCAAAAACCCUAACUAGCAAGUUGCAUAUGAAGUAGUGUAUUUAUUUUCAUUAUUUGGAAGAAGGUACGUAUUUGGUAGAAUACUUAAUUGUCUUUAAAGAAAAUUUCUCAGACCUAGAAGCCAUGAAGGUUCAGUAUAAUAAAGAGGAUUUAGGGUUAAUUUUGCUUUGUUCAUUGCUCCUUAUUAUUAACCUUUAGAGAUACAAUUUUAUAUAGUCACGGAUCUUUCACUGUUGAUGAAGUUUAUGAUUCCUUAGCCUUGAAUGAUAAAAUGAAACUUUUUGUAGCUGGAUCCGACCUUUAGGGAGAGGAUCCCAUUGUUCGUGAGAGACAAAAAUGAAAUACUGGUGAUAAUCAUGGGAGGACACAGGAACUAAAUCUUGGCAGUAAAGCUAAGAGUAGAUCGAAAUCUUCAAAUAGAGGUAAAACUUGUAAUUUUUGCAAAAAAGAAAGGGCACAUUAAGUCUAAGUGAUACAAGUUACAAAAUAAGAUCAAAAGAAAGACUGUGAAUUAAAAAGGAAAAUAACCGAAAAAUCUGGUGAAGCUGAUGUAGUACAAGACUACAGUGAUGGUGAACUCCUAGUUGCUUCUGUUGAUAACUCUAAAGUAAGUGAUGAGUGGAUCCUCGAUUCUAGUUGCGCUUUCCAUAUGAGUCCCAACUGGGAUUGGUUUACGACAUAUGAAACUGUGUCUAAAAGUGUUGUUUUGAUGAGAAAUAAUGCUUAAUGUAGAAUUUUAGGUAUUGACAUAAUCAAAAUUAAGAUAUUUGAUGGAGUCGUCAGAAUACUUGGUGACGUACGACAUGUACCAGAAUUGAAGAGAAAUUUGAUUUCGUUUAGUACUCUUGAUUCAAAAGGGUACAAGUACAAAGCUGAAGUGGAGUUCUAAAGAUUAGCAAGGGUUCUCUCGUCGUGAUGAAAGGGCAAAGAAAGACUGUCAAGUUAUAUGUUUUGCAAAGGUUUAACAGUUACAGGUAAUGCAAUCAUUACUUCCUCUUCCUAGUUAGAUGAUGAUGUUACUAGACUUUGGCAUAUGCAUCUAGGGCAUAUAAGUGAGAAUGGCAUGACAUAAUUAAGCAAAAGAAGACUUAUUGAUGGACUAGAAAACUGAAGUUUUGUGAGCGCUGCAUUUUUGGGAAGUAAAAGAGAGUUUGUAAGACCCCCUAACCCCGAACCGUAGCUGGAACAGAGUUACGAGGCAUUACCGGAUGUAUCAGACAACUUAUGAAUAAUUCACAAAUAAAAUAACAUUCAUAGCAUAAUUUAAUUACUAAAUUCCUAUAUUGAACUCUCAAAGUCUAAAGCAUAAAUUUAAGUGAAACGAGACUUGUUUAAGUACUCCAAUUUUUUUUUUAUAAAUUUCGACAGCAUUUCUGCUUAUUUUUACAUAAAUCCCCCUGCAAUUAAAACCAUAUCCAUUUCAAGCAUAACCAAUUCAACCAAAUUAUUUCACACAUUUAUUUUCUAUUCUAAAUACCUCUAAUCAACUUAAUCAAUAUAAUAUCAAUUUAAAUUUAUCAUUGUACUAAUUAAAUUGAAAUGGAUAAACUUUUUCAUUAUAAUUCUUAGACUUGUAAUACUAAUAUUUUAAACCAUUUAUAUUCAAAACAUAAUAACCUUUAUACACAUCCUAUGUACAUGCCACAUUACCAAAAGAAAAUAUACAUCACCAAAAAGUUUGCUGAAGUCGGGUCUGGCUUUGGAUGCUGGUUCAGUACUUGACUUCUACAACCUGCGCACGGAAACAACCGUACGCUGAGUAUGCAUAUACUCAGUGGUAUCACUAUAAUUUAGUUUAUAAUUAAAUACAUUAAAUCGCACACAUACUUUUACAUUACAAUUAUCAUCACUUAAUGAACAAUUUAAUCUUUUUAUGUUAUCAUUCGAUUAUAUAUAUAUCAUUCUUAUUUCUUUAUUUCAAUUCUCAACUUUCACAUAUGCUAUAUACUUUGACUUGGACUCGGCGGAUACACGGAUUCCAACCAACACACCAGUACGGCACAAUGUGCCUUAACUGUACACAGUACUUAAUCAGUAAUCAGUAACGGUAGCAGUAGCAGUAACAGUAACAGUAUUCAACACACAAAGUGCUGAAUCUGUAACAAUAGCGGUAACAGUAUUCGACACACAAAGUGUUGAAUCGGUAACAGUAACGGUAACGGUAACAGUAGUCGGCACAUAAGUGCCUGAUCAGUAAGCCGGCAAAACCCGUACUCUUCCUGUAAUAACCCGAAUUUUACCGUUACCGAAACAGUGUAUUUUCGGGUCUCCGUUUCUGAAAAACAGAUUCGUAAAUAUUUAUUAAAAAUAUUUACGAAGUAAAAUGAGUGGUUAAUUAGAGUUUAAUUAAGUAAAUUUAGCUUAAUUAAGAGUAAUUAGGAAAAAUGUCUAAAUUGAAUAAAGGAUGAAAGUUGAAUUGUAGAUUAAAAGAAAAUGAAGAGGACCAAAAUGGCAAUUAUGCCAUUUGUCCUAAGUGAGGCGGUAUAAACAUAAAAAUCUGAGAUUUUUAUGUGUUAAAAUAUAUAUUAAAUUAUUAUUAUUAUUUAUUAUAGUUUUAUAUUUAAUUAUUAUUGUUAUUGUUAUUAUUAUUUAAAUUGAUAUUAUAUUAUAAAAUGAAUAAAAGUAAGACAAGUAUGUGGUAAAAAAAAUUUUUAUAUGUGUACCAAUGAUAUACAUACACUUGUAAUACACAUAUAUGUUUGCUUAUUGUAUAAGUAUAUUAUAUAUUAUUAAACGUAAAGUAAAUAAAAAGGAAAUAAAGGAAAGGAACAGAAUGAAAAGAAACAGAAUGUGGAAACGAAACAGAGAAGAAACAGGGGAGAAAGAAAGAAAGAAAAAGAAAAAGGAAAAGGAAAAUUUGGGGUUUCAAGGUUCAAAGUUAAAUUGGUAAGUCAAUUUAGCCCCUUUUCUUGUAAAUUUUGAGUUUAUGGAAUCCUAGAGAUAAAUACUACUUGAUUUAAGUGAAAAUUUUGAAAGUUGUUAGCUUUUUAGAUAUUGUUCUUUUUGAAUAAAAAGAUGAAUUAAUGGCUAAAUUGAUAGAAAUUCAAGUUAGAAAUGAAAUAAGGAUUAAAUUGUAAAGUGAUUCACAAGUUUUAUGCUUUAAGGACUAAAUUGAAAGAAUUUUGAAAUUAUGGUUUUAUGAUGAAAAAUGGAUAAUUAUGUCUAAGUUUGGUUAAAAAUUGAAUAGAAAUGAAGUAUGAAUUGAGAUAGAAAAAGUAAGUGAAUCUAGUUAAGAUUAAAUUGAAAUUAAAGUAGAAAUUGAAUAAAAAUUGUAUUAAUUAGACAUAAAUUAGUAGUGAAUUAACGAAUAUGAAUUGUUUUAAUUCUCGUAGCUAAUAUUGUUUCGAGAAGUUUCGGCUAAGUAAGGAAAUAGCAAAGUCGACGAGGAAAAGCUUGGAAAAGCUCGGAAAAUACGGUUUGUAUUUCUAUAAUCCGAACCUAGUUAUUAUUUGUUAUAUUUAUAUACAUAUGACAAUUGUUAGUGUUAGAAUUAUGAUGUUUUACUAGUGAAAUGGAUUGAUUUUGGUAUGUGAUGAAUUUAUCAAAUUUAUAUUGAUUAAAAUCAUUUUGAUUAAAUUUAUAUUGAUUGAAAUUAUAAUAUAUAUAUAUAUAUAUGAUCUAUGUAAAAAUUUGAAUAUUGAAUGAAUGUUAUAUUGAAAAAUUAUAUUGAUUGGAAAUAUGAGGGAAUUGAUAUGAAUAUAUGAGAUUUGUGAUAAUUGAAUAUUUGAUAUUGAAAAGUGAAUUGAGUUGUAUUGGAUUAUGAAUUAAUGUGAAUAAUUGAAAUAUAUUUGUUGAAUUGAAUGAAAAUGUAUGAAAUUGUGAAAAUGUGUGAAAAUAUGUGAUUAUUAGAAUGGUAUAUUGAUGAAAGAUUUAUUAAAUUGAGAAAGUGAAUCAAAUACCCUAUUAACAGUAUCGGACCAGAUUGGAUACAAAUGGCAUGCCAUUGGAUUUGUGAUGUGAUGAGGAGAUUGCAGUUCGGCUAAGAAGAUGUUUCUGUUAUUAUAUACUUCGAUUUAUCCGAAGAGGCAUUUAAUGCCUUAUUGGUGUGUUUGGGAGGAUAUGAUAUACUGGUGUGUUAUGGAGGAUUUAUAAUAUUCCGGGUGUGUUUGGGUUGGAUAUUCUGGUGUGUUUGGGAGGAAUCCGCGUAUCUAUCAGAGUCCGAGUCUUGUUAAUAGGGGUAAAUAAGUGAAAAGAUAAAUCGAGUGAAUUUGAUUGAUUGAGCUAUUGGAAUGAAAUGAGAAGUUGAAUUGAGAAUUGAAAUUGAGAUAUGAGAUUGAAAAUAUGAACCAAAAGGUUCAUGAAAUGAGUGAAGUUCAAAUGGAUGAUAAUUGAUGCCACUUGAUGAAUUGAAAUGUGAAUUGAGAUAUAUGACUUGUAUAGAAUUUUUAUGGUAAGUAAAUGAAAUUUAUCUAUAAAACAAAUAAAUGAAUACUUAUAAUUGUUAUUAUGAUUUUAAGUUUAAUUGUUAUAUUAUUAAGUGUUCGGAUUAUAGAAAUACCACUGAGUAUACCAUACUCAGCGUGCGGUUUGUUUCCGUGCGCAGGUUUAGUAAAGAUAGAACGUUGAAUCAGCAUCCCAGUUCGAUUCCGAAUUCAUUAAGGUAAAGUGUGUUAAUUAUUGGUAAUGGCAUGUACCUAGGAUGUCUUAUGUGUGUGUCAUUUUGAAAUUGUAAAUGUAAGGAUGAAAUGAUAUUGUAUGGAUUUAGUGAAUAAUAGUGGUAAAUGAAUAAAUAUGGCCUUCAGUAGUGUAAAUUUUAAAAUUCACCAUAAAUUGUGGAAAUUGAAUUAAGGGCUGAAUAAAAUAUGAGAUUAAAUCCUGAUGAGUCUAGUUUCAUAUAGAGGAAACGGUGCAUGCAAUUGGAUUUUAUGUUAUGAGAUAUUUAAAUUGUUGUGAGACAGAGUCUGAAUGACUUUGAGAUCCUCUGUUCUAAUUUUAGAAAAUCAUUGGAAAUUAUACAAAAAUAAUUAUGAGUUUUAAUUUAUAUAGUUAAAAUCCUUAUUGAGUCUAUUUUUAAGAGGGAUAGAUAGGAACAUCAUCUGUAUGCCGAAUUAUGAGAUAAAUAAUUUUUAGUGAAGAGAGGUCAGAACUGUUGGACAGCGAAACACGGGAAACUUUUAGAAAUAAGCUGUACUAAUUGGCUAAAUCAAAAAUUCUGAAAAUUUUAUGGUAGAAAGGUAUAUGAGUCUAGUUUUAAGGAAAAUUAACGGAACUUAAUUUGGAGUUUCGUAGCUCCAGAUAUAAAUAUUUUAGUGACUAUUGCUCAAGAAGAUAGUUUUGACAUGAACAUAAGAAAAUAAUGGAAUUAUGUGUAAUUAUUCUGUAAACUCCGGUAAUGCUCCAUAACCCUCUUCCGGGAUGGUUUGGGGUUAGGGGGUGUUACACUUCCAUAUCCUAUGGCAUGCCAACUAUAUCCGACUAGCCCGACUAGUUAAUAGAGUAUUUAAAUCAUUUUUCAGUACAAUUUCCAUUUCGAUUCAAUAUUAAUUAUAAUUUAUUAUUUUGAUCAAUUUACACAGUAAUACUGUAAUUCACUUUAUUAGAAAUUUUACAGUUCAAUGCAAUAAACGUAACAUUAUUCAGUAAUUUCACAGUUCAAUUCGGUAUUCAAAACAAUAUUCAGUAUCCCAUAAUUCAGUUCAGGAUCAAUCUCAAUUUUAAUUCCCAAUCACAAAUUUUAUCAGUUCAUUAAAUACUUACCUUAAAAUACUGACCACACAUUCAUAUUAAAUUAAACAUAUAUUAAUUAUAAAGCUUGAGUUAUAGUGAUACAAACCAGAAUUUUCUUCGAAUUUAAUCCUCGACGAUCUUUCCUUUUCCUUUUUAGGCCGAUGCUUCAGGCUUGAUAUUAGCUACGAACAUUAAAAUAAUUUCACAAUUAUUAGCAUAACACAAUUUAAAUGCUGAAAUUUUUAUCUAACUUUUACUUUAAUUCCAAUUUAAUCCCAACUAAACCUAUUUAUUUUUCUUUCUCAAUUUAUACCUUUUUGCUACUCAAUUUCUUGCCAAACUCACAUCUAACUAUUUAAUUUUUAUCAUAUUUUCAUAAUUUCGAAUUUAUUUCAAUUUAAUCCCUAAAACUCAAAACUUAUAACUUAGUUUACAAUUCAAUCGUUUAUUCAAUUCCAAUCAAAAUUUCUAUCAAAUAAACCCCCAAUUCCAUCAUUUGUUCAACAUAAACCCUAGUAAAAAAUCUAUUAACUUUCAAAAUUUCAACUUAAAUUCAACAAAACUUUAUUCUAAAGCUUCUAAGACAUCAAAAUUAACUAAAAAGGACUUAAUUGACUUACCAAUCAAAGCUUCAAGCUUUAAAUCUCUAGUUUUUCCUUUUUCUAUUUCUUUCCCUUUUUCUCUCUUUUUUUCUCCCUUGUUUUCGAAUGCUUCUGUUUUCUAUUUGUUUGUUUUAUUUAUUUUAUGCUUUAUUUCUUUUUAUUUUAUUUUAUUUAUAUUAUAUUUAAUUAAUAAAUACCUAUUUAAUAGCAAUUAUAUAUAUAACAAUUGUACACACACAUGUUUUAUAUUUGUUCAAUAUUACCACCCUACAUUUUUCAUAAUUUUAUUUAAUUAUCACAUAAAAAUCUUAUUUUAUAAUUAUUUAAUUAAUAAAUAUCUCUUAAUUUUAAUAAUAAAUAAUAAAUAUCUACUAAUUUAAAUAAAAUAUUAUAAUUGUAUAAAUAUUAUCAUUACAUAUGUAUAUUUUUAUCACCUUACACUUGUCAUAAUCAUACUUUAUUUAACAUAAAAAAAAUCUUAUGAUAUAAUUAUUUAAUUAUCAAUAAUAUAAUUUAAUCUAAUUAUCUAUUACUUUAAUAUUAAGUAAACAAAUUAUUUUAUAACAAGUACACAUGUAUCUAUUUAUUACAAAUAUACCAAUAUUUUUUUUUAUUACCAUACAAUUCUCUACUAUUUAAUUUAUUUAAUAAUAAUAAUAUAAAACCAUAACAAUUAAUAAUUAUAAUAAUCAAUUAUAUAAUAUAAUAUAAUAUAAUAUAAUAUAUAUAUAUAAUUUAAAUAAAAUCUUAGAUUUUUAAUAUGUUUAUGCCGCCUCAACCAUUACUUAAUGGCAUAUUUUCCAUUUUGGCCCUUUUUACUUUCUAUUGCUUUAGAAUUAAACUUUUACCUCUUAUUCAAUUUAAUCCUUUUUACUAAUUACUCUAAAUUAAGCUAAAUUUACUUAAUUAAAACCUAAUUAGACACACCACUAGACUCAUAAAUAUUUUUAAUAAUUAUUUUCGAACUUAUUUUACUAAGAUGGAGGCCCGAUAACACACUUUUCUGGUGCCUACGGAUUUUGGGUCGUUACAGAGUUUGAUUCACCAGAGGAGUCCAUAACACAAAGGGAACGCUAGAUUAUAUUUAUUUUGAUCUUUAGGGGCCAUCUAGAAUGUCUUUUAGGGGUGGCGUUAAUUAUAUGCUAAUAAUCAUUGAUGAUUUUUUCCAAAAAAGUUUAGGCAUUAUUCCUGAAACAGAAAAGUGAUAUGUUACCCACAUUUAAGGAUUAUAAGACUAUGAUCGAAAAGCAAAUAGGAAAACAUAUAAAACACCUCCGCACAAAUAAAUUUUGUUCUAAUGAGUUUAAUGAAUUGUACAAAUUAGAAGGGAUCGUGAGACACUUGACAGUCCGUCGUACUCCACAGUAAAAUGGCAUUACAGAAUGGAUAAAUAGAACAAUAAUGGAAAAGGUUUGAUGCAUGUUGUCGAAUAAUCAUCUACCAAAGUUGUUUUGGGCUGAAGUGGCCUUUACAACAUGUUCAUUGAUUAAUCGGUCUCCGUCCAUUGCUAUUGAGGAAAAGACUCCACAAGAGGUAUGUCUGGUACUCCUGCUAACUAUUCUAAUUUGAAGAUUUUUGGGUGUCUCACGUAUGCUCAUGUUGAUAAUGGUAAAUUGGAGCCUAGAUCUAUUAAGUGUAUUUUUCUUGGAUAUAAGGCUGGUGUUAAAAGGUAUAAGUUAUGGUGUCCUGGAACUAGAAAAGUUAUAAUUAGUAGAGAUGUUAUUUUUAUUAAGACCGCUAGGCUACAUAACUUACCUCUUAAAGACUCUUUUGAAAAAGACCAGCAGAGGUCAAACACACAUGUGGAGCAGGUGGAGCUUCAGAUUAAUUCAAAAUCUACAACAGAGUCUACUCCUCAGGUUAGUAUAGAAACUCAGAGUAGAGUUGUUCCUUCACCACAAUCAGCACCAUAAUAUUCUAUUGCCAAGAACAAACUAUUUGGUAGAUGAUUUCAAAAGAAGCAGUUUUGACAGUUGUGUUUAUCUUGAGAAGAGUGGUGAUGAUUCAUCUGAAUAUCUACUCUUUUAUGUUGAUGACGUGUUAAUAGCAACUAAAGAUAAAUAAGAGAUAAGAAAGGUCAAAACCCAGCUUAGUAAAGAACUUGAGAUGAAAGGUUUGGGAGAAGCAAAGAAGAUACUCGGGAUAGAGAUUUUCAAAGAUAGAAAAGCAUGUAAAUUAUACCUAACUCAGAAAGGGUACAUUGAAAACGUUCUUUGCAGGUUCAAUAUGCAGAGUGCUAAGUCUAUUAGUACUCCAUUUGCAACCCAGUUCAAACUUUCAUCAGCCUUGUCUCCGCAAUCAAAUGAUGAGAUUGACUACAUGUCACGAGUUUCAUAUUCUAGUGCAGUGGGAUCUCACAUGUAUGCUAUGGUUUGCUCACGUCUAAAUUUAUCAUAUACAGUUAGUGUAAUUAGUUGGUACAUGGGGAAUCCCGAUAAAGAACACAUGAAAGUAAUUUAAUGGAUUUUUAGAUACUUACAAGGAACUACUGAUGUUUACUUAUAGUUUGGAAAUAAUAAAGAUGGAGUCAUUGGGUACGUUGAUUUUAAUUUUGCUGGAGAUCUUGAUAAAAGAAGGUCUCUCACAGGGUAUAUUUUUAUUAUUGAGGGUUGCACCGCCAAUUGGAAAGUCACUUUGCAGACUACAGUUGCUUUGUCUACUACUAAAGCUAAGUACAUAGCGAUUAUUGAGGCUUCUAAAAAAGCUAUUUGGUUAAAGGGUCUCUUUGGUGAACUCAACAAAGACAUUCACAUCAGUACAAUGUUUUGUGAUAGUUAGAGUGUCAUAUUCCUUACAAAUGAUCAAAUGUUUCAUGAGAAGACGAAGCACGUUGAUGUUUUAUAUCAUUUUGUGUGUGAUAUUACUGCCCGUGGUGAUAUUGUUGUGAGCAAAGUUACCACUCAUGAUAAUCCUGCAGAUAUGAUGACUAAGUCACUUUUUAUAGCCAAGUUUGAAGAUUGCUUAGACUUGGUCAGUGAUCAUUGUCGAAGAAUACCCCUUAAGGGGUUUCAUGAAAGAAGUGGAGAACUUGUUCAUCGAGAAUUAUUGUCAAUAUAGAGAUUGUUAGAGUUGUAUGACCCGAAUCCCAACCUGAAAAGUUCAAUGUGCAAUUUACUUGUUAAAAAAAUAAAAUAAAGAGAAAAAUUUGGGGAUCUGUGGGUACGGACCUUGCCGCACAAGUUGAAAUUGUAUAGGAUUAUACUUCUUCUAUUAAACGUUAAUAAUAAAAGGGUUAUUUAACCCUUAAAACAUGUGUAGCAGAAAACCUCUUGUAUUUUGUUUUUCAACAUUAGUGAAUUUUUCCUCAUUUACCCGUGGUUUUUCUCAAUAAGGAUUUUCCAUGUAAAAUCUGUGUUCUUUUUUUUUCUUUCUUAUUGUUUUACGAUCAUUCCUACUAUAAUUAUCGACGUAUAGUAUAACAUGUCCUUAUGUAAUAUUAAAAAAACUAAAAAUUAAUCAAAAUAAACACAUGUCAAUCAUUUAACUCUGUCCAUGGAGUUUAAAAAAUUCAAUUGAUAUUGUAUCAAAUAAUUUUCCUAAAAAUAAAUGAUGAUUAAGUAUUUUUGAAUCGAAUAUUUCUCAUUAGGAACUGUCAAGAGAUGCCAUAGAAAAAUAAUAAAACUAGUAAAAACAUUAAUACAAUGAUUAGCCUCACAAUGAAAUACUAAUCCAUUAAAUCCUCCUAACCUCGAUGCCUCUCUCAAUAAAAGGUAGUUUUGAAGUGCAUAGACUAUGUUUUCCCUUACUACACCACACUUAUUCCAACUUGAAUCAUUGGACGUUGGCAUUAUAGCAAUUUUUGCUGCCAUUGGCAAAAUUUCAUUUCUCAACCUCUAAGCAAAAAAUUUAAGCUUUGAUAAGGUAUGAAUACUCCAAAUUGCGUGCCAAAUAAAGUAGUGUAGACCAUAGUUUGUAUCUUUUGACAAGAGCUAACUAUAGCAAGCUUUUGUAGAAUAGAUACUUGAGGAUGCAUCCCACCAUACAAUCACAUCUUACACUAAAUCAUGCAAGAGAGGACUUAUUUAAAAAAAAAAGUAAUACCAAAGUGCUUGAAUCCACACAUGCCAUUUGGUAAUCUAACUAUAUUCCAUUACAACAUUGCCCAUCUUUGAUCGCCACUCUUCUCAGAACAAAGUUGUAGAGGAAAAAAUUAGGGGUGAGUGUUUAAUCUAAUCGAAUAAAAAAUUUCAAGUUAAUCGAGUUGAAAAAUCCUAUUUUAUAAUCCUAACUCAAUUAGAAAUUUUUUCGAAUUGAGUCGAGUGAGAUGAGGUUUGGGGGAAAGCAAAAGGAAAAAAGUUUUGGGGGGUUUGGGGGAAGUAAAAGUUUUGGGAGAAAAGUAAAAGGAAAAAAAUUUAAGGGGUUUUGAGAAAGUAAAUGUUUUAAGGGGAAAGUAAAAGGAAAAAAGUUUUGGAGGUUUGGGGGAAGUACAAUUUUUAGGGGGAAAGUAAAAAGGUUUGAAAAGGGUUGAAGGAAGGAAAGUAAAUGUGUUUGGUAUUUGGUUUAUUCGAAUUUUUUGAGUUAUUCAAAUUCAAAAAUUCAACUUGGUUCGAACUCAAAAUUCGAAAAAAAAUCAAGUUGAUUCAAUUAACUAGUCAACUUUAUAUUAUUUGAUUCAAAUAAUUCGAAAUUCAAUUUUUUUUAGUCAAAUUAAAAUUUUCUCACCCCUAGAGAAAACAACACAUAACAUAUGUAAGCAUCGCUUACAAUACUUGUAGCGACGUAAAAAAAAAAAUUUAGCUUGGUCGCUAAUUAGGGUGUUUGAUUGAAAGUUUAAAGACUGAGUUUUGAUUUUGAAAUAAAAGGGAGUCGCCACCGAUCCUUUUUCUUAGAUGUGAUCGGAUACCUAUUAGAUUUCUUCUUCUUUUUUUUUAAAACAAAAAGAAAGCCGAGUUUAGGUCUACAUCAAAAGCCAGAGAAAAAUUAGGGUUCGGGAGUUGGUUACGCGCAAGGAAGGUAUUAGCACCCUCGCGACGCCCAAAAUUGGUAUCUUGUAAAACACGCGUUGUCUUGAUUUUCAAAAAUACGAGUUCAAUGUAAGAUUUAAUCGUGAUCCGGUUGAAAAGACGAGAAUUUUUUAAAUUUUGAUUGGUUAAAAGGGCGUCCCGUUUUCAACACGAGCCGAUAUGAUUCACCCAACAUAGCGAUGAGAUCAAUGACUUAGUGUUAAACCGAUACGUCGCCUCAUGUAUUGAAAUUAAUUAGAAAACGAGAAUAAGAUUUUCGAAGUAAUGCAGAGCAAAUUGACAUGAAAUAAAAAUAAAUAAAAGAACUAGAAACAUAUUGAAGCAAAUAAUAAAUAUGACAAUAAUGUCAAAAACGAUAAAGAUAUAUGCGGUAUUAAACGUAAUAUGAGAAUUAAAGAUGAAAUGGAAACAAUGUAUGUAUAUAUAUACGCAUAUAAUAAUGGUUAAUAUAGUCAUGAAAACAUGAUAUUAAAAUAUUAAUGAUGCUACACAUACGUAUACUUAAUAGUAACAAAUAAAAACUAUAUAAUAUAAUAUAAUAUGAGAAAUGUAUAUACAUAAGAUGAUCAAAAAUACGUAGAUGGAAUAGUUUAAGAAAUAUAUACAUGGAAACAUUAAAAAUAAGUACAUAAUAUAUAUAUAAUAUAUACAAUAUAUAUUUAUAUUAGAAUGAUAAUAGUAUAUAUAUAAAAACUAUACACAUGCUACAUAAGUACGUAUAUAUAUAAAAAUAACAGCGGUGUUAGGAAUAUGUACAUAAGAUAGUAUAAAGAAAUAUAUAACUAAUGAUAUCAAAAUAUAUACAUAAUAACAUAUAAACAAUAUAAUAUUUUUUUUAAAAACGUACAUAAUAUAUAAAUAUAUAUACAUAAUAUAUAAAUAUAUAUAUACAUACAUAAUAUAAUAUUUACAUAAUGUAUACAUAUUAGAAAUAAAAAAGACUAUUAAUAAUACUACAUAAAUAUAUACGCAUACAUAUUAAAAAUAUAUACAUAUAUAAUAUUAAAAAAUGUAUAUACAUAAUAUAUAUAAAAACAUAAUAUAGUAAAAAAAUAUACAUAAUAUAAGAAUGUUAAAAUAAUAAAUAAAAAAUAAUGAAGAAAUGAGUAAAAAUGAUAUACAUAAUAAUACAGUAAGAAAAUUAUAUAUUUAUAAUAAGUACUUAAAAACAUCUAUGUAUAUACAGAUAAUAAAAGUAAUAGUGAAAAUAAUAAAUAUAAUAAUAAAUAUGAUAAUAGAAAUGAUAACUGUCGAAACCAUUCCUUGAUUUAAAAAUUUUAAAAUUUUAAAAAAGGGGUAAUCGACUUUUGAAAAACAAAUGCAUGGAGUCACCACCGAUUUUUUGUUUUGGUGUGAUCGGAUCACCUAAAAAUUUGGUUAUUUUAAUAAAACAUUUAUGAUUUACUAAAACAACAAUUUUGGUCUAGAAAAAUUUUAGAAAACGGGCUCAGGAGUCGGUUACGCAUGAGGAAGGAUUAGCACCCUCACUACGCGCAAAAUUGGUACCAAAUCGAUUAAAUAUUGUCCUUAUGUCUAAAAUUAAAAAUGUUUUUGAAAUGUGGCUUUUUUUAAUAAAAGUUGAAUAACCUGAGUUAAUCGUCAAAAAUUUUCUUGUUUCGAUGUCCGGAAAUUUAUAAUUCGAAAAUCACAAAAGGAUGCUCAACUAUUUAGUCCAACGAAAGAUCGAAACCCAGCACAGUAGGGCACGAUUCUUUGAAUUCCCAAACAUUGAUCAUUGCCUCACUUUGGAAAAUACGAGUGAAAUCCCGGAGAGAUAUUUGAUUAUUUCGGUCAGACGGGAGAUUGCAACCCAGCACGAUAGGGCACUAUUCCCCGAACUGCCCAAACAUCAAACACUUCUUUCGUUUUAAAGGGUUUUUAGAAAACGUGGAUGAAACUUCAAAGGGAUCUUCGAUUGCUUAGAAUAAAUGAAAAAGCGCAACCCAACACGAUAGGGCACGAUUCUCAAAUAUCCAAUCAUCGAACAUCCUUUGUUUUGAAAGGUUUUUAAUAAGCAUGGGUGAAAACCUAAAGGAAUAUUCGAUUGUUUUUAAGCAAACGAGAAAUCACAACCCAGCACGAUAAGGUAUGAUUCUCGAAUCAUCAAACACCGAGUAUUGCCUUUAUUUGCGAAAAAUCUUAUUUCGAGGUAACAACAUGUCAUACCCGGUAAGUUAGGGCAUCACACCUCGUAUCUCCAAAAAUAAAUAUUUUUUUUAAACUCACAUUGUGAUUAAAAGGAAUAUUCCAUUAUUUAGGUUAAAUAACAAGAAUCGAAACCCAGUAAGUUAGGGUAUGAUUAUCUCGAAUUACCUAAUACGGAAUAUUACUUUUAUGAAAGAAUUGUUUUAAUAUAUUGAGUAAGAAAAAUAACGUGAUUUAUAGUAAAACAUAAAAGCAAAUUAUAAUAUUAAUGUGAAUAAUAACAUAAUAGGUGCGACAGUGUCAAAAACGAUAAUAUGAGUAAUUAUAAAAGAUGAAGUAAUAGCAAGACUAGUAAUAUGUAAAUAUAAACAAAUGCAUGAGGAAAAUGAAAUGAUCGAAGACAUAAGCAAAUUAACGAAUAAAUGAAAAUGAAUAAAACAUGGAACAACAAAAAUGGCAAUGACAAUGAUGAUAAUAAUAAUAAUAAUAAUAUAACGUAGAAAAUAAUGAUAAUAAUAUAUGAAUUUAAAAUAUAUAUAUACAUACAUAUACCAAAGACAUAUUCAUAAUAAUAGUAUUGAAUAUUAAAAGUAUAUAUAUAAUAGAGACAAAAAUAUAUGCAUAAUGUACUAUUAAAAGUAUUUACAUGGGAUAAUGUAUAAAAAAACAUAUGAAUAAUGUGAUAUUAAAAAUAUAUACAUAAAAAUAUAAUAGAUAUAUAUAUAUCUAAUAUAUACAUAAUAUAGUAUUAAAAAUAUAUAUAAUACAUACACAUUAGAAAUAAUAAUAAUAAUGUUACAAAACAAUUAUUAAUAAUACUUCAUAAAUAUAUACAUACAUAUAUAUAUGUUAAAAAUAAGUACAUAUUAAUAUUAAGAUGAUGAUAAUAUUAAAAUAACCAUUGAUAACUUUACAUAUAAAUAUAUACACAUAUAAGUAUGAUAACAGUAAUUAUAAUACUAAUACUAAUAAUAAAUACAACAAUAGUAGUAAAAAUAAACACAUUAAUAAUCAUGAAAAUAAUGUGUACAUGAAAAAUAAUAAUGAUAUGAUAAAAAAACGAUACAAUAUAAUAAUAACAUAAAGAAAAUAAAAUAAUAAUAUUUAUAAUAAAAGAAAAUAAAAGAGUGUAUUUAAAAGCAUAUAUAUAAUAUUAUUUGAACUAAUAUUAAAAAUUAAAGUAGCAAAGAUAAUAUAAAAAUCAACUUAAAUUAAAAAAGAGACUAAAUUCGAAUUAAAAACGAAGUUUUGGGGCAAAUUUAAAAAUAAAAAUAAAAAUAAAAGGGCCUAUUUAAAUGCACGUAAAACAAUAGAGGGCCUAAAGUGCAAUAACCCCCUUUAUAAAAUGCACAGCAUCAGCUAGGAUUAAAUUGAAAAUUGCGACAAAUUUUGGUGCCAAAUUAAAAAUAAAAAAUAAUUUAAUUGCAAAGUAAUAAAAAGCGGAGGGGCUAAACGCGCAAAUAGCCCCUCCAAUGAAAACACGCGGAUCCUGAAGUUGGAGCGGGUCGGGUCACGGGUCGGCCAUGGGUUAAGAGCCAAAACGACGUCGUUUUGGCAUUAGUGGCUUAAACUCAAAACAACGUCGUUUUGAUGGGGCUAUAUAAGUCAAAAUUCCUAAAAAAAACUCAUUUUUCCUAUUUCAUAAAAAAAAAACUAACCCCUUUUCUCUCAAACUCUCUCAAGGCCUUCUCCCUCCGAUCAAACUCCGGCUCCGUCCGCCACCAUUCGCUGCCGCCGGCCACCGCGCACGGUGGCCGAAAAUUUCAAAAAGUUUUUUUUUAUAUUUAUAUUUCUUAUAUAUAUACCUGAUAUAUUUUAAUACAUGAAUGAGAAGAGAUGGAUUCGAAUAAUAAAAUAAAAAAGAAAAAAAAAACCUUAAGCCGGUUUGCACUUUUUUUUAUGACUUUGUUAUUAUCUUUUUUUUGUAUUGCUUGCUUUUUUUUUUUUGAGAAAAAUCUUUAGAGAGAUUACACUUUUUUUUUCAAUCUCUUUUUUUUUAUAAACCCCUCCUUUUUACAAUAUUCUUGUUUUUGUACCAAAAAAAAUCCGAGAUUUCAGGCUUUGUAGCCGAAAUACCAUGAAUUUGCUAUCUAUUUCCUUGUUUUCUUCUGCCCCUUUUUUUGUUUUUUCUUCUUUUGACUUCUGCAGUUGUAAGUGAAGCAAGUGGAGGUGGCUAAGUUUUUUUUUUUACUAAAAAUUAGUUAAGAUUGUGGGCUAAUUAGGCUUUUAGGGUUUUAAUAUUUGGGCUGUAAUUAGGUAUUGUAUUUAUUUAUUUGAUUUAUUGGGCCCCGGGCAAAAUUUGGGCCUUACAAUAAUACUAUAUACAAAUUAUAUAUAUACAUACAUAAUAAAAUAUAUGUACUAAUAUUAAUAAUAAACAUAAUAGGAAUAAAAAUAAAUGAAAUAAUACAUACAUAAUAUUAGUAUUUAAAUACGUAUAAUAUAAUAUUUAAGGAAAAACCGUAUAUAAUAUAUGCGUACUUAAUAUAGCAUUUAAAAUAUAUAUAUGAUAAUAUAAGAAUAUAACUAACAAUAUUCAAGAAUACACGCAUAAUAUAAUAUGAAUACAUAUGUACGUAUUAUAGAAUUUAAAAAUACUUAAUAUAUCUAAAGAAUAUAUACAUAAUCUAGAGUUAAGAAUAAUAAUAAUAAUAAUAAUAAUAGAUAAAAAGAAAACUAUCAAUAAUACUAUAUAAUAUAUGUAUGUAUGUAAGUAUUAAGUGAAAAUAAUACUAAUGCUAAUAAAUAAUAAACAUAAUAAUGAUAGUAAUAAAAUAUAAUAGCAUAUAGUAUUAAAAUUAAAAUAAAAUAAUGAGAAAAAGUAAAAAAGGAUAAAAUUGAAUUAAGAAUGAAGUUUUUGAGACGAAUUCGAAAUAAAAAGGAAAGGGAUGACCACAGUGAAACACGCCAGGAAAGUAGAGGGAUCCCAUGCGCAAAUAGACCAUUCGGUCAAAAUGCGCAGAUCCUCCACUGGCGCGGGUCGGGUCACGCGGGUCAGAGGUCCAAAACGACGUCGUUUUGGCCUCUGAACCCUAAUCAUUCAAACGGUGCCGUUUUGCCUCUAUUACCUAAACCAAAACCCUUUUUUUUCACUUUCAGCCCCUGUUUUAGAAAAAUCAGAGAGCCACUCUGCUUUCCUUCCCUUUUCAUUCCUCUCCUUAGUCUUCCCCAUGGCCGACCCUUGGCUUUCCACCGCCCCUCGUACCCCCUCUGUAUCCGGUGACUGACGAAGCGCAAAGAUGGGGUUUGUCGAUCACUUUUUGAGUGGGUCCAAAGGUGGUAGACUCUAAAUCCGCGAAAUCGAAAGGAGAAAGGCCCCUUUUUACCUCGUUUUGGUACGAUUCCGGCCACGGGGAAGAAGCCUCCGACGAUGAGAUCGUGGAACGAUGACGCGGUCGCAAGGUAACUCCGGUAAACCCUCUCAUUUUUUCUUUUUAUUUUCGUAUUUAUAAAAGAAUAAACAAAAAAUAAACUAAAGAUAAUAAAAGAUAAAAAUGAGUAACACGAAAAUCACCUUAAAGCUUAUAUCUUUUUGUUUUUCUAUCCCUUCUCUUCCUCUUUUUUUCUUUUUGUUACAUUUUCUGUUUUUUGGCCCUAUAUAUCCGAAUACAUGCCAUUAUCUUUUCUUAUUUCUGUCAUCUGUCUCUGCGUGUCGUGGUCUCCCUUUUUAUUUGAUUUGUUUGCAGGUUACAAAUCAGUGGCGGUGACAGAGGGUAGGUGCAGAGAGCAGUUGGCCGACAGUCAGGGGCAAGUGGGGCGUCGGCUGAACCUAGGGGCUAGGGUUUCUUGAUUUUUUUGGUUAUUGGGCUAGGUUAAGUUUAGGUUUUGGGCUAGGGGAUUUAAUUAGAAUUGGGCUUGAUUAUUGGGUUCCAGGUAUGGGUUUGAAAAUGGGUUAAGUGGGCUAAGUGAGUAGGGCAAAUUUGGGUUUCAACAAUACUGAUUUAGCAAAAACCUCACAACCUCCAAUGUAAACAAUCACUCUAAUCAACUCUUUUUUUUUUUGUAUUUUAUCAAUAACUUGUUUAAAAGUUUUUACGAAUGAAUCAAGGGAGGAGACAAGGAGAAGGUUGCGGUAAUGUUAAGGAAAGUCGGUUCACUUUAGCUGAGCAGAGAGUCGGAGGAAGUAGGUGAGUAAGGAGGCUGAGUAUGUAAAGUACAAGGCUAAGGAUAAUAAAGUGGCUAUUGCUUAAGGUUCGACAUUUUUGUUAUUGAGUCUGGGGAUAUAUAUAUAUAUAAUAGAGGUUUCAUGCUUGAAGAUUCUAUCAUCAUUGUGAACUGCACGGAGGGAUGUAUGUGAUGGGGCUCAUUCUAGCAUUCAUUCUAAAUGAUAGUGCAAGGUUGUAAGAUUCAAGUAAGGUUUGGUGGCCUAAAAGUCACACUCUCAACAGAAGAGCAGGUGCCCUGAGGAAUGGAUGGAUGAGACCCUUCUAAAAGGAGCGAGAAGCUUGUUCGUAGGGAUGGUCGGCAAAGACCCUUUCGAGGAUAACAGAAGGCUGGCUAGGAUCAAGCCUUCCGAGCCACUAGUCCUCUGGUGGUUUGUUGUGCUACCACAUUUUCCAAGCCGUAGGGGGUAUAACAGAAAGCUAUUAAUUUUUUCUUACUAAUAAUAAGUAGCAAACCCAAAUAGCAAUCCAAAUCAUUUUCCUCUUUAACGUCCCAAAAUUACUUUGGUGUUGAAAAGAGAAACACACAUGUAUUUAUAUUUAUCAUCUUUCAAUUAAGUUAAAAUAUGCUUCAAGUCUCUGUACUUUUCAUAAUUUAGAAUUUAGUCUUUCUUUUAUUUUCAAGAAUUUAAUCAUUUUAAUAUCAUAUUUAAAAUUGUAAGUCUAAUUGUUAACAUUGUUAAAAUUCUUCUGCUAAAUUUGUUAAAAUUAGGUCCAUUACAACGUCAAUAUUUUGUUUCAUGAUUAUCAAGUAAGUAUUUUUUUAGAAUUUCAAAAUGUCAAACCAGAAAAUUUAACAAAAAAAUAAUUGAUGAUGUUUAAAUUGCACUUAAUUUUUAAAUCCAAAAAAUUGAAUGAUUAAAUUUUUAAAAAUAAAAAUAGAAAAAUUAAUUUUUAAAUAUGAAAAAAGUAUAAAAAUUGUUAUAUCCCUAUUUCAAUUUGGACUUAGUUGUACCCUUCAUUUGACCACUCAAUGCCCACUAAGUGGCAUAAUUGGAUAUGAAUUCUCGCUUAGCUAUAAAGACCCCAAGGAUUAACAUUGUAGGAGACUCAUCUCUCCCAAAACCUUAAUUUAUUAAGCACUCAUUCUCUUUUACCUGAUUCCCUCUACUUUUUCGACUCUCAACCUUGUAAUGAAUAAAUUGGUCUUCUUCAAUAUUGCCCCUCCCCUUCUCCAUCUCUCUAUUAAUACGAUGUAUCAACAAGUAGUUAAAAGCAUUUUUUAACUUUCAACUCAUUCAAAUGUUGGAAAUCACAGUUGUUUUACAAUAUUUCGUUCUUUUUUUUUUAAUCACUAAGUAAUUCCUAAGGCCCCAUUUCGAAUUUUGGCUGCUCCCCACCAUGUCUUCAAGGUUUGGUUGGCACUGAUCGUUGAGUCUCAUAGUGGUUGACAUUUGACAUAAACCCCCCCUUCCCAUCGGAGAUUCCCUUUUUUAACAAAAUUCAAGAAAUACUAUUCAAAAGGUCAAUACAUUUUUAUUUAUUUAUUCUGAAUUAAAAAAUAUAUAUAAAUUCUGAAUUUAGUUUUUAUAUAAUGAAUGUAUAUUAAGCUAUUCAAGUAUAUACAUGAUCAAGUUUAACAUAUGUCUUCAUCUUACUGGCAAUGGAUUGUAUAUCAUUUAGCUUUUUUUGCAAUAUUUUCGUUGAAAAAUACAAAUUAUUUUCAUCUCCCUUUUUCUUUUUUGCCAAACAAAUAGCAUGAUAAUUGUUAAUAUCGAUUUUUCAUUUUAUUAUUUCCGUUCUUCUAAAUGAUUUCAAGCAGCAAAACAGGACCAAUAUGGAGAAGACCUUUCAUUUACCACCGAAUGAAGACCACACAUAUAUGCUGAAUUAACUUUUCUUUUUUGGUUGGAAUCUUUUGUUAAUUUGCCAUCGUCUUUUUUUCUGAAGAAUGGUGGUUGUCUUUUUUGAAAACCCUUUUUCAAAAAAAAAAAACAUAUGCGCGAAUUGUUUGAAGAAUUAAUCGUAAAUGGCAUAAGAUUACUUACAGAUUGAUAUAUUAAAACUUUCUUUUAUAUGAGCUUAAGUUAGUAAUCGAAUUUUUUUUAUUGGAGUUACAGUAACAUGAAAGAGGGCAUAAGAACUAGUGUUGAAGCAAUUUUUUAACAAAAGGAAAACAUAGAAAAACUACAUUAAAAGAGAUGGGGAAGAGAGAAAAAUAGAGAGAGAAGUAAAAGAGAAUGGAAAAUAAAGAGAAGUUAAAAGAACAUAUACGCUCAAAAUGAAAAAAAUAUAGGGUCUAACUGUAAAAUUUAACCUAAAUUUUUAUUUGAAAUGAUGAUUUAACGUGCCAAUCAACUUACUAUUACACCGUUAACAGUAAUUAACGGCUCAGUGACUAAAAUGUUACAGCACGUUAAUAUAAAUAACUAAAAAGCAAUAUUUCAAACAUAAGUGACUAAAAUGUAACCUGAGGUAAACAAAAAUGACUAUUUUAAUAGUUUACCUAAUAGUUUAUUGCUUGGGAACGUAAGUCAAACUUCUAUGAAUAUAAAAGCAAUCACUCAUAUCUGAAUCUCACCGUUCGUGGGUUUAUUUUUAUCAUGUGCAUAUGUAGUAUGAAUUUAUUCAGUUGUUUUUAGAUUAAUUUGGUUUUAUACUGAUGUUUAUCAUUUGUGCAUUGUAUUAGUUGGAUUAUACAUUAUAAUCAAUCGAGUAUAUAUUUGUAUUUGUUGAUCCAAGUUUUUGAAGUGGUUGUCUAUGUGCCAAGGGAAGUGUUCACUUCCUCUAUGAUCACUGCGCUAGGCACAUAACUUGUCUUAUUUGUUGGUAUGUUUCACCAAAAUAUUUUGAUGAUUUGCUUGCAUAUUUUUUAGGAUCUCGUACAAUGAAUCUCAUGUUUAUUAUUGAAGAAGAGAUUGAGUCAAGCAAGAAAAUUUUUCAAGUAUUAUUAUGUGGUCUACUUGAGAUAUGCAAUCCAUGAAUAUAUGAGAUGAUUUUAUGAUCUUUGUAUCCUUAUAAUAAGAUAAAUGAUUUGAUGAGAUUUGGACAGAUUAAGAUGGAUUAGACGUUAAUUUGUCAAAAUGAAUUCAUGCUCUAAAUAUGGAAAGCUUUUUCAACCUUGAUAGAGAUUUCAUUGUUAAGACAAAUGUUUUUUUAAGUGGCUGCCAAUUUGCUAAAGAAAGUGGCCACUUUCGCUAGCAUAUUUACAAGCAAUAUAAUUAGCCUAAUUUGGAGUUAGAAAUCUUUUUAACCAAAUUUGCUAGGUAAUAACUUAAAUGAUUUUGUAGACGUGUGUUGGCCUUUGAACAUCCAUCUUUUGGAGCAACAAACCUUUGAAGAUUUUAUCAUAUCAAAUCAAACAAUCGAAUCUCAUGAGGUAUGGGUCGAAUCAAUACUGAUUUGAAGACCUACCUUGAAGAUCUUUGAUUUAUUUUGAAUUCUAUAAGGAUAUUUGUAAAGCCUUUUUAUGAGAUUAUUUUAGUGGGAACUUGAUUGUAAUUUAUCUUUAUCCUAGCAAGCUUUAAACUAUUAUAUUUAGAGGCUUGCGUAAGUUAAAACUAAGGAAAUAGAGCACUUAUCAGUUCAUUGAGGAACAUUGUCUUGCAAGUCAUUUGAGGUUAUAAAACCUUUUGUUGUUGGUUUUACAAACUAAAUUAUCAGGGAGAAAUUUUAUGGUCUAACAUUUGAGAUACAAAAAUGAGGAUUCUUCACUAGGGUGUGUUAAAACUAAGAUCACUGGUUGUAUUUGUUUCAAAGAUAGCGGAUUCAUUUUAUAGAGCUAGGCUCCGUAGACGUAAGGAACCCAAAAUGCAUAAUCAAUCUGUUUUUCGCAAUGCCAAUAAAAGUGCCCAUUUAUGCUGCCACUUCUACUCAUAUUCUAUUUCUUGUGAUUACCAACUAUUUCAGGUCAACAAUAUUUAUAAUUGUAAUCAUAUAUAUAAUAUAAAUGAAUGUACAAGCGAAUAUAUGGAAACAUUGAGUUUUGGGUUAGUUCUUUGAGUUCUAAAAUGUUUCCUUUUUAGUUAUAUUAAUUAUUUUAAUAUUGCAUUUAAUUGUAUUAAACAAAUUUAUUGGGUUCAUUAGAAGAAAGAUCAUUUUUAAAAAAUAAUUAAGGAUUUAGGCCAUUUUUUUUCCAAAUUUAGGGAAAUAGAUCGAUUUUGGAGAAACAGAAAACGCUUUCUGCAGGACACGUUUUUUUUUUCUACAUUAUCUGUGUAGAAUUAUCCACUAUCCAUUCUUUAAAAAAUAUAGAAAUAAAAAAAUAAAUAAUUUAGCAAAUUUAUUGGUUUUUUUACCUCUUUUCUUGACAUAUUUUUCAUAAUAAGAAAAGAAAUUUUCAUAAUAUAAUUUAUUUUUGUAAUUUGGGCUUUGAAAAUAAUUUAAAUGAAUUGAAUAUUUGAAAUAAGUCUUAAAAAGAAAAUUUUUAUGGUGUAUUUUGUAUUUUUUGUUAAAAAAAUGGCAGUAAAGUUGAUUUCACAAGCCUUAAUAUCAGUUUUGGAUGUUCUACAGGCAUAAAACUUGACUUGAAGAUAUUAUCAAUUUCAUUUCGAGAAACAUUGAGAAAGCAUGCAAUGAUCUAACUUUUUGUUCUACUUUUUAAUUUGUUAUUGGAUUAUAUUGAAUGAUAAUUUUCUUUAUUUCUCGUACAUAUUAGUUCUUCAACAACAACAUUUUUUAGAUUUUAUUUUUCUAGAAUUUUAUAUAGAAUUUUCUAUUUUUAAAUAAUUUUUAUAUAGAAUCAAGGUCAUAUUGACAAAAAAUAUAAAAAUUGAGGACUAAAAUUGUUAUUAAAUUAACUAAAAAAAUGUCAUUUAUCAGCCGGGUUACUAAAAAAAUAAUUUCGAAAAAUUUAAUGGCCAAAUUAUUAUUAAGUUUAAUUAAGUUAUCAAAAUAAAAAUUUACCUAUAAUUUAGUGAUUAAUAAAGGAAAAUUGUCUUUUUAAAUCUAUAUUUUACUUUUAAAUGAUAAUUUAAAAUAAAGGAUUGAAAAACUUUCAAGUCAAUUUAAUAAUCCAAUCCUAAAUAAUUUUCAUAAUUAAAAAAAUAAACUAUAUUAAUAAUGGUUUGGUACAAUAAAAAUUUUAAAUAAGAAAUUAUUAUUUAAUAAAAUUUAGGGUAAACUAUAUAGUCAUUCAAUUAUCAAAAAAUUUUAUUAUAGGUAUCUAAAAUUAAAAGUUUACAAUUUAAGUACUUACAUUAUAUAGUUCAGUUAUUUUGAUCACUCCCGUUAAAAUCACAAAUAUAAUAACAAAUUUAACCUCAACUUUUACAUAUUAUAUCAAUUUAAUUAUAAUUUUACGUAUGAACCUCAUGAUCCAAAGCAAAGAAAGUUGGCACCCAAUUUAGGUGUUUCAGUUAUUUCGAAUAAAAGCAAAUUUUUUUUAAAGUGGGUGUAUAAGAAAGUAGGAUGGAUUUCUUUCUUGGAUAGUUUGAUAUGAAAAGGUUAUGGUAAUUACUUGUCCUGUCUCAUUCUUUUAUAUAAAAUUAUCAUUUUACCCUUAUUGUAUAACUAUUAAAAAGGUAACCACGUAAUAAUGUGUUGUAGAAAAAAACCAUAUGUAUUAUAUUUGAACUUUUUUUAGAAAAUUAUGUUUAAAUAUUUACUUGUCUUUAUUGAAACCAUUAAAAACAACUAACAAAAAAAUUUGAAACUGGGGUCUGUUUGUUUUACUCAAAAUGGCUUCUAGAAAAUAUGACUUACUUUUCUAAAAAAAUUAAUAUUUUUUGGUGUUUAGAUAAAUUUGUGUAAAAUAUUUGUUGUUGUUUGAUAGAUUUCUUAAAAAUAUUUUAUAAAAGUUAUUUUCAACUAAACAAAUAUACAUUUGAGAUUUUGUUAUCUUUCCAUUGUUUAAUUGAGUUUAUUUUAUAUCUAUAAAUUUAUAUUUUACACUGUUUUUACAUAUAUUAAAAAUAUUUUGUUAAAUUCAGGUUCGAUUACAACGUCAGUUUUUAGUUACAUGACAACCAAGUGAAUAUUUUUUAUUUAAAAAUGUGACAUCAACAAAUUUGACAAAAAAAAUUAACAAUGUCAACAAUUGAACUUAAUUUUCAAACCUGAAAAGUAGAGGGACUAAAUUUUUGAAAAUAAAAGUAUAGAAGCUAAAUUGCAAAUUUGUGAAGAGUACAUAAACUUAUGAUAUAUUAUAACCUUUAUACUACAAAAUAUUUAUUAUUAAUAUAUUUAUUAUUAAAAUAUUAAUAUUGAAUAUUUUCAAUAAUAUGUGAAGAAUAUUAUUUAAAAUUUAUUAUUAAAAUAAAAUUAAAAUAUUAAAUAAUUUAGUAAAAUAAUAAAUUAUAUUAAUAAUUUAUAAUAUGACUAAAUAUAAAUAAUUAAAUAUGUAUGUUUAAUAAGAUUGAAAAUAUAAUAUUUUAUAUCAAUAUCUAAAUAUUUUUAAAAAUAAAAAUAAAAUUUAUUAUCAAUAUAAUAACAUUAAACUUGAUUUAAAUUAAUUUUUACAUAAAAAUAAAAUUACUUAUAGAGAAGCCCUUUUCGAAAAAUGACUUAUGUUUUUCAGAAAAAUAAAUCAUUUUACAGAUGUAAAAUAAUUUAUUUUAUAUUGACUUGUAAAUCACUUUUUGUUAACUAAAUUAUUUUACGUUAAAUAUAAAAAAAAAUAUUUCUAUAUUUUCCGUAAAACUUGUAACAUGUAAAUAAAUGUACCCAAACAUUAAUUAUGAAUAUUAUAUAAUGAUAAUGGAACGAAACAAGUAGCGAAAUCAAGUGUUUCAAUGCUGAAGAGAUAAUGAAUAUAAUAAUAUCCUUCUAUGUCGGGAGUCAUCAUAAUAUUGGGCCUCUUUAGUCGUUAAUGGGCAUUGUCUGAGGAAAUGAAUUGUGCCUCUACACCAACGUCCUUGUCCAUUAAAAGGAAAAAUAGGCUUCGGCGACGAAGCCAGCAACAACCACCGAAAUCAAUAUAAUACAACUUAACUUCUUGUGCCUCUCAAUCUACUAUUAAUUCUUUUAUGUGAGUGUAGCAUCACAAAUUUUUAUUUUUAUUUUUUUUAUACGAUGCUUAGAACAUCAAAUAUUAAAAUUAAUUUAUCUAUAAAUCAGAAUAAUCCAAAGUUUACUAUGACACCAGCCCAAAUGUAUAAGAGAUGAGAUAAAGCCAAACAAACUCUAAACUCACCUUUCAUCAUAUUUUUUUCCAUACUAUUUUACUCUAUGCUAAAUAUUUAUGGUAAGUAUUAAACCUCGAAUAAAAUGGUAUGAAAAAUGUGUCCAUAUGCAUAGUGGGGUGAAGAAUUCCAAAGUAUUUUUGCACCAACCCACUACGGCUAAAGGCUGAAAUAGUGACAUCUCUUCAAGAUUUGAUGGGAAGAAAAUGAUAGGCUUCCCCUUGAGUCUUUAGUCUUUAGUCUUUAUUGACUUGUUUCUUUUAGCCCACUAUUCAAUUGCUUUCUCAUUCAUACUAUAGUUGAAGUUGACGAGUCCAACUCUUCCAAUUACAAUUGAAGUAUUUGAUUUUAAAUAUGCAUACACAUAUGUAUUGAUACCAAAAAUUGGUGAAUGUAAUAGCAAGGUGUAUUGUAUUUUUAAAAAAAUUUUAUAUCCAUUGAUUACUUUAAUAUUUUUUUGUAUACGUUUUAAUAAUUUUUAUAUGUAAAGUAAAAUGAAAGUAAAUAUUGACUCACGGAUUAUUUAGUAUUUAACUAAUAUUAAACAAUAUUACGUGGUAAAAUCGUAAUAUAGAAAGAUAACUUAUAUUAAUAGAUAAUUUAAACAUGUUAUUUAUCAAGUCUAACUGAGGAGAUAUUUCGUCUUGAGCAUCAGAGUGGAUAACUCCCAAAUGAUUGAGAUAUAAAUGUGACAGAUUGGACUGACAGUACAUCGAACACUAUCCAAAUAGAAUAGAUCCUAGAUCUAUUUAUAUAUUUAUUUACUUGUGAUGUUCAUAGUGUAGCAUAUCUUAAUCUUGGGUGUAUGAUAGACUACGUAUGCAUGACUCGUAUACUUUAAUGUAAGUAAAAGUUUAAGUUCAAAUAGAUAAAGAACUGAAAAUUGGUGCGUUGAGUAUAUACAUGAUAGACGAAAAGUAAACGCGAUUACUAGUCAUUUGUCUUUGUGAUAAAUAAUUUUAUUACUAUUUGAUAAUAAUUGACUUUUCACGAAAGAAGAUAUAAUAAUUAUCAUGAGAUAAAUAUGAUCAUAUUUGGAGAACGACUUUGUCCCAAAGAUAUUAAUGAUAUCCUAUGAGGGUAACACACUUAUGACAAAGUCAUUGGACGAGCACUCAAUAAGUAGCUUUCAUGAUGGUAUAUAAUUAAGGAAAGCUCAAUCACGAUACUAUAGUGAAACGACUUCGUGAAUAAAUAAGUUUAUAAUUAAUAGGCAAAAGUUGGAACUUAAUUAUAAAUUAUUUGAGCUCUAAUUAUAUAUGUCAAAUUGGUAUCUCCACUAGUUCGUUGAAACCAGAAAUAAAUUGUAUGUAAAAUCAAAUGGAUAGAAAUGAAUAGGAACAAUGAUGUAAGAGAAAUGGGUCGCAUUCACAAAUGAAUGUGUUUUCUCACUAAGUACAUAAAUGACUUGAAAAUUAAUUUAAGGUUUUUUGAAUUAUUAUUUAAUUAACUAUAUUUUAAUAAUUAAAGUUCAAAAGUGAAAUUAAAUUAAUGGUCAUUAUGAAUCUAUUGAAUAAAAAAUUAAAUAUAUUUUCUCAUAAAUUCUUUUACAGUAAAGUUGUUAUGAUUUUAAUUGAAUUAGAAUUGAGUUGAAAAAAUUUAUUUAAUUGAGAAAUUAAUUUAGUUAAUUUAAUCAAUUAAAUUAAUUAAUUAAUUAAUAUUUAUUUUAGGAAGUAAAAAAUAAGUAUUGAAUUGGAUUAAAUUAUAAAGUGUUGAGUCAAAUAUUUAAAAAGUACACAUAAUUGGAGCCCAAAAUUCUCUUCAUACUACAUGAGGGGCAACAACCCUAGUAAUAUUUAUUAGAAUAGUAGUGUUGGCUUUUUUUUAUAUAACAAAAUGAUUCGUUUUUUUUUAAUUAUAAAAAUGACUCACCUUUUCAAUUAAGUAUGUAAAUGACCUGAGAUGAAUAGUAAACAUGGAUGGUGUCAAUAAAAUUAACGUCACCACCCUGCCACGUCAGACAAUGAUUGGUUGGUCAAAUAAAAAAAACUUCGGGUGGUGUCAAUGUAUUUUUCAUCACCGAUAUAAAUACUCGUAUUUCAUAGAAGGCAAAAAAAAAUUUGGGUGGUGCAAAAUAGAUUGGCAUCACCCAUGUCUAUUUUUUUGUGGUGCCAAUGUAUUUGUCAUCACCGAUCCUCAACCUUUGCUUCUUUGUUUUCCUCCAUUUUUACUGACUUAUAUCUCCUUCUCUAUAGUUAGCCUUGAUUUGAAAAAGUUAAUGAAAAAUGAAUAGAAAAGAGGAAGAGAAUAAGGCAAGGCAAAUGAAAGAAUGAGAGGGAAAGUUUUCCAGAAAAGUUGUAGGGAGAGAGAGAUAGAGAGGGAGAGUUUUCCAAAAACAAAACCUCUUUUUUUUUAAUGAUAGAGAGAAAGAUCUGAAAGGAAAAUGAAAAAUGAGAGAGGGAGAGGGAGAGGGAGAGGGAGAGGGAGAAUUUUCCAGAAAAAUGAAAGAAAAUGUUUUAUUUCCCCAAACACUUUUUUUUGAAAAGAUAUUUUUUUGUAUUCCUAGGGAAAUUAAGGGUCCGAUUGGUAACCUGUAAAAGCUUUUCUGUAAAAGAUUUUCAGGCUUUUCUGAUGUUUGCUUGCUUGAAAAUGAUUUUCCAGGGUAAAAUGUUUUACAAAACACGAGAAAAGUAGGGCUUUUUUAAGGAAAAUGUCUUACUCUUUUGAAAUCAGUAAGACAUUUUCCGGAAAUUGACACUUCUUCUCCCCUUUCCCCUUCCUCUUCCCCUUCCCCUUCCCCUUCCCCUUCCCCUUUUGAAAUCGGUAAGCCAUUUUCAAUGUUGAAGAAGCCAUUUUCAAUGUUGGCUUAUCUUAGGCCACGACUAAGACGAUGACUUGAAACCCGGGUAGAAAUAAGACCAAUCGAAAACCUUGGAAGCAACAAAUCACAAGGGCGUAAGCUGUUGAAUAAGCUGUGGGUCUUGAGGCAGAUGUGGCAUCUUCUGAACCACCGGGGAAUCAGCUGUGGGUCUUGAGGCAGAUGGGGCAUAUUUUAAUACUUCCCACCAUGGUGGGCGUUGCAGAAAUAGUGGACUUCUGUGAUUUUCUAUCCCCUACUCCCGAAGAGCAAGCAGCACGUGAUGCAGCUGUGCAUUCUGUUUUUGAUGUUAUCAAGUACAUAUGGCCUGCCUGCAAGGUAUGAUUGGCGGCCUCUCUUUCUCUCAUGCACAAAAGCACACACAUAUAAAGAUGCAUACAUAGUGUACAAUGCCAAAUGGUAAUGAGUUGUUGCUUUGCAGCCAGAAGUUUUUAAGUUGUUCAUGAUAGGGCUUAAUUUACCAACAAGUGAUAUUGAUGUGAGUAGUUUGCUUCAUUUUAUCCCAUAAGUUUAUGUCUCGCAACUCAAACUAUAUCAAUGUUUAAUCUUGUUAUAUUGUAGCUUGCAUCACAUGGUUGAUGGGUUUUUCAUUAGGAUUAUGAAAUUUAGUAUAUAGAUUUUCUAAUAUGGAAAGGAAAGAAAAACAAUAGGCAGAGGAAAGCUGACCCAAAUUUUUGUAUUUCUCCCCUAUUCUGUAUGACUGACAUUCUUAAGCCAUUUGUUUCCAUUUUAUGUAGGUAAUGAUUCUAGAGUCAGGUAUAAAAAAUCCACAGACUGGUUUGUAUGCUCUUUUCAGGGUAUUAUCUCAAAGGGGAAUUGCAAAAAAGAUACAGGUAUUUUGUUUUUUUGGAAAUUUUACUGAUACAAUAGAGUAUAUUUAGCUAACAAUUCAAUUCCUAUCAAGUGAUUGCAAAAGCUAGCGUGCCAAUAAUUAAGUUUGUAGAAAAUAAAAGCGGUGCCGCGUUUGAUAUAAGGUAGUUCUAUAUUCCUCUUGCCCUCUUGUUCUAGUAUGUUUUAAUCCAAUAUCUCAUCUAAAAUUCUCUUCACCUCUGAACAUUUCUGAAUUUGUUUUAGUUCUGGUAUGAAUAUCAUCAUAAAAGACACUGGAUUAAUAUGAAAUUUUAGCAGUGAGGUUUUUUGGAAGAUAUUAUGGUAGGACUUUUGAAUUGUCUUUAUUGUUUCCUUUGAGGUCCAUGAUAAUUGGGAGGUCCAAGUAAUUGGGAAUUCCAUAAAAAAAUUUAGUAUUUGGAUAUUAGUAGCGAAUGAGGCUAAAUAGUUUACCAAACAUAGAAAUUUUCUUUACUUUUUAUUUCAGGAAGAUGAGAUUGUCGAGAAUUCAUGAACAAGAAAUCUUGGUCAUUUUUUCUCUAAUCACAUAAACAAUUCACUUGAUUGAGAUUCCUAUUUUCUUGAAUUUUCUUGAUUGACAAGAUCUGAUGGGGUGCUUGGAAUUUGACGAGGGUGGAGGCAUGUUUAGGUUCCUAAACUGACUUAUAGCAGAUGUGAUAAGUGCACCAAAGAAAGUUGUUUAUCUCCAUCUUGGCUUGAUGUGGCAAUUUAAAAGCCAUGUUUCAUAUUUUCUAUAGCACUUCUAUCUCACUGCUUAAUAUUUAAUUGGGUGUUCAAUAUUGCAGCUUUGAUGUGGAUAAUGGACCAAAAGCUACUGAGUUUAUCAAGGUUUGUUACAAUUACAGACUUUCCUAUGCUCAGAUGUUUCAUUUGUUAGUGGUGCUUAAGAUAUAGUUAUUUUAAUCCCCUUUUUUGUCAGAUGAAGUCAAUUAAGUUGGACCAUAGCCUCUUUCUUAUUAGGAUUUCUUUUGAGUCAAAUUUCAUUUUUGGCUACAAUUAUUCUUGAAGAUUGUGCUCCUGUGUUGAGUUUGAUUGGUUGCUUGCUUUAUCUUCACCAAUGGGAACCACUGCUUAAUUUUCAUUUAUUUCCUAUGUCUACUUCUGGAUUUGUUGAUUAAAAUUGAUGUAAAUCAUUUUGGUUCAAUUAACUCAUGUUCCUUAAAAUUAGGACUUAUGUGGUUUUCCUGUGGUUAAUUAAAGCUCUGCUUCUUUAGUUUAUUUAUUUGUAUGUUCCAUAAACUUUGGACUUUUUUCUAGAUAUUUUCUUUGUUUUUUUCUAAAUUUAAACUUUGCUUAUGUGUUUUCUCAUAGGAAGCAGUACUAAAAUGGCCUCAAUUAUGACCAUUGUGUUUGAUCUUGAAAGUAUUUUUACAACAGAGAGACCUGAAUGAGGUUUGAGUUUAUCUAUAUUGAUGAUCUGUUCGUUUUGUUUAAAAAGUAGUGUUCCUCUGUUCUUGAUUUGCAAUAUUUUUGAAACUAUGUAGGUAUAUUCAAGUGGAAUAGGUUCAUAUGCUCUCCUUGCAAUGAUCGUAGCCAUGUUGCAGGUAUGCAUUUUUGGAUUUUCGAUAAGGCAUUGGACUCUAGUUGGCUGAUCUAUCAGCAUAGUCUGUAUUCACUUUCAUGUCGAGAAUUAUAAUUUUUUUUCUACAAUUACAUUGAUUAUGCUAUAAUUCACUUAUGAGUCCACAUAAAUGUUAAAUGAACACAUACAUGCCAUGCUAUUUGCUCUCUCUGAAUGCAAUCAAAUCUUGUGUUUAUGAUAAACAACUUGUGGUUCUCUAACGACCCCACGCCCGAGACCGUCGCCGGAGUCGAGUAUGAGGUGUUACUAAGCUUAAUUUAACAUAUUUAGAACUUUGGAUUAUUUAUAUCUACAUUCACAGCUUUUAAGCUACUUGCAUCACAGUCACAAGAAAAAUCAUAUCUCGAGUUACGAAACUCGAAAUCAAGAUCCGUAAAUUUUCCCUAAAUCUAGACUCAUAUACCUAUCUAUUAAUUUUUUUCUAGAAUUUUUGGUUGGGCCAAUUAGUACAGUUUAUUAGUUAAAGUUACCCCUGUUUCAGGACUUGACUGGUCUGACCUCUGUUUACUUCGAACCACAUUUCUCUCUGUACAAAAUUCAUAUGACUAUGAGGUUUAUUUUUCCUGAAACUAGACUCAAUAAGGAUUCUGAGAAUAUAAAAUACACCACAUAAUUAUAUAUUUACAAUUUAUGGUGAAUUUCUAAAUUUGGAACAGGGGAUUCAGAAACUGCUAUGAUCCUGUUUCACUAAAAUUCAAAUAUCUUCUAACAUAUAGUUCCUUUACCUAUUUCAUUUGUUUCAUGUGAAACUAGACAUAAUAAGCUUCAAUUUGAUAUAUAGUCCAUCACCAAGUUCAAUUUCUAUAAUUUUUAGUAAAUUUUUAAAUUCGCGUCAGUGUUGCUGCAGUAUUCUGUUUAUGGCAAAUUUCAUCUCUUUUAUGAGUUUUUAUGCAUUAAGUAUCUUAAUAAUUUUCCUUAACAUCAAAUAUAAUCUAAACUAACCAUUUUAAUAAUUUAUCAUUAUCAAGCAUUUCUUCAACCAUUCCAUCACCAUACCAUAAGAUCAUUUACACAAAAAAGGUAUAUUGCUAUACAUGCCAUACUUAAAUUUACAAGCUAUUACCAAAAAUCUUCCGGAUAGUUUGACUGAGCCUUCGACCUAUCCCAACUCCUGAGCUGGCUUGUCCAAAACUACAAUGAGUAAGAAGGAGGGAGUAAGUAUAAAUGCUUAGUAAGUUCAUAUGCAAGCAAUAAGUAACAUAACAAACAGUCAUACCAAUCAACAUUAGCAUGCAUCACUAAAACACAUAUCACAUUUUUAAUCAUUUUUCAUCAUCUUAUUACCUUAUCGUGGUUGUAUCAAUACUCAACCCGAGGGUUAAAUACAUACCUGUCCAAAAUAUCCGUUUCACAUCACUUACCAAUAUGUCUCUUUACAUCUCGAAUAUUCCUCCAUUUGAGUAGAACUUUACCCGUUGAACACAUCGGAAUAUAAUUCGGAUACAUGGAUAAUUUGCAUAUAAGUGCCACAUAUUGAAUCAAGCAAUCAUGUAACCCGCCCAUAAGCGAACUCGGACUCAACUCAACGAGUUCGGACAUUCGCAUCCAUAAGUGAACUCGGACUCAACUCAACGAGUUCAGAUGCUCAACCAUCCUAGUGACAUGUCACUUGUAUCCUAAUCUAUUCCUAAGGUUCGAACGGGAUUUUCCUCGAACACUUAUCCUUGCCGUCUUCCGUAGAAUACCGAAAUCAAUACUCGGUAACAAUUAUAUUUAACAAGUAGCUCACAUAAUUUACAUAUUAUUUGAAAUUAACCACAAAGCAUACAUUUCAUAAUGAAAUUCAGCAAAACACAUAAUUAAUAUCAAUAACUUAAAAAUAACCAUUAUGCUACAUUAUUUACACAUGAAUUUACCUUGGUACCAAAAUACAAAGAUUUUGCAAUUUAGUCCACAAUCUUUUCUUUUCCUCGAUUGAGAUCGAUUCCACGUGUUUCUUGAUCUAAAAUAACACAUUUAGCUUAUUUAAUAUUCACAUUAUCAAAUUAAUCCUUAACUCAAAUUUUGGCAAAAUUACAAUUUUACCCCUAAACUUUUGCAUAUUUACAUUUUUGCCCCUAGGCUCGGGAUUAAACUUUAUUCCUUAUUCUUAUGUUUUACAACAUGCUGAUCACUUUUUUCUUCUAUGGCAACAUCAAAUUCUCACUCUAACAUGUACUUGUGACUAUUAGGUAUUUUUACCGAUUAAGCCCUUUUACUCGUUUUUGCUUAAAAUCGAGUAGUACAAGUUGUCUAACAUAAUUUAAAACUUCAUAUUCUAUCACAAAACAUCAAAAUACACAAAUUUCACCUAUGGAUAUUUUUCUAAAUAUAAACCCUAGGUUAAAUUAUUGCUAACAUAAGCUUUAUCGAGUUACCGGGAUCUCAAAAACGUAAAGAACAUUAAAAACGGGGCUUGGAAUCACUUACUAUGGAGCUUGGAAGCUUGAAACAAACCCUAGCUAUGGAGAACCCUUGAAAUUUCGGCCUAAUGAAGAAGAUGGACAAAAAUUGGCUUUUAAUUUUGUUUUUAAUUCAUUUUAAUAACUAAAUGACCAAAAUACCCUUACUACUAAACUUUCCAAAAAUUCCUUCCAUGUCCUAAAUUUGUCUAUGAGCUUAAAAUUCGUCAAAUUGCUAUCUAAGACCUCCUCAUUAAUAUUCCAAAACAAUUUCAUACUAAAAACUUCUAGAAUGCAAAUUUUGUAACUUAUUCGAUUUAGUCCCUACUUUCAAUUUAAGCACUUUAAGCAUAGAAUUUCAUCACGAAAUUUUCACAAAAUCAUGCAAUCAUAUCAUAUUCAUCAAAAUAAUUAUAAAAUAAUUAUUUUUAUAUCGGAUUUGUGGUCACGAAACCACUAUUUCGAUUAAGCCCUAAUUCGGGAUAUUACAGGUUCUUACUGCAGAAAGUUUAGAGCGGUGGUUGAUGCAGCUUUGGAGGCCCAUCUGCACUGUCCGCAGCUAUAUCUUUAUAGCAUAGAUGAUAAGGUCGUUCCGUAUAACACUGUCCCCCUUCCUCUGUUGUCAAAACCCCAACAGAUGUGAUUUGUAGCUCUUCCCUUUAGCAUUGAUGACCAGCUCAAGGCUCGACAUUGCACGUUCUACAUGGUAGCCAUAGGCUAUUUCAGUUACUAGCCACCAGCUAGUUUUAGUUUUAAAGUUAUUUGGUGCUAGCAAUGCUUGCAUUGAGUUACUGAUGACAAACAUUUGAAAUAACAUGCAUUAAGACGCAAAGACAUUGAGAAAAAGGGUAUUGUAAAUAUUUCAUUAAAGAGAUUUGAAAGAAGAAUGGAUAGUUCUGUACUUAUGUCAAACUUAUUUAUACAUGCUUUUUUUCUCUUCAUGUAUUUGGCAUUAUGGAUCUAUUUGUCAGAAUUCAUAAAUUAAAGCUAGUCCAAGAUUGUGAAUUUAUGGUUUAUGGAAUUUUCAAAGCUCUAUCUUACAGGACACGCGUCAAAGUACAGUAAUAGCUUUUGGUGCUUUGAUAGCAAAGGUUUAAAUAUUUCACAUUUUGCAUUGUUCUUCUCCUUUUUAUUUUAUAAUGUAUAUUCUAGCUUAAUAAUUGAAUAUUAUUAUAUAUUUAAUUUGAUUUAUUUAUCAUCGUAAUUUAUGUAAAAACAAUUUAAAAUAUAAAUUUAUUAAUAUAUGUAAAAUAGCUUUUUCGGAAAAUAUUUCCAGGUAAUCUGCCAAACAACAGAAAAUAUUCUACACAGAUUUAUCUAAACACCAGAAAAGUAAAUCAUUUUCCAGAAAUUAUUUUCGGAAAAUAUUUUACUGGCAAACAAACGGAGCCUAAAUGUUUUCUUUCAUUUUUUUUGGAAAAUUCUCCCUCUCCCUCUCCCUCUCCCUCUCCAUUUCUCAUUUUUCGUUUUCCUUUCAAACAUUUCCCUCUUUCAUUCAAAAAAAGUUUUCUUUGUUUUUUCAGGAAAGCUCUCCCUCUCCCUCUCCCUUUCCCUACAACUUUUCUGAAAAACUUUCAUUCUUCUCUCAUUUGCCUUGCCUUCUUCUCUUCCUCUCUUCUUUUUAUUUUUCAUUAGCUUUUCUAAAUCAAGGCUAAUGAAAGAGAAGGAAAUAUAAUGCAGUAAAAAUAGAGGAAGACAGAGAAGCAAAUGCUGAGGACCAGUGACGCCAAUCUAAUUGGCAGCACCAAAAAACUGACAUGGGUGACGCCAAUUUAUUUGGCACCACCUAAUUUUUUUUUACCUUCUAUGAAAUACGGGUAUUUAUACGGGUGACACCAAAUACAUUGACACCACCAAAAAAUUUUGGUUUUUUAUUCUAUUGGUCAAUCAUUGGUUGACGUUGCAAUGUGAUACGCCAAUGAGAUUGGCACCACCCAUAUUCACUGUUCAUUUCAGGUCAUUUAUGUGCUUAGUUGAAAAAGUAGGUCAUUUUUGUAAAUAAUAAAAAAUUUGGGUUAUUUUGAUAAAAAAACCUAGCAAUAUGUUUUCUAUUAAAUAAAUAUUAUUUAUCAAUGCCUUAUUUAAAUAAAACUCGAGUACAUCCCUCUAUAAAUAGAGAGCAUCAGUUGACCUAAACACACUUCUUUGAUUAUUAAGCUAUUAAGUUGUGGGAAUUUAUUAACUAAUAAUCAAUUCUAUUUUCUGGGAAGUACGACCUUUACCGGUUUUUAUAGAGAAAGAUUACUUUCCUACUAAAAGUAAUUAAAUUGUUUCUUUUCUUUGAUUUGAUUCAUGUUACUCAAGCUCACACUUAGCGCAAUUCGUGGUAUAAGGAAAACAGAGAAGGCCAUUUGACUGAAAGCCAGGAUUGACUCAAACCAUUCUCUCACAAAACAUAGGUAAUAUUCGAUUAGGCUUAUUAAUAUAAAUAUCACAAAACGACUUGAUUUUGAAAAAUUUUAAACUUUCUUUAUAAUUAUUAAAACUAUUUUCUUAACUCAUUUUUCAAAAAACCAGAUAGUAGAGUUUUCCUAUAAAAUAGAAAUCACAUAAAAAGACUUUUCAAAGUUAAAAUUUAAGGAAAAAUUUUGCAAGCUAUGAAGAGUGUUCAAGUUAAAAACAUGAAAUUAUUUUAUUCAUUUGGUCGAACAGGUUUUUGUAUAAUAUUAUCUUAUUUAUUUUUUAUAGCGUGUAACUAAUAUCCAAAAAAUAAAACAUAUUUUCAGAAAAAAAAUAAAAAAAUUAUAAAAAUUAUAAUUAUUACGAGAUUUUGAACAAAAUUAUUAGGAAAUUUCAAAAUUGAACAUGGAGAAAACAUUGUUUGGGAAAAUUUUGCCCCACUUUUCGAAAUACAGUUGAGUUUAAUUUUAGUUUUUUUUUAUGAUUUUUUUAUUUCUCAAGUUAUCUAUUGAAGCGAGUUUCAUAAUUAAUUUGUUGUAUUCUAUAAGCUUAUUAAGAGGAUAGAUAUUAGCCACGAAUUUUAAAGUUACUCUAUAUCGAAACGAAGAUCGAACUCUCGAUCACUUAUAGAGAAUUUUUUUAUGAAAUUCUUUAAAAUGGAAUAUUAAUGUCAUUCUAUUUUUUAUAGUGGGGUAGUAAUGUCAUUCAAUAUCUUACUUUAGGAUGGAUUAUUAUAAAACAUGAAAUACCUUUAAAUUUCCAAAGGUCAAAAAGCUAAAAGAAAGAAAAGGGAAAAAAUCGGCAUUUUGUUACCGACGGGUGCAGAAGAUGGCGCCUUAGAUACGCCACGUCAGCCCUGAUUUAUUCUCGCGCGCUGUUUUGGUGUGUGGAAGUUAGGUAUAUGGAUAACGAGGGUGACACGUUCGAAGUCGCUUACACGUGUUUGCCAAAGACUACUUUCCCUGUCGGCACGUGCCGUGGUGCUGACGUUGGGCCACCUCUUGUUGUUGUGUAGUUUUGACUUCUUCGGCUAAGAACUGAGAAAGUGUGGAACUGAAACUGAAACGUUGGAAGGUGAGUAAUGCGUAGGUUUACAUUUUUGCCCUUGAUUCUUUUUAAAAGAAUUGCAAUCAAGUCCUUAAUUAAAUGCAAAUUUGUGUUUUUCUAGAUAGAAAAUUAGUCAAAAAGUAAAAUAGGAAAACGGAAUAUGCUUUUGUUCAGAAAGAAAUGCUAUUUCUACUUUACAUUGUUUUUUUUCAUUUAGAAUCCAAUCUUUAUACUUAUAUUUUUAAAAAUUUAUUCUUUUUAUUUUUUUAAUUUAAAAAUUCAAUUUUAAUAAUUAAUAUCAUUAAAUUUAUCUGUUAAAUUCAUUAAAGUGACAUUUAAAAAAAAAUUUAAAUGCCCACAUGAAGACUUGUCCAUGGGCUGGGCCAAAGGUCUGUCCGAAAAGUUAGAGGUUUUGGGAAAAAAUAUAGGCCCAUAAAAUAGGCUUGGACAAAAAAAAAAGACUUGUUUAGAAAACGGACUAGGCUUAAAGUAAGACUUUUUGGCCUGAGCCCGGCCAGACCCAAAUAUACAAAAAAAAAUUUGCUACUUUUUUUUAUUGUUCUUGCUGUUUUCUUUCUUCUUACUUUUUUUCACUAUUUUGUUGUUGUUGUUUUUUUAACUAUUUUGCUACCAUUUCAUUACUAUAUUGCUAUUAUUUUAUUGUUAUUAUUUGGAUAUUGUAUAACUUUUGUUUUAUUGUUAAUUUUGUUACUAUUUUAGAGGCAUUUGCUUAUUAAGUUGCAUCUAUCUUAGUGUUAUUUAAGUGUACAUAACAUUUUUUAAUUUAUUUUCAAUUUGUUGGGAAACAUUUAUAUUAAUGUUAUUAGCAUUUUUGAUGUAUUAUAUUUUUUAAAAAAAUUAUAUAAAAAAUUAAUACGGACGGGCUGAGUUCGGGUUUCAACAUUUUUAUUCGGGUCGAGCUUUUGCAAUAUUUUAGACCCAUUUUUUAGGCGGGGCCCGAGCCUAACAAACAAACCUAAAAUUUUGGUUAGACCCAAACCCAACCUAACCCAUGAACACCUCUACUCACGUGGUAACCAUGUAACAAAAAAAUAUUACAAUGGACGUGAUUUAAUAGAUAAUUUUAAUGGUAUUAACAACUGUUAAAAGUUACAUUAUCAUUUUAAUCAAAAAAAAGCAUUUGGGUUAAUCAAUGAGAUUGCAAAAUUCGAGGUACCAAAUUAUGUCAAGAAGUUAAAGUAUAAAGAUUAAAUCUUAAAUUUGAUCAUAGUAUAGGGACCAAAAUUGAAUGUUGACCAUUAUUAUAUAAUCUAUAGAAAAAAUACGAUAUCAUACCACUUUGUCAUGUUCAUAGUCCUUUUUUUUGCCAAGACGUUUAUAAAUAGUUGAAAAAAUUCACUUUAACCUUUCGAUUACAAAAAUAAUUUUUUUUUAAUUCUUAAGCAUACAAAAGAUAUGAUAGUAAAAUAAUAAAAUAACUAGCACAUAUAAGUAUGUAAAUUAUUUAGGCUAAUUAAUAUCAUUGUAAAAUUAAAGGAUCGUAAAAUUAAAAUAUAAAGAUCAAAUAUCAAAUAUGAGCAUAGUAAAGAAAUUGAAACUACAAUAAAGAUUUAAAAAAAUGGGGGAAAUUAUGUCAUUAAUUAUUCUAAAUAAUUUCCAAAUCAUAAUGCCAAAAUAAAUUUUUUGUUUAGAAUAAUAUUUCGUCUAAAAUUUUUCAUGUCAAAAAUCUUAUCCGAGUAAUUAACAAUAUUAAUUAUUUGUGUUAAACAUUAUAAAAAAAAUCAAAUUAUUGUAGAAAUUCAAGUAUAAAAAUUAAAUCUUAAUUUCAGACCCAGUAAAGAGAUCAAAAGUGAUAUUUGACCAGUUUUUUGUAAAAUGCAAAAAGGAAUAAAAGAAAAGAGAAAAACAUAGAGGGACCAAAAAUGAUAUUUGACCAAUAUUGUAUAAAAUGCGAAAAAAAAAGGAAAAGAAAGGGGGUGUGAACACGUAUUUGUAUCUACCUUUUUAUAUAUCUUAGUAUAUAUUUGGACAUUUUGUUUUAACAAACACUUUUUUUGUUGGUGACAUACAAAUACUGUUUAAUUUAUACUACAUUAAUUAAUCGAGUUUAUUUUAUAUGUUCAAAUUAGAUAAAAGUAUAAUUAUUUAUGUAAGAGUUUUAAUUUAGAUUUUAUUAAUAUUUAAAUCAUCUCAUGCGUAAAUCUUAUCCAAAUUUUAUAAUAAUUGAUUAUGAUUAUAAUUUUUUGAACCUAUAUUAUUUAUAAUUAUAUUUGUAAUUACUUAAAUUUUUUAAAAAAAUGGUAUGAUAUUUUAAAGAAAUUGAAUAUAAAUAUUUUGAAAAAAAGAAAUAUGAAUAAGGAUAAGAUAUGUUUAGAGAAUUACGAUGGUUGGCUGUUCACGGACUAGUUAUAUUUACCGUCUCUUUUUUGAGGUCAAUAUUAGCAAUGCGAUUCAUCUAACGAUAAACCUAAUUCGAAUUAAUUAUAGAGCUAUGGCAUGAUCAAACCCGAACGAACAAAAUGCUGAAUUGAAUCAUACCAAUCUCUACUAGAGGUUAUUACUCAUUUUUUGUACUUGUUGUUUUAUUUUCCAAUUAUUUCUUUAAUUAAGAAAAAAAUAUCAUUAGCAUAAUUAUCUCAUAAUUAUCUAUGAUUGUUUAUAUCUUUAGCAUGACCACUUGAUGAAAUGUGGAGGGAAGCUGGAUAAAUGGCCAAUACUAUUGGAAGGAUUCCUCUUUAGAUAAUAGGUACGGUAACUGGUAUUCAUUUGAUUGGUUUAAUAGGUAUUUUCUUUUAUGGUUCAUAUAUUGGAUUGGGUUCGUCCUUGUAAUAUGGAAUAAUAGAUAAUGGGAUGAAAUAAGUUAUAGGUAUGAAAGUGUAAGAAUUCAAUUGGGCUCGCCUCCUCUCUCUUUCCCUGAUUCGCGAGGCAGGGUUCCGUUGAAUUCUUAAUGAUUAUGAUCAUAAUAUUUUGGUUGUAUAAAUGACAACAAAUAGAUCACUUUUUUUCGAUGAUUUGUUUGAAAAAUGAAAAAGUAUCAUAAACCUCUAUAUACUAUAUUUUAUAUUGCAUUUUAGCUAUUAUACUGAAAAAAUAGGUAAGUUAGCCCUUGUACAUUAGAUGAGUGAGUAAAACAGCUCAUUCGUUAAAAUUGCAUUGUUAAAUGUUUGUUUUGGCGUUUUUAUAUAAGUUAUAAUAACAAAUUUAGCCCUCAAUCUUUACACAUUUAUUCAGUUUGACCCAUACUCUUUUUUGGGAGUAAAUUAGAAAAUUUUGAAACUAAUAAAGCUAAAGGGUCAAAAAGGCCUUAGUAACAAAUUAAAAAAAAUCAAUUAAGCCCUUUUAAAUUUUAAAUUUUAAAAUUUAUUAAAAAUCAUUAAAAAAGUUAUAAAAGUUUUAAAAUUAUAAAUUUUUUUAUUAAAAAAUAACAAUACCAACCCAAUAAAUAGUAGGGGUCAAUUUUUUUUUAAUCUUAUACCCAUUAGAUUUUAAUGGGUUGGCAUUGUUUUUUAUUAUUAUAAAUUUUGUGUAUAAUUUUUAAAUUUUAAAUGGUUUUAUUUUUUUUUAAAUUUGUUACUAAGGCCUUUUUGAUCCUUUAGCCUUAUUAGUUUUAAAAUUUUCUAAUUUACUUUCAAUGAAAGAGUAGGGAUCAGAUUGAAUAAAUGCGUAAAGAUUGAGAGUUAAAUUUAUUAUUAUACUUUACACAUAAACAACAAAUUUUAAUAGAAAAACUAUUUUAUUCACUCCUAUAACGUUCAAAUACUAAUUUACUUAUUUUUUUUAAUAAAGAAACCGAAAAAUUUUUGUGAUAUUUUUUAGCGAAAAUAACUUGAGCUUUAAGCAUAGCAUUUUGGGUCCAAGUUUAGCAUUACGCUUUAUUAUUUAUUGUGAAGUUUUAAAAGAGUUCCAUACAUGAAAAUUUAAUCAUAUAAUUUAGUUAUUCAACAUGUAUCAAGCUCAUUUAAAACUUUACAUUAAAUAACAAAAUGCACUUAAAACCCUUUUUUUUUAAAAAUAUUUUUAAUAAUUAUUAAACAUUAAAUUAAAUCAAAUUCCGAUUUUCGCCGGCAAAUAAUUUAAUUGAUAGUUUAUUCAUCUGUCAAAUGAGUCUUAAUUCGAUUGACAUCGGUAUUAUUGUCAGUGUAAAAGGACGUAGGUUCGAAUGCGCUGAAGCAUAUAAUCCUUCUAUUUAAGUGUUUGGGAGGUAUUAUGAGUAGUUUUAAUUAUUGGAUUGCGAUCGGAGCCAAAGAAUUUUACAAAAAUAUCUUAUUUAUUUUAUUUUAUUUUAUUUUAUUUUCAUACCAUCUAAUUGGCUAUUCUCGAAUAAAAAAGGAAGCUAAGGCUACGCCAUCAAACUCUUUAUAUCUUUAGUCUUUAUUAAAAGAAAUGUUCUUUUUCCAGAAUCGUGAUAGACAAUACUUCAACAUUUUAAAGGUUUUUCCAACUAAUUAAAGUUAUUCUAAACUUGGAUUUGAAAGCUCAAACUUUUCUAUCUUUAUAUUUAUUGGGCUAAAAUAUUUUUUUAAAAAAAUCUCAGUUUAUUUUGGUUUUUUAUUAAAAAAUUCAAAAACUUUUAUUAUAUCUAAAUAAACACUUAUGGUUUUAAUCUGAGCUUAAUUUGAUACUCAUUUCAAGUGAACAUAUUGAUUUUUGUAAAGAUUUUAUUUAGUGAUAAGCUCACUAAGGCUCAUUUUGGAUGGGCGGUUCAUUUACUCGUAGUUAAUGUUAAAAUAAUAAUAACGGUAAAUUAAAUAUUAUAAUAAUAUUGUAGCAUGAGACAAAAAGUAAACUAAACAUAUACAGUACGCCCAACUAUCUAUUCAAACCCCAUUUAAGAGCUUACUUAAGAACAUAAAAAAAUACUUUUUUACAAUAAUUUAAUAAUGUAUAAGGAAUUUUUUCUACCAAUUGAAUGUGUAAAGUCAAAUUUAUUUAAUUUAAUUAUAUAAAUACAAACAUUAUGUUACGUAGAUACUAGUAGUAGAUAUACAACGUAGAAAAAAUUGACAUUGGUAGAUGAACUAACAAAUUAAUAAAGAAAUUGGUGAACCAACAAAUUAAUUAAAAAUUAGUGUGCAAAACUUGUGAAUAUCUUAACCAAACUGAAACAAUAUUUAAUUUUUAUAUAUUCUAAUGCAAGAUUUAUGUAAAAAUGUUUCUGAUUUAAGUUCAAUUCGUAUCGGUAUUGUUGUCGAUGUAGGAGGAUGUGAGUUUGAGUGUACUGAAGUGCGUUACCAAAAAAAAUAUAUAUGAUGAGAACCUAUAAUAAAAUUAAUCUUAAAAAAAAAAAUCUAAUUAUUGUUUAAAUAAGCUUGUUCAUUUUAGUCAUUCGUAUGUUAUCUCUUUCUUCUCCCUUUGUCUUUCAUAAAAUUUUCGUUUGAAUUUUAAUAAAAGUGACUAAAAUGAAUGAAUUAUAUGAUAUAGGGUUCAAAUUGUAAAUUUUUUUUAUUGUGACUACUUGGGUGAUUAUAUAAUUUACCCUUAUUUUUAUUCAUGAAAAGGGAAAAAAGAGUGAUUUUGAAGACAGGGCCCUUAAGAACAAGAUGGUCCCAAAUUGAUGCAAGGCCAUUCAUUCUCAAAUCAAAUGGAUAACGUUAGCUGUCCGAUAUUACUCCUUGGAUCAAGGGAGUAAAAUAACAUAAAUCAUACGUCGGUGGGCCAUUUAGAAUUUAUAGAAAGAAAAAAUAUAUAUAUAUACAUAUAUAUUUAUUGAAUAAAGAUAAAAUAUGCUUUGAAAAAAAUUAACAAUAACUGUGCGAUGCGUGAGUUAAUAGUAACGUAAAUUUAGAAAUAUUAUAUUAAAAUAAUUAUAAUAAAUAAAAAUGUCAAAUUUUAAAAUAAAUUGAAAAAGUUUGAAUUUGUAGUAUUAUAUCAUAAAAUUUUACACUAAUAAAAUAAUUAAUUACAAAAAUAAUAAUAAAAUUAAUUUUAAAAAGUUAUAAAUUAUAAUAUAAGAUAAUAAUUAAGUCAUGUUUAAAGUAAAUUAUUUAAUAUGAUUUUAAAAUAAAAGGUAAGAAGUAAAACAAUAAUUUAUCCAAAAUGAAAAUAAGUGCUUUAUAUGAGGAGCGUCACUGAUUAAAAAAAAAGGUAAUGUAAAACUUUAUGAUAUAUAAUAUACUAGUUUGUAUUCUCAUGCGAUACACGGGUUGGUUAUGUAUAUCAAUUUUGUAUACAAUAUUAGAGGUGAGGGAUAGAGGCAACACAGUUCGAACAUGUGCCAAAUGAGUGUUUGAGAAGAACUAUAACUAUCACUCCAUUUAAGUUAAUACUUUAAUUUUUUUAUCAAUUAAUUUUUGUUUAAAUUUUUAAUGAAAUUCCUCAAAAAUUCAUUAGUAAAUUGAAAAAGUAACGUAAAAUAUUUAAAUAUUUUAGAAUUGGUUAUAUUAAUGUUAUUUAACGUUUUAAAUAUUUAAUAUUAAAACAAUAUAAAAAAAUUAUGGUUUGAAUACUAAUAUGAACACCUUAUAAUUUAAAUAAUAUUCUUAAUAAUUUUUUACAGGUUAUUUAUUUUAUAUAUAUUGUUAAAUUAAUUUGUUUUAAUGUAAAAAUUGUAAAUUGUAAAUUUUUCAAUAAUUUUAUAUUUAUUUUUGUUCUACUUUAAUCAUUAAAUGUUGUUAAUUCAUUUAAGUAAAAUUUUAAAAUAAAGAGAUAAUUUAUUUGAAAUCAACUUUAGAUUUAAAGUAUAAAAAAAUUUAAACAAAACACAUGAAAUAACUUAAAAAAAUAAAAGGAAGUGAGUAAAAGAAUAAUUUAUCCAAAUUAAAAGUAAUAUUAAUAAAUAUUAUUGUUCAAGAAAAAAAUAUUUCACACUUCAAGGGUGGCUGGUAGUUUUUAGUACUUAUAAUUUGAUUUUUAAGUAAUAUUUUAACUUAAUUAAGUGACAUUAAACUCAGUCAACAACAUUAUAUAUAGUAUUGAUAAUUUUUAAAGAUAUUAUAAUAUCAACACUUAUAUAAAUAUUGUAUAAAAUAAAUUAUAUAGGAUGAACCUGCUGGGUCUGUCUCGUGCACUAGGUACAAUUAUAUGUGUUAACUGAACUUUUAACCAACACAUGUAAUUUAAUUAGCCUAAUAACUAUUUUUCUAUUUCUCAAAAUAUUAAUUAACUAAAUUAUUUUUCUCAAUUCAAUUUUACCAUUAAAGUCAUAAUAACUUUACUGUAUUAGAAUUUAUGAGAAAAAUAUAUUUAAUUGUCAUGUUCUAUAAAAUUACAAUGACUUAAUUUUUAUGUUAUCUUUUGUAUUCAAUGAGAAAACGCAAUUGCUGCGGAUAGUGAUACAUGCGAUCUCUCAUUCCAUAGCUUUGGUUUUACAUGCAACUGUUUGAGUUAUGUCGAACUAGUGGAGGGAUUGGUUGGAUAUAUAUAACUACGGCUCAAAUAAUUUAUAAUUAAGUUUUGACUCUUCAUCUAAUAAUUAUAAUAUUAUUUAAUCACAUAGUCAUUCCACUAAAAUGUCAUGAUUGAACUCUCCCUUACUAUAUACCAUUAUGAAAUAACAUGAUAAGUGUUUGUUCAACGACCUUGUCAUAAAUGUGUUAUCCUCAUAUAAUAUUCUUAAUCCCUUUAGAUUAGAUCCAUUCACCCAAUAUGAUCCUAUUAUAUCUCAUGGUGACUAUUACAUUUUCCUUCAUGAAAAAGUCAAAUACUAAUAGGGGCGUAGCCAGAGGCGGCAUGCCUUGUCGCCCUAUUAGCUCAAUGAAAAGUUUCCUAUGUAGCCCUUCUCCAAAAAAAAAAAAAACAACAACUCAAUUUAGCCCUUUUCAACCUCUGAUUAAAUGGAAAAAUUAUAAAUUUAGCCCUUUUGAAAUUUUAAUAUUUUAAGUUAAGCAUUUUUAAUACAAAAUUUUUAGCUUUGAACACUAAAAACAACCCUCAUUCGAAAUGAACUGAUAUAACAUGAGCAGGAGAUGUCACGUUUGAACACUAAAAGCUACUUAAUUUAAACAUCAAUUUCAAAAUUGUACAUAUCUAAAACUAUAACCCUACUUUAAUAUCCUAAAAUCGAUACUCAUGGGUGUCAAGUUCAAUUUUCUUUUUAAGAGAUUCUUUUGAAAAAGACUCUUGAUGGGAGCGAGAGAUUGAUAAGACAUUACAUUGACCUUAAUACUUAUGGGUAUUGAGUUUAUUAAAUUGUAUAUAACCUCUCAUGGUUGUCGAUUUUAGCAAUGUAUGUGGCUAAACUAUACCCCAAACCUUCAUCUAUUUGCUAAUAGCCUUAAAAACCAUCACCUUUCUAAAUCUUAAGCCAUUUUCGUAAACACUUCACUAUAAAUAAAAGCAUUUGAUAAACUCCCAUUUCAAUUAGUUUCCUCCGGUAUUUUUUCCCAUACAAUACUUUGUCUGGUCGAGGAUUUCACUAACCCCUAACUUCAACCAAAGGAAACUCCAACUCUCUUAAUUUGGUAAGUGUUGAAACAUUGUUUAUGUAUGAGUAGACUUUCUAGCCUAAUCGUAAAUAAGUUUAUUGUAACCCACAACUUCAAAUUAAGGUUAGGGUAGAAGAUAUCUCCAAACCCAAUUGAUACUUUACCUAUUUUAAAAGUCUGUUAUUACAUAGGGAUUUGAAACAAAAUAGUUGACUUAUUCUUUGGUUAGAGUUAUCCUUUAUAUGAGAAGGGAUUGAAGCUAUAAUAUGGCGGAGGAAAAUAAUUUGACAAAUAUUUGUAUAAAUUUUUAAUUUAGGAAUAUAUAUUUAAGAAUCAGGGUUAAGUGUUAGUGUUGAGGAUUUAAAGAAAUGGAUUAAGGGUUCUUAGUGCUUCAAGGAAGUAGCAAAGUGAAAAAAAAAUACAAAUUGGAAAACCCUUCAUAAUUAGGCUCCUUAUUCAACACAUAUAUCUUUACUUAACAAUAGCAAUGUUAGUAAUUUUGGAUUAGGAAAAUGGGAUAAGGUUUCUCUAUAAUAGAGAAAAUUUUUAUGGGUUUCUUUAAAUGUAGGAACACUUUAAAAAGUUACCUAUUUUUGAGAAAAAUAAUAUUUAAUGGCUAGAACAAAUAUGCCUCGGUUUUUAACUUUUGGUGGGUUUAGGGUUGGCAGUGAAGACCAUCAAAAGUCAUUGAGUAGUCAAGUGCUAAGGAUCUCCAUGAAAUGGGUUAACAACAUUGGGGCAUCUAGGAUUUAAUGUUUGUAAUUGUGGUGGCAUGGAUGACCUUUGACAUCUAUGGAUAACAUUUACACUGAUCUAUGUGCUUAUAUUUGCAGCUUAGACAAAUGCAUCCAUGGAAGAGGAAGAACAAACCAGGGAGUCAAAUGUUAGGGAUUGGAGAAAUGGGUUGUUAAUCGUGGUCGCAUGGAUGAACUUUAGAAACCAAAAAGACAUAAACAUUAUAAAUUGCUUUAGGGUUCAAAAAAAUGAGUUAAGUUAUUUUUUUAUGUGUAAUGUUAUGUUAUUAACUAAUUAGUUGUCUUAAAGUGUAAUCUGGUGUAAAUUAAAUUAUAUUUUAAAUAAUUUUUUUGAAUUUGGGGCUUUAUUUUUAUGUUAUGUUAAUAAAAUUAUGUCACACAUUUUUUUUAUUUAACAUACAAUUUGCAUUCAAUUAUGAUAUUAACUGUAUUUAUUAAAUGUUAUUAUAACGUACAAAUUACUGAAUUGUUUUAUUUAACAUCAACAAAUUCUCACAACACUAUAUUUUCACUCUUCUAGUAAGUUGUAUAGUCAUAGGUUGGAUCAUCUAUUAAAAUAUCAAACCGUAAUACUAAUAUAAAACAUUUAGAUUGUAAUGCAUUUGUAACAUAUGUGUCUAAUUACCUUCUAGCAAGAGGGAAACUCAAAUAUUGAGAGAGGAUAAGUGCUAUCGACAGAAGUUGAGACUAUUUUUAUUAGUGUAAAAUCACAAGGAAAUCACUUACUUCAUUGUCCCAUUCUCUAAAUGCCUUACAGAACGGUUCAUAUAAGCAUGCAAAAACCAUAGCCCGUGAAUUAUAUGUUCAAGUCAUUUGGAAAUUAGAUAAUAGUUAGAGAUACAUGGUAUCAACUUUGUUGCCAGGAUUUUUUAGCAUCAACACACCUCCAGUCAAUUGAAAAAUGUACGCUUUGACAUCACAUUCAACAUUUUCAAUAGUUGGAUUGUUUGAGAGAUACUCGAAAGUGGUUUUUAACCAUGAUAACUUAAUCCAAAACCUUUCAACAUCAUCUACAGGGACAUCAUCCACAGGGUUAUAAGUUAUUCUAAGCACUCUAAUUAGAUUGAAUGCAAAAAAAAGUUAUUACUAAAAGUUCAUCCAUUAGAAGUAUUGUCAAUAAGGCUACAUCUUCCAACAUUAUGUUUUUUUUAGAUCUUUCUCAUUUUCAAAGUUUUAAAACAAAGUUGUUUAUUCAAAUAAAAAGCUACCCUUAAUAAAUUAAUGUGAUAACCACAAAUGGACACGCAAGUGUUGCCAUUAUGGAAAUGUAGCAAGGGCAAAUCAGUCAGUAGGAAGAGAGAAAGUAAUUGAGAAACUGAGCCUUUUUGUCCUCGUAAAAUUCAUUCAAAUCCAAGGGUGAUUUGGGAGCAAUAAAUGAGGGUAGGUCCAUUUCCAAAAGAAAAAAAAAAGGUGACGACUAAAAAAAUAAAAAAAAGUAUCUGUGUAUUUUUAUUAUUUUAGAAAAAGUAAAAAAAAAUCAAAUAAGGGUUUUUUAAUCAUCAUUUAAAUUAAUAAUUUCACUUUAAAUAAUAUUUUAUAUUUAUUGGACGUGAAAGUUGAUUGAAAUUUGGUUUAAUAGCAGCUUUGAGGUACGGAUGCCAUGCCAAUCUCUCUCUUCCCUUUCUCUCUCUAGGGCUUUCUUUGUCUCAUAUUGGCUUCACCUUCAUGUCUCUCACUUUCUCGCCUCAGAUUUUCUUUCCAAACAAGCCUUAGACUGAGAAACCCCUAGAAAGUCCUAGAGAAUUUCACUCUUUUCCUCUUUCUAUUCGGUUCUGCCGAUUGAAGAAAACCUCAUAGAAGCUGUAGAUCACCAACGUUUCAACGCAGUUGGAUCCGGUUCACUGAGACAGCGACAUCCUGUUUGGUGAGUGUUUCUUAUGAAAAGCGCCGCAGUUUUAUUCCAUACCGCUUCUGUUUUUGUUUCCUGGAACUGAGAAACCCGAGUAAAACAGGUUAUGUUCUUAUUGUUAGGUUUUUUGGAAGAAGCAUUAGUUUUUUUCAGGGUUCGAUAGUUCGUGUAAAAAGAAGAAAAACGGUGGCGUUCUGUUGGGUCGGCGCUGCCUCAUGCGAUUUGAUGCCGCCAGAACCGUUGCCUUGGGAUCGGAAGGAUUUUUACAAGGAGAGGAAGCAUGAGAGGACGCAGUCGCUGCCUCAGCAGCCACUGACGGCUCGAUGGAGAGAAUCCUCUUCCAUGUCGCCGUAUCAGCAUGCGUCUUUUAGAGAAUUCACUCGUUGGGGAUCCGCUGACUUCCGUCGUCCUCCUGGUAAGUUCUUUCCAUCCUUUUUUAUGCCGUUUGUUUCAUCCCCUUUCUCUUAGUUUAAUCCCUAUCGUUUGAAAGUAAGGAUUUUACAAGCAUGAAUUUGGUGUGGUGGGUUAUUUUUUUUGGUGUUGGGAAUUAAGGACUGGUCAGAUCUAUGGGUUUUUAAGUUUUGGUUUAGUUUCUUUUGGGAACAUUUGAUUUUUUUCUGUUUAUUUCAUUUUAGAUCACACAUCUUCAUUCCAAUUGAAGGAGAUUUUUCUUUUUACCAGUUAGUUUUUUUCCUACUCGUUUUGCUUAUUGCUUUAUUUAAUAAAUCAGCGUUCUUGAUUUUCUGCUUAGUGUUUUCUUUUCAUUAGGGAUAUUUUGGUCUUCAUAUUUUUUUGGGUUAUAGAAGAACAUAUACUUUGAUUUUGAUACAUGGGGAUUUUAAAAUUGUUAAUGAUACGCUACCUCGCCUUUUUGGAGAAGGAUGAACCUUUUUUUGGUUUUCUGGGUUCUAUUUGUUUGUGGAUCGUUGGAGGUAGAAACUGUUGAUUUUUCUUUGGUUCCAUUUACUUUGAUCUAUAAAUGGAGAAUUCUAGUUCUCUAAGAAAUAUCCUUCUUUUCUUUUUGUUUUCCCCCUCUUUUGCUUUUAAGAUUUAAGGUUUAUUGAAUUUCUUUAUGUUUUAACCCUGGAUUUGGAAGGUACAUAUACAUUGCACGUGUUGAUACUUUUGUGUUUUUCCUUUGUUGCUUCAAUUUUUAUGAAGGUCAUGGUAGGCAGGGCAGUUGGCACCUGUUUGCUGAAGAAAAUGGUGGUCAUGGAUAUGUUCCAUCGCGAUCAAGUAACAAGAUCUUGGAUGAUGAGAAUUUCCGUCAGUUGGAUUCUCGUGUAGAUGGGAAAUAUAGUCGAAACAGUAGGGAAAACAACAGAGGGUCUUAUAGCCAGAGAGAUUGGAGAGGUCAUUCAUGGGAAAACUGCAAUGGGUCCCCAAGCACUCCUGGGAGGCCUCAUCAUGUCAAUAAUGAAAGGAGGUCAGUGGAUGAUAUGCCAACAUACCUUUCUCAUACUCACUCUGACUUUGUAAACACAUGGGAUCAACUUCAAAAAAGCCAGCAUGAUAAUAAGACAAUUGCUGUAAAUGGGUUAGGCACAGGACAAAAAUGUCAGAGUGAGAACUUAGUAGGCUCGAUUGAUUGGAAGCCUCUGAAGUGGACUCGCUCUGGAAGCUUGUCUUCACGGGGUUCUGGCUUUAGCCAUUCAAGUAGCUCAAAGAGCUUAGGUGGUGUAGAUUCUGGUGAAGGGAAGCUUGAGUCGCAACAGAAAAAUUUGACCCCUGUCCAGUCUCCUUCUGGGGAUGCAGCAGCCUGUGUCACAUCUCCUGCGCCUUCUGAUGAGACAUCGUCAAGAAAGAAGCCACGCCUUGCAUGGGGUGAGGGUCUGGCCAAGUAUGAGAAAAAGAAAGUUGAAGGCCCUGAUACAAGCAUAGAUAGAGCUGGGGCUAAAAUAUCUGUCCGUAAUACAGAAUUUAACAAUUCUCUGAGUUCUAAUUUGGCAGAUAAGAGCCCUAGAGUCCUUGGAUUUUCUGAUUGUGCUUCUCCUGCAACUCCUUCAUCUGUUGCUUGCAGUUCCUCUCCUGGUAAAAAAAUAGUUUCUUAAAUAUUUAUUCAGUUUUAAGUAGAUUACCUAAAACAAGUAUAUGAUAUCAUUGACAAUGUUAUUGAAGGUAUGCCUGCACGAUGAAAUGGAUUCUUGUCAGCAUUUUGGAGUUACACAAUCUAUAUGCUUUUACUGACUAUUCUCUUCAUAUACCAGCAAUGAUUGACUGUCUUGUAACUUAGCAUGACCCUUUGUUAGAUUAUAUGUUCCUGAUUUGCCACUUUUCCUCCUCUCUGACAUUUUUAAUAACAUAAUAAAUAUAAGGUUGGAUGAUGAAUAAAGCAUGCACAACUGUUUUAGUAGGCCCACAUGCCGAUUAAAUUGAUGUUUAGAACACUGUUAUUGUUAUUUUAAAUUGUACAUACUCCUUUUGAAGACCAUGGAAAAGAUUGACAGAGACAUGUUUCUUUUCAUUGCUAUAACAGUAUGCUUGUUUCUCAUGCUCUAGGAACCACUUUUUCAGUACAUAACCAUUCUUGACUCUCCACUUCCCCCUUAAAGCAUUGUCUUUAUGAUUGUAUGAGGUGAUUGCUGUUUUCCUUUUAUCAGUUCUUAGGUUCCAGUUAUUGAUGGGUAUACCUUACCAUGUAGAAUUAUAGAGCCUUAUUUUUAAGGAGGAAAAAGUCUAACAUCUGGCUAGAUUGGUUGUUCUCGAUUGGGAAUAUGACCAUGUCAUAACCAUUUGUUGGAAGGAACUUUGCUUUUCGCUGCAUUUGGCAUUGCUUUAUUGUUGACUGGCUCAUUCUUGUGUUAUCUUGUUUAAGUUUCACAUUCUUAAAUGGUGUUAUCCCACUUCUGUAAAUAUUCGGUCCCCUGUCUUAUAUUCUAGUUGCACACUUCCACCUAUUACCAAUUGGUCUUGGUGGGUGUUUAACUUGGUAUUAGAGCCUACAGUUGCUCUGUAGCUUCCCCCAUAUGAGGUUGACAACUCUAGUGAGGUUCAUAUGUAGGCCAUUGUUGAGCUACAUGUGAAGGGUGUUUAGUAGUCUUAUCUCACAUCUAUUCAGUUUUGGUUGUCUUGUGGUCUUAUAUAUUCGAUUUGGCUUAUUCCGCUUACUAACAAUUUUUUUAGAUUAGAUGUUUGCACUUGUAGCUUCCAGGCCAUGUCCAAAUUAGAGGGUUUGUUAUAUGUAUGUAGUCAUGAAUGCAUGUGUGUGCCUGUCUGUGUGUGCAUAUAUCAGAGACUAUCAAAUUGCUGGAUGUUAAAUGAUUCCCUUCUGCCUUUUAUCUUUAUUCUUGCAUAUUGGUUGCAAUGGGUAUACUUUCUCAUUUAUCACCACAAUACCGCUGGUUGUUGCAGGUGUGGAAGAAAAAUCAUUUGGCAAAGCUGCAAAUGUUGAUAAUGAUACUAGUAAUUUAUGUGGUUCUCCAACUCUUGGCUCUCAGAAUCAUCUAGAAGGGCCCUCUUUUAAUUUAGAGAAAUUGGAUAUCAAUUCAAUUAUCAAUAUGGGCUCUUCACUUACUAAUUUGCUUCAAGCUGAUGAUCCUUGUACAGUGGAUUCUAGUUUUGUUCGCUCUACUGCAAUAAGUAAGUUGCUACUAUGGAAAAGUGAUGUUUUGAAGGCUUUGGAGAUGACUGAAUCUGAAAUUGAUUCACUUGAAAAUGAACUUAAGUUGUUGAAAGGUGACUCCAGGAGCAGAUGUCCUUGCCCAGCAACAUCCAGUUCUUUUCCUGUCGAGGAACAUGGAAAAGCUUGUGGGGAGCAGGAGGCUGCAUCUAGUCAGAUCCCUCGACAUGCCCCUUUGCAGAUUGAUGCUUGUGGUGAUGUUCUUGUUGAGAAGCAACCCCUUUGUAAUGGUGUCCUGGAAGAAGUUAAUGAUGAUGUAAAAGAUGGGGAUAUUGAUAGUCCUGGAACGGCAACAUCUAAAUUUAUGGAACCAUUGUCUUUGGAGAAAGCAGUUUCUCCAUCUGAUGUAGUGAAGUUUCAUGAAUGUUCUGGUGAUUUUGGUACUGUUCAAUUGAUGUCAAUGGGGAAGGUGAUUUUAGCUACUGGUUCAGGUAAUGAAGGGACUGCCACAACCAUUUCUGCAGAAGGCAGUGUGCUAAAAAGGAUUGAUAAUGAUGCACAUGUUCCAGAAUCAUUUAACUCUGAUGUUGGCGGAGAGAAUGUAAUGUACGAAAUGAUAUUGGCCACUAAUAAGGAAUUGGCUAAUGUAGCGUCUGAAGUAUUUAAUAAACUAUUGCCUAAAGAUCAGUAUAACGCUGAGAUCUCUGAAAUUGGCAAUGUAGCAUGCACACAGUCUGAUUCAGCAAUCAGGGAAAAAAUUGCAAUACGGAAGCAAUACUUAAGAUUUAAGGAGAGAGUUUUGACAAUUAAGUUUAAAGCAUUUCAAAAUGCUUGGAAGGAAGAUUUGCGUUCACCUUUGAUGAGAAAAUAUCGUGCAAAGUCCCAGAAGAAGUAUGAAUUCAGUUUACGAUCUACACACGGUGGCUACCAAAAGCAUCGGUCCUCCAUUCAUUCACGGUUCACUUUUCCUGGUAAUUGUUUGAGCCUCCUGCUUAAGAAUGGUUUAUAUUUGUUGCAAGUUUUAUUGUGAUUUUGCAUGUGGCUGAGUGGCAUUACUUUAAUUUAAGUUUGUAAUACUUCAUUUUGUUUCCUCUUAUCUCUUGCCUUUUACCUUUUAUCUAUUUCAAUUUUUAUUGGAAAUGAAAUUAUUAUGUAAUUGUAGCUGAAAAAUCAAUAUCGGAAAUAGAGGAAAAUCUUGAAUGCAAAAUGAGGACUAAGCUAGGUUUCUUCUAUCAUAGAGUCAAGUGGAUAAAUUUAAGUUCGGUUCUCCCAUGCCAAGAAAAUAGAUGUUGAAAUUUAUGGUACAUCAAGGCAAUUCAAGGAAAGAUUUGAGUUCAGUGGAUAUUGAAUCAAAUAGUAAUUGAUACUAACAAGGUAUACAAAAGCUUCAUAACAUAAUGUUAGUGCUGGGAAGAGAUUAUUGCUCUACAUGAACCUUUGUUCACGGUGGAAGAUGCAUCGUUUGGCAUAUAAUGAAGUUGAAAUUCUCUGUUGGUUACUAUGUUCUAACAUCAUCCAUGGUUUUAGAGAUUCUGAGUUUUUUUGUGGAUAUUUGGUAAUAACUGGAGUAAAUACAAGGUGCUGUGCUUUGACCUUUAUCUGGUGAAAUUCAUUGCAUUUAUUGUGAAAACCUAGCUAUGAUCACUUGAAAUUUGGUAUAUUGGUGUUACAAUGGCUCUAGGGUACUAAAACCAGUCUGCCGCAUUUGUCUCCAAGUUGGUGUAUGGUAAAUUGUAGGGUUGGUUUCAUCUUCCUUCCAUAUUAACAUAUGUUCUGUUAGUACAGAUUACAUGCCUGCAAGACUAUUAUGAUCAUCAUAUUUGAUUUGGCUGAAUUGUAUGCCACUGCAAAUGAUGGAUUGUCAAACUAAUAUCUAUGACGUAUAUUGUAUCAUCUUUUAAAGAAUCAGGUUCUUUCAGAAUUAUUGUUGUGACUGAAAUUUUAUGUUUUAGUCGAUGAACUGAGAUUCACUUGAUGGCUUUAGUUUUCCUUGUGAAAAUUUAUAAAGCCACUUUGAGUGUAUUGUAUUUUCCUGUAUUUUGUUUUUCUCUUAAAUGCUUUGAUCUAAGCAAAUUGUUUUUCGUAAUUAUUGUAAUGGUUUUCAAUUGUUUUUUCUUUCUUUCUUUAAAAAACCCUAGUAAAUUUAGCAAGGUAAUCAUCACUUUUGAUUUGGAUUUUCUUCUAGUUUUUGUCUGUUUUUGCUUUCUUUUCUUGAAAAUUGUUUAUUUAAAGAUUAAGUUAUUGCUAAUGAUGUAUAUUGUUACUUUUGGGGGUUGUUUUUGUAGCGGGAAAUCCGAUCCUGGAACCUAGUGUGGAGAUGAAUUUUACUAGUAAACUACUUCUAGGUUCCCAUGGCAGGCUUUACAGGAAUGCUUUGAAAAUGCCUGCAUUAAUUUUGGAUGAGAAAGAGAAAAAGGUCUCGAGGUUUAUCUCUAGUAAUGGAUUAGUUGAAGAUCCAUGUGCCAUUGAGAAGGAAAGAGCUUUGAUCAAUCCUUGGACAUCCCAGGAGAAGGAAAUUUUUAUGGAUAAGUUGGCUGCCUUUGGGAAGGACUUCAGAAAAGUUGCUUCUUUUCUUGAUCACAAGACAACUGCUGACUGUGUUGAGUUCUAUUACAAAAAUCACAAAUCAGAAUGUUUUGAGAAAACAAAGAAGAAUGACCUGAGUAAGCAGCAAGGGAAAUCUGCUGUGAAUACCUACUUGUUGACAUCGGGAAAAAAACGGGGCCGUGAAUUGAAUGCAGCUUCCCUCGAUGUUCUUGGUGCAGCUUCAGUUAUAGCAGCUCAUGCAGAGAGUGGCAUGCGAAACAGGCAUACGUCUGGUAGGAUCCUUUUAAGAGGGCGUUUUGAUUCUAAAAGAUCUCAACUUGAUGAUAGCAUUGCUGAAAGGUCAUCUAAUUUUGAUAUUGUUGGAAGUGAUCAAGACACUGUUGCUGCUGAUGUCCUAGCAGGUAUAUGUGGUUCUUUCUCUUCAGAGGCAAUGAGUUCUUGCAUCACUAGUUCUGCUGACCCUGGAGAGGGUUACCAUCAUGACUGGAAGUGCCACAAAGUUGAUUCUGUGGUUAAAAGGCCUUCAACAUCUGAUGUGUUGCAGAAUGUUGAUGGGGAUACUUGUUCGGAUGAGAGUUGUGGGGAAAUGGAUUCUUCUCAUUGGACUGAUGAGGAAAAAUCUGCCUUUUUACAGGCUGUCUCAUCUUAUGGUAAAGAUUUUGAUAUGAUUUCACGAUAUGUUGGUACAAGAUCCAGGGACCAGUGCAAGGUUUUCUUUAGUAAGGCUCGUAAAUGCCUUGGACUGGACUUGAUACAUUCAAGAACCAGAAACAUGGGAACACCCAUGAGUGAUGAUGCCAAUGGUGGUGAGACUGACACGGAAGAUGCUUGUGUCCAAGAGAGCUCAGUUGUUUGCAGUGAAAAGUUGGGAUCUAAAGUUGAAGAGGACUUGCCUUCCACUAUUGUGAGCAUGAAUGUUGAUGAAUCUGAUCUUACCAGAGAAGCGAAUUUGCAAUCUGACCAUAACAUAUCAGAGGGAAACAUUGAGAGGCUAGUAGAUCAUAAAGAUUCUGUGGCCGCAGAAGUUAACUUUUCCAAUGUGGAUCAAACCGAGCCAAUGUCCGAAUGUGGUGCUGGUGAUAUGGAUGUUGAUAGCAACCAGGCCGAGUCACUACAUGUUCAAAAUAAUGUUGCUUUGGCCAAUUUAAGUGCUCUAGAAAAUCAUGUUGCUGAAGAGGGUGUUUCUGGUGCAGUAUCAGCGUCUCAUAGGGGGACAGGAGAUUGUCAUCCUAGUUUAGAUGCUUCAGUUGAGCCCAAAUCUGGUGCUGCUGCUUUGUCUACUGAGGGGUUUGGAAAUAAUUUGGAGGCACAGGAAACUUUUUCAUCCAAAAAUGUUAUGGAUGUCCGUGAUACAAGAUGCAAUGCGGAGAUUGGCAGUCAAGUUAUUUGUAGGCCGGAUUUAGAUAAAAGUAGUGGUGAGUCCAUUGAUAAAAAUUCUUGUUUAGAUUUUAGCUUCAGCUCCGAAGGUCUGCGUCAAGUUCCUCUUGACUUGGGUUCUGCUGGAAAGCCUUCUAUCUUAUUAUUUCCAAAUGAAAACUUUUCUGCUAAAAAUUCUGCAUCACAUUCUGAUGCCUCUCAAUGUGAAAAAAUUUGCAACCAAGAUAGGUUGUCAGUGACACUUGCUUAUCAGGGGAAUGAAGACAAACAGCCUAACAAUGCUGUUAGUGGACAUGAGCCUGAGCAUUUAUCUGGAAAGCCCUCGGUGGAUCUUGCUGAAUUGCAAAUCUCCACUUUGAAAGAAAUGGAUAUUGAUAUUGGUCACUGUCAGUUGCCUGAAGUUAAAAGGCUUUCGACCUCAGAAAAGGGUGUUACUGGUUCAUAUUUAGUUCAAGAUUUUCUUCAAAAGUGCAAUGGUCCAAAAUCACCAUCGGAGUUUCCACAACUUGUCCAAAACUUAGAGCAAGCAAACAGCAGGCCAAAAUUCCACUCUCGUAGUCUGUCAGAUACAGAAAAGCCUUGCAGGAAUGGUAAUGUCAAGCUAUUUGGUCAGAUACUCAAUUCCAGUUCCCAGGAUGAUGGGAAGGUCCGUUUCCCUGAACAGAGCAUGAAAUCUUCAAAUUUGAACUUCAGAGGUUAUAACAAUGUUGAUGGAAAUGCAUCUUUCUCAAAGUUUGAUCAAAAUAUUAUUUUUGCACCGGAAAAUGUUCCCAGGAGAAGCUAUGGUUUCUGGGAUGGCAAUCGGAUACAAACUGGGUUAUCAUCUUUGCCCGACUCUGAAAUUUUAGUGGCGAAGUAUCCUGCUGCGUUUGUCAAUUAUCCUGCAUCCUCAUCUCAAAUGCAGCUGCAGGCAUCGCAGUCUAUUGUUCGGAAUACUGACCGAAACAUGAAUGGUGUUUCAGUUUUCACCCCAAGGGAAAUAAGCAGCAACAACGGUGUGAUGGAUUAUCAAGUGUACGGGGGUCAUGAUUGUACCAAGGUGGUGCCUUUUGCCAUGGAUAUGAAGCGACGGGAGAUGUUCUCCGAGAUGCAAAGGCGAAAUGGGUUUGAUGCAAUUUCAAAUUUACAGCACCAGGGAAGGGGUAUGGUUGGAAUGAAUGUUGUGGGGACUGGAGUGGGAGGUGUUGUAGGGGGCUCCUGCCCAAAUCUUUCUGAUCCUGUAGCAGUACUUAGGAUGCAUUAUGCGAAGACGGAGCAGUAUGGUGGACAGAGUGGGAGCAUAAUGAGGGAAUAAGAGUCGUGGAGAGGUAAGGGGGACAUGGGCAUUCGCAGGUAGUAUAAAACCAAAAUCCUCAGCAGCAAAUAUUUCUUUGCUGCACACUGUAUAAUAGUUUUUUUGUCUUUGUUUUCAAUGAAAAUGAUGAUAGGGGCAAGCAGUGUCUUUUUUGGUAAAAAAUUAUUUAGGUCCCUUUGUAAUAUUUGCAGCAGCAGUCUUUGUAUUUGUUGUAUUUGAUGGAAAAUACACAAAAAUAAUCUGUCUAAAGUUUAGGAGGGCCAAUCCAGCAAUUUCACUGUGUCUUGUAGGGUGUAAACGAGAUACUUUGCUACAAGCUAUUCAAGUUCAGCUUGAAAAAAGUUUCGAAUUCAGUUAGAUGUGAAGCUGUGUUGAAUUGAGUAUUUUGCUUCUGCACGAGUUUAGCUUAUCUUUAUUGGUAUCGCAUUAUAAUUGAGAUUUGCAAGGGUUGAUCAGUUCAGGGGAAAUUUGUGUGCUCCGCAGGAGCGAGUUUUUUUAUAUUUCCCUUGCAUCUUGGGGGUAGUUAUACAAUUACAAUAUUUAGCAUCAACCCGUGAUUUUCAUCUUGUAAAAACCAUGUCAAGAGUAGACAAGAGUUCAAAGUCUGAAAUAUGUCUACAAAAUUGAUGCAAGUUUAGUAUGUGAAGCCAUUGCGCAAGAAAAUGACAGCCAUCUCUGUUGUCUAAUGCAAUGCAAUAGUAAGGUAUUCCAGGCAGGACACGGGUUUGAAUAUUAAAUUUGAUAUUGUUGAGAGAAGUAAUUAUAGAUCUUUAAAAACAUGAGUUUUCUUUGGCACAUUGCAUGUUUAUAGAGAUAUUACAAGUUUAAAUUUUGGAGAUGGCAUUGUUAAAAGGAGUAACCAUAUCCCUAAAAGGGUAGACUCUACUAUAAAAAUGAUAUAUACUAUCAUAAAAUAAAUCAUAAAAGGUAACAUUCAUAAAAAGGAAAAAGAACAUUGUAAUUGAACAGUUGAUAGAGCUAAAAAGCAUAAUUGAACUGUUCCGUUUAGUAUAAGAAGUAAAAUAUUUUUUGCUACAUCUUUGUUCUUUUUCUAAGGAAGUUUGUCAAAAACAUGUCAGGUAUAUGAAAUGAGCACGAAAACAUAGAAUGGAAAAUUCUUUGUUUAAAGCACAUGAUUAUAGCUUUAAACGAAAACAUAGAAAGGAAAAUUUAUUACUUACAUUUUCUAUGAGGGGCAUCAAUUCUAAAUUUUGAAAUCUAUUCAAUUUAAUCUAAUUUUGACGAUUUAAUCUCUAUACCAAAAUUAACUAUUUAACAUUUCCAUGAACUCUUGAAGUUAUUUAACAUUUCCAUGAACUCUCACUUCAAGUUUAAUUACCCAUGACUAGAUUCAAGCAAAAAAAAAAAAAAACCCAAUAAUCAUACAAAAUAUGCAUAAAUGGUAAACUUAAUAAAAAUAGAAAAAACUUGGGACUUUUUUGGAAAAGCUUGAAAGCAAUGAAAAUAGUAUCAAAGAAAAAAGAACACUUAAAACAAAGCUGAGUAAGAUUAAAAUAAAUAUUAAAGUGUAACUACUAGGAAAAUUGAAGUGUUAAAAGAUAAUUAACUCCUAUGUACAAUAAACUUAACUAACUUAACAUUAAGUCAUAAAAAAAAGAGUUUGAACAAGAAAAACACUAAACCCUAAGCUAAAAAGAUGAAAAUUUAAAAGUUUCUCAUUCUCCCAACUAAAAGUGACUUUUAACAUUUGAUUAUAAUCCAAAAUUUUGGACCAAAAUGUCUUUAGAUGUUAUAUUUUGAUUGGAGGUAAGGUUGGACAAGGACUACCCUGCAGUCAUUUUUUUGUCCCCUCACAACAGUGGUUGAAUUAGGGGAGUCUCAGUAUUACAAUGCCACUGAAGAUGACUUUAAUUCUCUUCAUUUUGUCAGAGGUAUCACGACUUUCAUACUUUGAUAUCGCGAUACCCUAUUCUAACUGAUUUUUUCUUCACUUCGGGCUACCGUCGACUCCUUAUAACACUCAAUUAACUCGUUGGAUUACCUAUGAUGCAUUUGGCUAACUCAAGUCUCAAAAAUAGCAUAAAUCUAACAAAAACAAUUUAUUAACAACCAAAAUUAAAAAUCAACAAAAGUAAAGAAAAUACACCUAAUUUACUUAAGAAUAAACUUAUUAAGUGUAAUGGAGAGCCUAAUUUGAUAUAUAAAAUUACGGCAGACUAGAGAGUAAGUAAUUUAUUUCAUUUUGGGACAUAAAUGAACAUCUAGGGAUACAUGCAAUGCACUGAGAAUAAGUGUUAUCUUAUAAAUUGGACUUGCUGGAGUCUGAAGGUGAAAGUGGUGUCAAAUACAUUAAACUCAAGAAAGAACUUGAACUCAAGAUUAAAUUUUGUACAAGAAAUCACAAGAAUAUCUGGAUGAGAAGUAUUCACCAUGGUUAGAAUUUGUAUAUGGUAAUAACUUUAAAUAGAUUUAUGGAUGGCAUUGUGCAAGCACGUCAAUAAUGCCCCUGACAGGCUGCUUGCCUUUAUCGUCCCAACUAGGGCCGAAUCGUCCUACUUCCCUAUCACGGGACCUGUUCAACUGUUGUGUCUCUUGGGUCAGGUAUUGCUUCAAGUGGCCCUUUUGGAUUACUAUUUCUACUGCAUCCUUCAAAUGGACACAAUGCUUUGUGUGGUGUCCAAGAGCGCCGUGAUAUCGGCAAUGGUGGUUGGAGUUGUUUUAGUGCUGGCUUGGUGGCAAAGUGGGUGGUGCCUCCAGAAAUCCUUGGUAUUCUAUUUGGUCAAAGAUUUGCGCUGGGGAGCAAGUAAGCUCAUGAUAAGUGCGAUACUAAUUGUACGAUGCCGAGACCUUUGAUCUCGGCUUGCUCUAUUUUCCCUAAUAGGUCUUAGGCGACUACAGGAUUGUACAGUAUUAACUCGUUGAUGGCCUCUUGAUUUGGAGGGUUAUACUGUCCAUAUCUCUUGUUGCCCACUCCAGAGUAAGUUCUUGGUUGAUAAUCUUAGAAUCUUUGCGGAGAAGAGAGGCGUGGAGGAUUGGCUUGUCUGGUAGUAAAGAUAGAAGACUUAACAUGAGAUUGUUCCACCUCAUCAUUUUUCGAACACCUGUAACUAUCUCGUACAAAGUGGAUAACUUGGUUGGUGGAUCACUGAUAAUAAUGUACCUUAAGUGCUGGCGAAAAGUCCCAGCAAUCAAGGCCUAAAUGGCCCACUCAUCUGUAACCCCUUUGGUGAUAAUUGUGGCAGUACUGAACCUGAAGUGACGAACGUAGUCAUAGGGAUUCGUUUGCUCUCUACGGAUGGUCAUGAGAUAGGUAGGGGAUUGUUGCAAUGUCUUGUUAGCCAAGAAUCUGCUCAUGAACAACUCGACUAACUGCUCAAAGGAGUGGAUAGACCCUUUUGGAAGAGAGAGAUACCACGCCCGGGAGGUAUGAGAAAGGGUCAUGAAGAAGGCUCAACACUUAACCACGUUAGACGCACCCAGGAUGUUCAUGUGGUUGUUGUAAUGGACUAAGUGGUCUUCCGAGUCCCCUGCGCCAUUAUUCGUGAACUUAGAUAACUUGAAGGAGGCCGAGAUGUUGAAGGACAAUACUUCAGGGGUGAGAGGCUCAUUAGAGUAACUCCAAGAAGUUUCGUCUGUUUUGGCCCCUUUCAUUUCUUGCAUCAUUUCCAUCUUGAAGGCCUUCAACUGCUCCUCCAAGGAAGUAUUAUUUCCUCGACCCCGAGUGUUCUGGGAGUCGACUAGUCGGUCGUCGUUAACGGGUCGUUAACGGGUGGAUCAUUGGGAUUAUGGUGCUCGUGGUCUUUGGAGACUGUGGAUUGAGCCUCAUCAUCUGGAUGUAUCAGAUCGCCUCGCCUCGCCUCGCAACUCUGUUAUCAGCUGCUCAUUUUGCUCGUUCUGCAGAUCGAGAAGGUGCUGACACCCUUGUUGCUCAUUGAAGUGAUGUUCCUGUUGAGAAAGCUGCUCUUCCAGACAUCUUAUUUUCUUCUGCACUUCUGAAGCAUAUGGUUGGGACCUAGAAGGCUGCUACUGAGAAGCCUGGUCCAAUGGUAUAGUGGUGACGGUCAGCUGAGCUAGAGAGUGGCAAGGCAAGCAGCGGCCUACUGCAAAUAAUGAGCUAUCUGCUCCAUAGGAUUCAAAGGAGACAUGCUAGAGGAUGGUUAGUUGGUGGAUGAGAAUAUUCUGGCGAAAGCGAGUGGCUAGCUUGCAAGAAUGCUCGAUCCUCUAAAAGGAAAACGGGAAGUUGAUUGGAAUCAGACCUUUCGGGCUACUGGUCCUUUGGUAACUAGCUGGUUGAUAGAGAAUCGAGGGGCAUCUCUCGAGUGGCUUACCGUGCUGCCACAUGUCCCGGGCCGGAGGGGAUGUAACAAUAUUAUUUAUUUUACCUUUUAUGCCUUUGUUGUAAGGCCUACCGAUGGGUCUAUUUGUCUCUGUUUCUUUUGUUUGCCUUAAUGGUUUGUUUUUGAGCUCUCAAGUUAUUGCUUAGUAUCUCACCGCUUACAUGAAUUUUUCUCCGAGGAAGGCUGGCUUUACUCAAAACUUGUUUGGCUCCUGUCCUUUACUUCGUCCAGCUUUUAAGAUUUUUUCAUUUGGGUAUGGCUAUUCUGGGAUUUUAGCGUGCAUGCCUUUUCUUUUUGUAUGGGAUCUCUACCGUAUUUGAUUCUCAUUUCAAUGAAAUCAUCUUUGAUUAAAAAAAAAAAAAGGAACUGCUUUUAGUUGGGAGCCAAUUCGUAUUUACAUUCAUAAAUGUAUACUUAAAUAUUUCAAGGGAGGAAAUCUGGGGUGAGCCUUCUUUUUUUUUUUGGGGGGGGGGGGGAUGAGGCACCUAUAACGUAGUUACUCCCUGCUACUACGGGCUAUCUUGAUUGAAUUGAAUGCAUUCAUUAUCUCUUUGCCCCUGUAGCAUAAAAAUCCAAAUAUCUUAUCCUCAAUCAUCUGAAACAAAUUCAGCCUUGAAAAAAAAAAAAAGAACAAUCCAUAUUUACCAGAAUGAAAUCAAAGAAAUAAAAACUUGGAACAAAUCAAUGGUGUCAUGAUAAAAAACUGAAAAUGAAACCCCAAAAUGCUUGAGCCAAGUUCAGAACUGCCAAAAACGGCAUCAUUUAGUUUGCUCUGUUGAAACAAUAUAUAUACCAAAAGGGCAAUCAAAUGGUCCUUGGUUAUUUCUUGAUGCAUUGAAGAAUUGGAAAAUAAUUCUGAUUCCUGGUUUUAACGGAAAAAAUUACUUAAAUUAGUUUAGGAACAAGCAAAAAGCAAAUAAAAUGUCAGCUGAUGGAACUCUUGUAAAGUAGCUUUUGAAGCAUAGUAAACUUACUUAAGGAUUAGUACCAUCGGUUGCUUUCUUGUAUUCAGGUUUCAGCUCAUACGAUCCUUGAUUAGUUCCCUUGUUGUUGUAUAUACACAGGUCUUUAAGUAUAUCUUUCAGAAAUUGCUUCAAAGAGAGAGAAGUCCGAAGAAGAAUCAGAAAACUGUCAACUUUUGGCUUUAAGGCAAUAAGUAAAAUAGUUUGUAUUAGUCAACAAAGAUCAAGAUUGCAUCAUUUAUGCUUUGAGUCAAUGACAGUUUAUCUUUCAAUACCAUAUCUAGUGGAAGGAAAUAUGUUAUACCCUGAAUUUUGUUUGCAGAUUGACAAUCCGUGUUGAAAAAAUCUUACACAAGCAAUCAAUACGUCUUCUGAUUGUCUAGAACCUCUAACCUUUAUAUAAUGUUUCCCUUAUUUGAAGUUCACUUUUUCAUUCUUUUCUAGGGUUAAUCAAAACUCACUGACAUGAUCCCUUAUAUAUACUGAAACCACCUGUAUCCGGAUCUGUUUUUCUAAAAAAAAAAAAAACAAUAGCCUACAUUACCUUAAGUCAAACAUGAGUGUGGAAUACAGGUCUGUGUCUAACAUGUACGUUCAGGUUUUCUUUGGAAGGUUCUUGGAAAGCCAUAUCUUUAUACAUAAAAUGUCAAACACAAGUGCUGGACACAGGUGCUUCAAGAAAAAUGAAAAGUUCAAGUAACAUAGGAAACAACAUCUACGCUAGACCAUAUUCAUCUCUAACACCUUAUGAAUCAUUUUUCAAGGCCCUCUUUAAUUUAAAAGCAGGGUUAGCUAGAAUUGAAUUAUAGGUAUGCCAAUAGCAUUAAGGGUGUGUUUGGUUGGGUGGAAAAGUAGAGCGAUGGGAGGAAGGAAAGGAAAAGUGGAAAGAAAAUGAAUUUUGAGUGUGCUUGGUAGGAAAGAAACGUGACAAAAGAAAAUAAGAGGGGAGGGAGAGAGAUGUUGAUACGGGGUUGCGCGCGGACCAAGAUCGAGUUGCCAAGUCACGAGAAACUUCUACGAAAACCCUAAACAAUUAGAUCUGAAACGAAACAGAAAAUUAAAAGAUUAGAUUUUUGAAUUUUCAGAUCUGAAAUAAAAUCCCCAAAACAGUAAAGAAUCAAAUAGAGAAUAGAAAUAAGUGUUAAUAAGGAAUCUUGAAACCCUAGAAGAGAUUGCGAUUCUGCCCAAUUGAACACCCAGAUAGUUUUCCCCAAAUUUCAGCAAUCUAAUUUCUCUCAAAAAAGAGUAUGGAUGAAUCGGCUAGAACCCUAGAAAUUGGGGAUUUUUGGGCUAAUUCCUUAAGAUAGAAAAAGGCUGAAAACACAAUAAGAACAGAAAAUAAAUUAGAUAAAGAUUCGGCACAAGCAGAAAUAAAGAAAGAAUUGACAGUAAGAAAUUAAAAGAUAAGUCCUAAGAAGCCUUGAAAUCCCGAAAGAUCUCACAACUCCCUUCAAACGGCUCUAAUCUCCCCUCCAAAGAAUAUCAAUGGCAAGAAGAAGGUUGAAGAUGGCUCCCACAAUCAAAAAGAUUGUUAAAACAACUUCUAAAGAAAACUCAAGAGAAAAUCCUUGAAGAACUCAAAGAGAAUUUUCACUCAAAUCAAAUCUGAAAUUUUCAAUGUAAUUGUAAUGUAAUGUAGGGUGGCUGGCCAAGCCAUAUAAAUAGGCCUUUCAAAUGUUUUCCUAAUUUAAUUAGAAUACUAAAACUAAAACUAAAAAAAAACUCCUAAUUAUUUUAAUAUGGAAAUUCGGCCAAGGGUCUUUUAUUUGGGACUCUUGGACUGAAUAUAAAAAUUUAAACUAAGUAAAAUAAAUAAAUAAAUAAAUAAAAAUAAAACUUUACAACUUGGGCCACUUUGACAAUUUGGCCUGAUUUUCAACUAAGUAUGGGUGGAUUUCUUGAUUGGGCUUGGAAUCUUCUUAUUGGGCCUUGCCCUCAAGAAUUUGGGCUUUUGUGACUCGUAUCAUUCCCCCCUUCCUCAAAAAGAUUCGUCCUCGAAUCUAAAAAAUCAAAUGAACUCGACUUUCCUCUAUCGAACGGGACUAAUGGCAAUUGAGUCCACUGAGAAGAAUAGCCAUGAGAUAGUAAAUAGCAACGGAAAUAAGCUUGUAGUCCAAUCAUAAGCAUAAUAGAACAGGUAUAACGCAUGUGAAUGGACAGAUUCAGAUUACCAUGCAAACAAUCUAAUUUACUCACCACUGCCUCGUCAAAUAUUUGAAACAAAGAUGGACAUGUUUUAAGGCAUUCAGUCGUCUCACAUUGUUCCCACAAACCAUGAAUAAAUUGCGAGUAAUAAAUCAAAUGGUAAACAUAAUCGUCACAAGUAGGUAUUUGAAAAGAUUCACAUGGUUCACAGAGUUGCAUAAUCAUACCAUGCAUUAAUCGACGGUCUAUAGAUUCACUCACACAUGCAUUAUCAAAAACAAGAAUCUUUUUAUCAACUAUCAAAACAGAUAAAUCAUCAAUAAAUAAAAUAGGACAGUCAAGCACGUUUCGAUCUAAGUGUUCAUCAACACGAUCUUUAUCACUAUCCGAGGAGUACAAAAGUGUUUCAAAGGUUUCAAGCAUCUUACCUCGAUAAGCAGAAGAAUAAGGGUCGAUUUUACCUUUUUCAUUUAAAACAAACCUUCGCUCAUCGGGGGCAUAGUGUAGUCGAAUCUUCGUUGUUGAGUUAACGUUUGUCAAAUGGAACUCAAACUUCAUGUACAACCACAUAAACUGUUUAAGGCACGAAUAUAAAUUGAAAACAAAUUUGGAAAAUUUCGUUACUUUAUUCUCCAAAACAGAUUUGGACAAAUUCAAGGAUUUUACACAAGGCAAAUCAAGAGAAUAACAAAUCACGCUUCUUUUCGUAAUGACUUUAUCAACCACAAUCGAAGAGUAACAAUUAAUCGAAUCAAAAUGAGGGAAUCUUUUAAGAACUAAGUCACCAAAAGUUUUAUCAAUAAUUUUCAAAUCUGCACUGGACUCGGUUUCUAAAAUUUCCUUACCUCGCUUACCUUCGGGAUCAUGUAGUGUGAUUUCAUCUUUGCCUAAGUUGAUCGUAUGAAAGCGUCUUUCAUUUGAGAGGUAUUGAAGUUGAAAGUUAUCUUUCGAUCUUUCGGGAACCUGAAAAGUAGCAACACAAGAAAAAUUCAUAUCUUGGUUAGUGGAAACAUUCCUCACUACCCUUUCCACGUCUUUUUCUUUUGUUUCUUUUUCUAAUUCAUUUUCUCUUCUUUCUUCAAUUUUUUUUUCACUCUCAAUCUCUUUUUGCUCUUUUUCAUUCUCUUUUUCUUUUUCCUCACUUGUUUUAACAGAAUUUUUCAGUUUGAUUUGGUCCUCAUGGACUUGUUCCGGAGUGAGCGGCACUAAGGUGAGUUUCUUUCCUUGAUGCUUGAAAGAAUACCUAUUGGUACGACCAUCGUGAGUGACUUUUCGAUCCAGCUGCCAUGGUUCUCCUAGCAACAAAUGGCAGGCUUGAAUAGGCAUUACGUCGCACACAACUUCGUCUUGAUACUUACCGAUAGAAAAGGCAAUGCGCACUUGUUGAGUGACCCUAAAUUGGCCUUCGUUGCUAAGCCCUUGUAGUUGAUAAGGUUGUGGAUGCUUGGUAGUGGUUAAGCAAAGCUUUUCCACCAUCGUCGUGCUGGCUAUGUUUGAGCAACUUUCACCAUCAAUAAUAACUCUACAAAGCUUACCUUGUACAUGACAGCGAGUAUGAAAGAGAUGUUCUCGUUGCUGCUCGCUCUUUGGUUUUGCCAAAGAUGAUUGUCCACGAUCAUGAAAAUCAUCAUCCAUUCUAGGGACACGUUGAGGGCUGCACCUAUGGGGCUGGUUAUCCCUAUCUUCCUUAAUUGGAUCUCGAUAUUGAUGUUUUUGAUUCACUCGUACCUCAUUCAAAGUAGUAUUCAAUGCUUGAAGUGUAGCAUUUAUUUGUGUGAUUGCAGCAGUAUGUCCGUCUAACUGUUGUUGGACUUUCAUAAGUGCAUCAUUAUUAUCACCUUUAGACAUCUUCAAAACUGUAAAAAAUAAACACUCAACACUCAAAAAUAAAAGUUAGCAAACCU